AAUAUCAGCAUAGUGCUUCUCCACAGCUAAAAAUUUCUUCAGGGCCCGUCCAAGAUCACCUUGUCGAAAGUAACUUUCACCAGAAGCAAGUUCAUACCUUCAAAAGAUGGAUAACACUCGGUAGGUGCACCCAAAUUAUAAUUAGAGACAACAACAUGUCGAAGGUAAUAAACAAAAACAGACCACAUGCACUGCAUGUCAUGAAGGUUUUUGUACUGGUCCCCAUCUUUUGUGAACAAAAUAGCAGUUUUUUCUGCCAAAGCCACCUUCAAGAGUGGAAAAAGUUUGUGAACAGUACAGUAAUACUGAAAGAAAUUUACAGUGACAAAUAUUAACUAUGAUAAAAGAUGAAGGGGGGAGCUUUAGAACCUGAUCAGCCUGCAACAUUCCCUUCACAGAUUCACUGUUUAUAUAACGGUCUGCGAGAUCCAUACACCUAGCUUCAUCUGCCAAUGAAGCUGCAGCUACCAAAUCACCAGCAUGUUUCAGUAUCCGACUCUGUCACCAAAGAGAAGUAAAUAACAUACACAUAGAACCAGCUUCAAGAAAAUUCCAAGUACUUCUCCAAAAGAUAGUAAAAAGGUUCAUCAAGAAACAAUAGCCAUGUACCAAAAACCCUAAAACCUAAGAAAGGAGGUCAUAUGCCUGCCCAAUGCCCAUCAAGACUUAAGGUCCACAAAGAAAAACUACUAUGCAUUUUAAAUGAAUGUAUAUCAACUUUGCACAAUUUAGUGCAAAACAAUAUAUUCAAUCAAGGUCAGUAUCAUAGAAAGUGAUAAGCCUCUUACAAGUGAACGAUAACUACAAGGAAAUAUCUAGAAAGAUUUUCAGGUAUUGCUAUGCCUUGUGAGAUGUGAGACAAACCAGGCAAAAAGAUUUCAAAAUAUAAGAUCAAAAAAUAAAAUAAAAGAAUCCAGCUAACAAAAAUCUAAAACCAGCAGAUGAAGCCAAUGCAAAAAUUUGAAGAUUGAAGACGAGAACAAACCUUGACAGAGUAUAAAUCAAUUACAGUUGGUGUGUGCUCUAUGGCCUCAUUAAUUUUUGAAAGAGCAACAUCAUAUUGGCCUUUUCUAUCAUAAUGCUGCAUCAAUAAAUUCAAAGUUACUCAAAUGCAAAGAAAGCACCAAACAUUUAUAGCAAGAAAAGAAGAAAAGGCCAUGGCCCACGGGGUGAGGAAACCUGAUGAUUACCCGCCUGAGCCAAAAAGAAUAAAAUCCAUAAAAGUGUUGAAGGGGGCUCUUUCACUGUCCUGCACUCAAUAUGAAACACAAGCAAGAAAUGACUCAGCAUAAUACCAAAUGCGUGCUUGUGUAUUAGCAUACAAACAAAAACAUAUAGAAACUUCACAUGCAACCAUAUGGGACAACCAUUAUGUACUUGUUUAAUAGAUAACAACACAUAAAUGACGGAGGACUUCACCAAACAAUAAGCAGUAAAAGAAAAAAAUGCACUCAGACCGCACCCAAUAUCUAAACAUUUAGACACUGUUAAGACUUACUAGAAUAUCACAUAAGGGCUGGAAGUCUAUAUUACCUCAAAGAGUAGUAAAUCUAAACAUUUAUUUGCUUUUAAGACUUAAUAAAAUAUUACACAAGGUUUUAAAGCAUAUACUAGCUAUCAGGGUAUCUGCCAGUGGUCCUAAUUGAAUGCUCCAACUCAAGAACAAGUUGUUCCAAUAUGUCUGCCUGUGUAAGUGUCAACAAAGCAGGCAAUCAAUCCUAAUGAAAUCAAGCUCCAACCAGUUGCUAAGCAGUUUAGAAUAAUCAAUAUUUAGAAACUUAAUUCUAUUUUUAGAAUAUGUAAGUAAGAAAACUUACCUUUCCAGGGUGAUCAUCCAAGGGAGAAAGGUCUGAGAAUAAAGAUGGAACCCCCUGAGACCACCAAGAAAAUAUAUCAUUAUUUCACCCGACAAACUAAAAACACCAGUCAAACUAACACAAAAAAAAAAAAAAUCUCAUUGGAUGUAUAUACCUUUGUUAGAAGAGGCUUAAUGUAAUUAAAUGCUGCUUCACAAAAUUUGUCUCCUUGCAGAAAAUCAAGAGGUAUCCUCUAAAAAUUGAGAAAACAAAGUUCUAAUAUAAGUCCCUGUCAAAUCUCUAAGGGUGAAGCAUAUGAAAGCAUAAUUUUAACCACCUAGAGUUCUUACAAUUGUCACAUCAAGACAUCAAUUAAGUAUUUCAGCAUAAUACCACAACUAUCUAUUUCUAGAUUAUUUAAGAAUAUCACAAGCUAUUGAAUGGAUUGUGUCUGUUGUAGAAGCACAUCACUAGAUUUUUGUCACAUAAUAUCUUAUCAAGCCAUCAAGAAAAAUAAGAUCCCUACAAGAGUAUUUGUAAAAAUAGCCACCCUUCCUCUCUCUAGAAAAGGGGAGAAAGCUUGACAGCUCUGCAGAAAAGUAAGGUUUUCGUUGGAUUUGCAUCAUGUGAUUCCAUAAAUAAGAGAGAGACAGAGAAGAAAUCCAGAGUAAAUAUAAUGAACAGAACAUCCCAAGGUACCAUUUGGAGCUCAUAAAAAAAAAAAAAAAAGAGAUACAAAACAGAAAAUGAAAUUAAUAUGACUAACAGUUAAGACAUAAUAAAACAGUUUAGACUAGCACAUUCCACAACUAGGGAGUUUUUGCAAUAAACAGAAUGUAUCGAUAACAUCCAUCAUAAAUUCCUAAUGAAAACAGAAGCACAACAUAAAUCCAUCACCUUAACUGCACAAGACCAAGUGUACUAUUGUGAAAGUGAUUUGUAUAAUGCAUCCAAUCGAUCAAAUUCAUCAGAGGAAUACUUGGCAUUUUCAGAAUACAGGCCAAAGCAUUUCUGCAAGCCUUCAUAAUAUCUGAAAAAUAUACAUAUACAAAUACAAAAAUUGUAAGUUGGUUGGCUCCUGGUUUAUCAGACCUAAUAGCAAUAAAUUGCGCUGAUAUAUAGGCAUAUACUGAGUGAAGAGACAUAAGUUAACAGUUCUGUAAAAGAAUUUUCCUCAUUUCCCAAUCUGAGAAAGCACCCAAGAGACUGUUGACACAUAUAGUAUUAUAGAAUUACAGUUCUGCUCAUAGUUGCUUUGCUACCUUUUAAUUAUAUUUAUAUAUGAGGUGGUGCAUAAUGCUCCUUUUUACUAAAAGAGCUAAGCAAAGGGCUUGACAGGACAGAGAGAUAUAAAACAAUCCCAAGAAUGAAAAAAUAAAAAUAACCUCAUUUUAUGUAAAGAUACCAUGGUGUAAAUGUAACACGCACAAGUAUAAGCAAAAGCUUAAAGAAACAAAAUUUAAAACUAAAAAACGAUUGAAUUUGUGACAUAAGGGAUACACACUGAUUAGUUUCAAGCUUAAAGCACCAACAAAAAUAGAGCAUAAAAAAUAAUGACUAUUUCUACCAUUCUUUUAACCCUUCAUAAAGUUCUAACAUAGGUAAAGGAAUUUGGGUGUUACUACAAGAAGAAUUGAAAAACCUAUUAGCCCAACAAAAAUAUAUUUAAACACACAAACUAUUCAGAAUAUUAAUUAUUCUUCAUUUCCUACAAUAAUAAUACACCACGGCAUUGAGAAAAAGAAGUCAAUUAUAACUUCAAGAAGUGCUAUAUAAAAGGAAAGAGUUGACUAAUAUUCUUUGCUAUGAAAGAUUUAUUAAUGAGCUUAACUAGGUGUUUCAAAAGAGUACCAAAUGCAUAAGACUCACCUGUAACUGUCAGGGUUCAUGGUAAGUAAAGCCUUGUAAAUAUUGGCACCUUCUUCUAGGCAUCCAAGUUUCACCAGGAGAGAAACCUCUUGUUCUUUAUAAGUCAAUUUAUCAACCUAGAAUAAUAGAAUUGGUUAGAAUUUUAAUGUCCAAAAAUUCAAAACUUACAAAAUUUUUAAUGUUAAAAGUAUUCAGGUAUUAUACAUUUGACACGUACUAUUUUUGGCUCUUUCUUAUACAAUUCCUCAAGUGCUCUCUCAAGAAACCCAGAUUCCUCUAGCAAAGAGAUCUGGAGAAAAAUACCAUACCCUCAUAAACAUCAGAAAAGCAGCAGGGGGCACCACUAGUCUAGAUGUACAGCAUCCAUUAUGCAUAAUGAAUGUAGUUUUGCAUAUUUCUAUGCCAAUAUAUUAUUAAAGAAAUAAAUGCUACUGCAAGGGCUAAGGCUUAUAGGUACUUGUCCAAUUGGUUAAGCUGUUUUCGAAUCAUGUUAAUGGUGUUAAACCAAAAAAGAGUAGUCAAAAAGAAAGAUAGACUAACUUAUUAAGAUGUCAGAAACAAAAAUUCCGAAAUGGUUCCACAGAACAUAUAAUUGGAGAUUAGCAAUUAUUAAGAUUCAGAGCUGCUAAGUACAAACACCACAGAUAUGAUUACUGGUAGAAGGCCCAACAAUUAGUGAACAAGCCAUAUUUCUCUCUAACAUGAAUACAUCAAGAAUUAAAUAUCUUAUAGAUGCCAAAUACCACUAUAGGCCACUAGUUAGUCCUCCAUCUCAGAUUAAAGUAAACUUGGAGAUGAUUUAAUUUAACUUAUCAGCCAUACACACAGAAUCAUGAAAAGCCAUACUUCACAAGUAGAAAAAAUGGGUGUAACAUGUACAUGAAAGUAGAUGAGAUUUUGGCAAUAAAAUAAGCAGAAGGAAAAAAGAAGUUAAGAAGAAAUGGGUAGGUUUUCUAAUUGCAUGUGAAAAAAAUUAGAAUUAAUUCAAAAAAGGGACCCCAUUUAUAAAGAAGGUAAAGGCAUUAAAAAUCUUUAAUUUUUGUAUAUUUAAUUACUUUAUUUGGUUUAUGGAUAAUUUCACUAACACUGUUGGCAUCUGGUUAACAAGUGACACCAAAUCAGUCACUCCCAUUCUAUGUUAGUAUAAAUUCUAAAAUUUUGAAUGUCUGUAUAAUGAAGUCAACUCAUGUGAAAUUACAGCCACAUCCCACAUACAUAUGCAUGCAAAAAAAAAAGAGUUGAAGUACAUGACCAAUACCUUAUAUAAAAGCAUUUCACCAUGCUCACAACGUUCAUUAUCUGGUGGAUAAUCAUCUUCUAAUGUCCCUUCAAAUGCUUCCAAAAUUUCAACUGCUUUUGCACCACUAAUAUCAACCAAAAAAAGGAAUACAGCAUAAAUACCUAAAGGAUGAAUGAGAUUAAUAAGACUUCAUUCACUUAGAACUACUCGGCUAAGACAGGGACAGAAAAGGAAAAACCCUCGUAACUGUUGUGCCAACAACUUCAAUUCAUUCAUAUAUAAAGCCAAAUGAAAAUAUGGCAUCAUCAUUGUCUCCAUAUAAAACUAUAGCAAAAACAACAUAACUCUGCGGUUAACUAGGCAUUGUUUGUAAAAGGCUAAUUUGCAACCAAAUUUCAUAAAUGCAAGUGCAACCAGCUUAGAAUAGUAGGGUACCUAUCUAUCUACCCACCUAUCUAUACAUAUUAGUAACAUCUUUAACACAUUCUACACCCACCAUAUAUUGUCAUAAAAGAAGUUUGAUAUCUUAUUGGAUGUUUAGUUGAAGUCAUACAAACAAUAUGAACCACGUGUUAAAAAUCAACAGUAAUUUCAUCCAUGUUAGCACCCAUUUGAUCAUAUAAUUAGAAACAUUAAGUCCUGAUUAAGCAUUUAAUUUAAAGAAAGGCUUUCAUUAUAUCAACAAAUAUUUCAACUUUCAAUACCAAAAGGCCCUUCAAUUUGGACCUUCAAGUAUACAUAACAAUAACAACACUCUAAAACAUGUUUCACAAAAUAAAAGUCAACAGAAAUUGGUGAAAGUUAGCAUAAGAAUUGGAACAAAUUUUUUUAAGAAAAAAAUAAAGGACAAGUACUUUGAGUUUAAAUGGUGGGCUACAGCAAAGCCAAUCCAGUUCAUGCGAUGAUUUGGUUUCAAAUGCAAAAGUUGUUGUCUUGUAUCAACAAAUCCUGUCAAAUCUCGCAUUUGUGCCUGCAAUGCAAAAGAUAAAACAUAAAUGUAAUAAUUUCUGAUACAACCUGAAACAUGACAAUGAGAAAAUACAAAACCAUGAUCAAAUCCAAAAAAUUUCUCUCAAACUUCAUAUCUUAGUAGAAAGACAAAUGCUCAUCAUCUUCAUACUUUUUCCUUUAACUUUUCAAGGCAUAUAAACCAUAAAUAAGGGGGGGGGCACAAAUAAGUUAAUGCCAACAAAUGACUUAAUCAUCUGAAAUCAUGAGUUAAGAAUCCAUAAUAUGGCAAGCGCUAAAGCAUCGAGGGAGAAUAAUAGAAAUGAAAAUCAUCAAUUUCAGUAUCAAAGACGCCGACUUUUCUUACUAUUCUGGAGCAGUAAGGCACAUGGGCAGAUGAAAUUAAGAGAAGAACCGAACCAGAUCUGAUCCAGAAAGUAUAAACACUUUCUAAUUGCAAAGGUCAUUAAUGUUAAAACCUUCAACCAUUAAGGAACUAGUAGAAUGAGACAGAAAAAGGUUCUGUGGCGGUAGACCAGAAAGUAUCAAUUCAAGGUGGUUGAUUCUUACAGGAUAACGAGAAUGAAAGGAUCAAAUCAGACUGGUUGCUUCUGAUUAUAUUACUUGUCAUUCUAUAAACACUUUCAACCAUUAAGGAACUAGUAGAAUGAGAGAUAAAAAGGAUCUGUGGCGAUAGACCAGAAACUAUCAAUUCAAGGUGGUUGCUUGUUACAGUAUAAUGAGAACGAAAGGAUCAAAUCAGACUGGUUGCUUCUGAUUAUAUUGCUUAUGUUUUAUUUUUGCGUGUGGCUCAAAACAAAACCUUCAAUUAAGAUACUAAAUCUGAACCAUCUCUCAUAUUAAUCUGCUGCCAGAAUAUCAGAUGAUUUCUGUUAUAUCCUUUUCCUUCCCCUAAAGCCAUAAAUUGUUUCUACCAAAACUAUGAUCUAAAUUUUCAAAGUUAUAAAACCAGCUGACUCAUCUACGUUCUAAGUGUUUAAGAAGAUAUUUUUUUCAUGGUCUCAUACAGCCUCUCCCUUUUAGUUGAGUUAUCUCCAUAAAUUCCAUUCCUCUGUUUUAAGCCAUAUAUCUUCGCCUCUUUUGUUACUAUCUUAAUAUAAUUAUGCCUUUUCUAUCCAUCUACUAGUAGAUUCCGUCAAGCAACUAAACAGCUUCAAAUUUCAUAAAAUUUAUUUUCACUUCACUACUAACUAUGUAGCUGAUCUUGUGUUUUCAUCCAGUUAUAUUAAGUUACCACAAUGAACCUGCCCUUACCAACUACCACAUAACUUACAGUUGCACAAAAGUUGGCACCAAACUAUUUUAGUUGCAAUAUUGACUUGCCUAUAAGUACCCUAAUACUUAAGAUUCUCAAAUUCUACAAUGGAAUCUGAAAAAUCUUUUAGGCAAACCACAAAGCUUACAAGAAAUCUUAUACAGAGAAACUCCUUUAAAUGUUCGAAAAAUACCAUGAUAAGCAAAUGUUCUUACUUAACAUUAAGCAUACAACAGAUAAACAUCUUAGAUUUAACACUAAGUCUAGAUGUACAAAUCAUAGAGAAGGAAGGUAAAUAAGGUAUACCUGCAAGAGUGACAAGUCCCGUAGUAUUUCAAUGUUGUCUGGAUCUAUUCUCAAAGUGUUGCGAUAGCAUUUGAUAGCCUCCCUGUAUUCUCUAUCUGACCGAUAGAGGAGACCAUAAACGUGCCAGCAAACAUGACUUUUUACAUCAUUCUACAUUAAGACACAAACAUGAAAACAAUGUUAGGAAAAAGUGACACUGCUUUGACAUUAUAGCAACCAAAAGAAAAUAAAUAAGAUAACCUUUACACCUAGCCAAACAAGCUCAUAAGCUUCAGUUUUCCGAUCCAUGCAAUUUAAGGUUAACCCCUUCAUUGACAAUGUUUCUGACAAUAAUGAAUAAAAGCCCAUAUGACAACAUACAAACACAACAAACAAACAGUUACCAGAUAGUAUAAAAUAUUACUUGGAAACUGCAUAUUUAAAAGGAUGGAUAUAUUAAACAAAACGCUACUACACUCUACCAAUACCGCACACUAAUGAAUAUUCACAAAACCCAACCAAGAUGAAGAAGGUAUUCAAAUAUUGCAGAUUUCAAACUGCAUAGGUUAAAAAUGUAGUUAUAUACCCGAAAUUAAUGCAAUAAAUUCAGUUGAUAGAGAAUAUCUCCACACUGAUACUGCUAGAAUGUUCCACUUAUCUCUAGAACCAUCAUAAAUCAUGGACUAGUCACCAUACAGCUAGUGCUUUCAAAAAUGCAAUUGACAUCAAUCAUAAGACAUGAGAAAGGAACAUACAGUCUACAGAAACAAUCAUGUCAAACUUAGAGGCAUUCUGUAAGGAUUAUUGAAACCAAUAACCUUGAUAACAACAUAAACAAGAGAAAUUACUAAAGUAGGAAGAGUCACCAAACCCUUUUAUUUUCAUUUCUCUAAUUUUCUCCAUGAUGAUACAAAUGAAUUAUCACCAAAAGGAAAGCACAACGAGCAUCCUUACUUAAAAAAGAAAAAAAAAAAGGUCAAAGCAAAAUUCAAUUUUUUAAAGUUGCUUUUCAACAAAUCGAAUUCAUUGACCUAAAUUAAGCAAAGCAAUAAACUUAAUUAAGCUUCAAUCGCUAAACAGAAAAAAGAAAAUGAACUUAAUUUAUAUGAAAAAUUGUCCAAAAGCAAAAACCUAAUUGACAAACAAGCUUAUCUAGUCCAAAUUUCUAUUCAUAAUUGAUAUCCACCGAUUUUCUCAGCAAGCAAACAGAUCAGUAUCCAGCUAGGGUUUUGCAAGCAAAGAACAAAAAGAAAAAAGAAGUGCGAUCCAAUAAACAAAAAAUAAGAAAGCAAAAUACAAGUAUAAAUACCAACUAGAAAUACGUAGAUACGAACUCAAAAAUGAGGGAGAAAAGCGAAUCGAAGCCUUACGACAAUGAGUUUGAAGAGGUUAGCUUCCUUCGGAGGCAACGAAGCUCCCAUUGUUGAAGAAAAUUAGAAAAUUUUAGAAGAAAAACGAGAAUCGUAAGAGAAAAAAAAAUGAGAAGAUUGAGACUUGAUGAAGUGAGAGUUGGGGGCUUGCAAGAGAGAGAAUAGAGGGGUGGCGUUAUCUGCUGCUUCAACGCUACGGUCAACAAGAAGCUUGAACAAAAGUAAAAUUAAAAAGGAAUAAAUAAAUAACUUUUUGAUUCAUAUAUAUGGGCCGUUGGUUCAUUUGUCUGACGGAAAAUUUACUAAAAGGUGAUCUCACAAAUUUUUAUUAAUUAUUUUUAUCACUUUAAUGUUUAAUAGGUGUUAAUUUAAAAUUUAAAUGAUUAUUAUAUCUUACAUAUAUAUUUAAUCAAAAUAUAUGUACAUUUAAAUAUUGAGAUGUAAUUUUAACUUUUUAUUAAUUUUACUUAUAAAUAUUUUUAUUAAUUAUUUUAUUAUAAAAUCAAAUAAUAAAUAUUUUUUUGAAGUACUUAAUUUUAUAAUUCUCUCCUUGUCUUUUUUCGUAGACCCAAUCAUUUUUUAAUCAUCUAUGUUAGUAACAGAUAUCAAUUAAAAAAUCACUUUGACUUGUCUUUGAAUCUGAUAUACUAAAAGACAACCUAAAUCACUAAUAAAAUAUGUUCGAUGUUUUGAUAAGCAAGCUGUUUCAAAGUACAAACUAAUCGGAAACAAUUGGAGAAAACUUUCACUUCAAAUAAUAGCUAAACAAAAAUAAAGUGAAUACCAAAAUUUACUGUUUUAAAUAAUCAUAUUAUCUUUGCAUUACAUGUUAAAUCAAAUAUCACAAAAAUAUCUUAAUUCUUAUGAUGAUUCUAGAGGAAUAAAUAGAACAUGUUUUUCUUCAGUUUGAAAUUAGCAGGGAAACCUGCUUUAUAAAUUGUGUUACGAAUUUUAUGAAUGAUAACAGAUAGGAUAUAUGUUAAUUUUAAGUAUCUCAAUUUUUUUAUUUAUUAAAAUAUUUGAAUUCAAUAAAUACUCAAAUAAUUUUUAAUUUUAUUAUCUAAAUCUAACUAACAUAAUAUAUAAAAAAAAACUCAUUAUUGUUCAAACUCAUUAAAUAUUUGUUUAUUAAGUUAAAAUUUAAAAUUUAAAUUCAAAUUUAAAAUUGAUUUUAAAAAAUAUUAUUAAAAGAAAUUAAAUUAAUAAAUGAAAGUAAUCCGUAUAAAAUAAAUAAAAGCUAAAAUUAUAAAUUAGAACACUUAAUGAAUUAAUUUAAGUAUUACCUUCAUAAUAAAUAAUUUUUAAAUAAAUCUAUAAUAUUAAAAUAUUAUUAUUUAUAAUCAAGUUCGGAUAAUUAGUACUCUUAAAACACUAUCCGAACUUUAUGGCAACCUACAAUGAAUUAUAAUAUUUUACUAUCGGAAUACCAUUCAAACCAUACUACCCAAACCGACUUUUAAGAUGCCCUAAUCUUACCAUCCAAAUCUCCUAAAUCGGCUUAGAGAAUGCCUUAAUCCAACUUGUUGUUAUCCCUAAUAAUUUGAUAAUAAGAUCAAAGUAAGAAAUGGGACAAGUAUGUUCAUUAUAAAGAUGAUUUUUUCUACUAUCAUAUAUGAUGAAAGAAGAAAUUUUCAUUGUCAAGUAUGGUAGAGCCACAAAAUAUUAUAAAUUUAGUUUGGAAAAUUUCAAUUUACAACAUGGUGAAUAGCAGAUGGAGUACUCAAGAAUAGUACCGAUCAAAACAAUUUUGUGGCAAGGAAAGAGCAAAAUAUAAACAGCGGAGGAAAAAAAGAACAAGAGGUAGCCUGAAGAAACAAUCUCUUAAUAGCCAUACACACAGAAUCAUGAAAAGCCGUACUUCACAAGUAGAAAGAAUGGGUGUAACAUGUACAUGAAAGUAUAUGAGAUUUUGGCAAUAAAAUAACCAUAAGGAAAAAAGAAGUUAAGAAGAAAUGGGUAGGUUUUUUAAUUUUUAAUUUUUUCUUGUUUUUCUAUUUUUUUCACAAAUUUCUUUUUAUUUCUUGUUUUUUUUUUUUUUUUUUUACACUUCAUUGUUUUGUUUUUAUUUUUGUUUUGUAUUAACUUUUUUCCUUUGUUAAGUUUUCUUAUUACUUCUUAUAUAUAUAUAUAUAUAUAUUUUGCUUGUAUUUUCUAAACUAAAUUUUUUUCUAUUUUGUCAUCCCUUUUCAUUUUUGAAAAUUUUUUUAUUUUGAUUUUAUUUUAUAUAUUUAGUAUUUUCAUUUUUUUUACUUUUCUUAUAUCUUUUUCUCAUUUAAUUUUGUUUUUAUUAUAUUUGUAUUAACUUUUCUUUGGUUUUUUAUAUUUUUUUUCUAUAUUUAUUAUUUUUUGUUUUCUUUGUAUUUUUAAACUAAAAGUUUUUUCUACUUUGGACAUUCUUAUUUAUUUUUGAAAUUUUUAAUCAUUUUGUCUUUUUUAUUAUUUUCUUAAUUUGUUAAUUUUUAUUUUCUUUUUAUUUUUUGUUUAUUUUAAUUAUUUUCUUAUUUUUAUUGCUUUUUCGUUAGUAUUUUAUUUUAUUUUUCCAUUUUUAUUUAUAUUUUAAAAAAAAUUUAUAAAGUUUUGAAUUUUUUUAUUUUUUGGUUUUUUUUAUUUACUCAUUUCUUGUCCUAUUUUAUUUUUUUCAACAACUUUUUUUCCUACAAAUUUUUCUUUCUUUUUACUUAUUUUUUUAUAUGCUUUCAUUUUUUUGUUUUAAUUUCUAUUCUUCUAUUACUUUUCUUAUUUUUCAUAUGGGCCGUUGGUUCAUUUGUCCGACGGAAAUUUACUAAAAGGGUGAUCUCACAAAUUUUUAUUAAUUAUUUUUAUCACUUUAAAUGUUUAAUAGGUAUUAAUUUAAAAUUUAAAUGAUUAUUAUAUCUUACAUAUACAUUAAUCAAAAUAUAUGUAAAUUUAAAUAUUGAGAUGUAAUUUUAACUUUUUAUUAAUUUUACUUAUAAAUAUUUUUAUUAUUAUUUUAUUAUAAAAUCAAAUAAUAAAUAUUUUUUUGAAGUACUUAAUUUUAUAAUUCUCUCCUUGUCUUUUUUCGUAGGCCCAAUCAUUUUUAAUCAUCUAUGUUAAUAACAGAUAUCAAUAAAAAAAUCACUUUGGCUUGUCUUUGAAUCUGAUAUACUAAAAGACAACCUAAAUCCUAAUAAAUAUGUUCGAUGUUUUGAUAAGCAAGCUGUUUUCAAGUACAAACUAAUCGGAAACAAUUGGAUAAAACUUUCACUUCAAAUAAUAGCUAAACAAAAAUAAAGUAAAUACCAAAAUUUACCGUUUUAAAUAAUCAUAUUAUCUUUGCAUUACAUGUUAAUCAAAGAUCACAAAAAUAUCUUAAUUCUUGUGAUGAUUCUAGAGGAAAUAAAUAGAACAUGUUUUUUCUUCAGUUUGAAAUUAGCAGGGAAGCCUGCUUUAUAAAUUGUGUUACAAAUUUUAUGAAUGAUAACAGAUAGGAAUAUGUUAUUUAAGUAUCUCAAUUUUUUAUUUAUUAAAAUAUUUGAAUUCAAUAAAUACUCAAAUAAUUUUUUAAUUUUAUUAUCUAAAUCUAACUAACAUAAUAUAUAAAAAAAAAAACUCAUUAUUGUUCAAAAUUCAUUAAAUAUUGUUUAUUAAGUUAAAUUUAAAAUUUAAAUUCAAAUUAAAAAUUGAUUUUAAAAAAUAUUAUUAAAAGAAAUUAAAUUAAUAAAUGAAAGUAAUCCAUAUAAAAUAAAUAAAAGCUAAAAUUAUAAAUUAGAACACUUAAUGAAUUAAUUUAAGUAUUACCUUCAUAAUAAAUAAUUUUUAAAUAAAUCUAUAAUAUUAUAAUAUUAUUAUUUAUAAUCAAGUUCGGAUAAUUAGUACUGCUUAAAACACUAUCCGAACUUUAUUGCAACCUACAAUGAAUUAUAAUAUUUUCCUAUCGGAAUACCAUUCAAACCAUCUACUACCCAAACCGACUUUUAAGAUGCCCUAAUUUACAUCCAAAUCCCCUAAAUCGGCUUAGAGGAUGCUUAAAUCCAACUUAUUGUUAUCCCUAAUAAUUUGAUAAUAAGAUCAAAGUAAGAAAUGGGGCAAGUAUGUUCAUUAUAAGAUGAUUUUUUCUACUAUCAUAUAAUGAAAGAAAAAAUUUUCAUCGUCAAGUAUGGUAGAGCCACAAAAUAUUAUAAAUUUUAGUUUGGAAAAUUCAAUUACAACAUGGUGAUAGCAGAUGGAAUACUCAAUAAUAGUACGAUCAAAACAAUUUUGUGGCAAAGAAAGAGCAAAAUAUAACAGUGGAGGAAAAAAAGAACAAGAGGUAGCCUGAAGAAACAAUCUCUUAAUAGCCAUACACACAGAAUCAUGAAAAGCCAUACUUCACAAGUAGAAAGAAUGGGUGUAACAUGUACAUGAAAAUAUAUGAGAUUUUGGCAAUAAAAUAACCAGAAGGAAAAAAGAAGUUAAGAAGAAAUGGGUAGGUUUUUUAAUUUUAAUUUUUUCUUGUUUUUCUAUUUUUUUCACAAAUUUCUUUUUAUUUCUUGUUUUCUUUUUUUUUGUUUGCACUUCAUUGUUUUGUUUUUAUUUUUGUUUUGUAUUAACUUUUUUCCUUUGUUAAGUUUUCUAUUACUUUCUUAUAUAUAUAUAUAUAUAUUUUUUUUUUUUGCUUGUAUUUUCUAAACUAAAUUUUUUUCUAUUUUGUCAUCCUUUUCAUUUUUGAAAAUUUUUUUAUUUUGAUUUAUUUUAUAUAUUUAGUAUUUUCAUUUUUUUUUUACUUUUCUUAUAUCUUUUUUCUCAUUUAUUUUGUUUUUAUUAUAUUUGUAUCAACUUUUCUUUGGCUUUUUAUAUCUUUUUUCUAUAUUUAUUUAUUUUUUGUUUUUCUUUGUAUUUUUUAAACUAAAAGUGUUUUCUACUUUGACAUUCCUAUUUAUUUUUGAAAUUUUAAUCAUUUUGUCUUUUUUUAUCAUUUUCUUAAUUUGUUAAUUUUUUAUUUCUUUUUAUUUUUUUGUUUAUUUUUAAUUAUUUUUCUUAUUUUUAUUGCUUUUUCGUUAGUAUUUUAUUUUAUUUUUCAAUUUUUAUUUAUAUUUUAAAAAAUUUUUAUAAAGUUUUGANNNNNNNNNNNNNNNNNNNNNNNNNNNNNNNNNNNNNNNNNNNNNNNNNNNNNNNNNNNNNNNNNNNNNNNNNNNNNNNNNNNNNNNNNNNNNNNNNNNNNNNNNNNNNNNNNNNNNNNNNNNNNNNNNNNNNNNNNNNNNNNNNNNNNNNNNNNNNNNNNNNNNNNNNNNNNNNNNNNNNNNNNNNNNNNNNNNNNNNNNNNNNNNNNNNNNNNNNNNNNNNNNNNNNNNNNNNNNNNNNNNNNNNNNNNNNNNNNNNNNNNNNNNNNNNNNNNNNNNNNNNNNNNNNNNNNNNNNNNNNNNNNNNNNNNNNNNNNNNNNNNNNNNNNNNNNNNNNNNNNNNNNNNNNNNNNNNNNNNNNNNNNNNNNNNNNNNNNNNNNNNNNNNNNNNNNNNNNNNNNNNNNNNNNNNNNNNNNNNNNNNNNNNNNNNNNNNNNNNNNNNNNNNNNNNNNNNNNNNNNNNNNNNNNNNNNNNNNNNNNNNNNNNNNNNNNNNNNNNNNNNNNNNNNNNNNNNNNNNNNNNNNNNNNNNNNNNNNNNNNNNNNNNNNNNNNNNNNNNNNNNNNNNNNNNNNNNNNNNNNNNNNNNNNNNNNNNNNNNNNNNNNNNNNNNNNNNNNNNNNNNNNNNNNNNNNNNNNNNNNNNNNNNNNNNNNNNNNNNNNNNNNNNNNNNNNNNNNNNNNNNNNNNNNNNNNNNNNNNNNNNNNNNNNNNNNNNNNNNNNNNNNNNNNNNNNNNNNNNNNNNNNNNNNNNNNNNNNNNNNNNNNNNNNNNNNNNNNNNNNNNNNNNNNNNNNNNNNNNNNNNNNNNNNNNNNNNNNNNNNNNNNNNNNNNNNNNNNNNNNNNNNNNNNNNNNNNNNNNNNNNNNNNNNNNNNNNNNNNNNNNNNNNNNNNNNNNNNNNNNNNNNNNNNNNNNNNNNNNNNNNNNNNNNNNNNNNNNNNNNNNNNNNNNNNNNNNNNNNNNNNNNNNNNNNNNNNNNNNNNNNNNNNNNNNNNNNNNNNNGAAAAAAUGACAAAAUAGAAAAAAAUUAGUUAUAAAAUAUAAACAAAAAAUAAAAAAUAUAACAAAUAAUAAGAAAUAAAGAUAUAAAAAGUUAAAGAUAAAAAAUUAAAAGAAGAUCAAAAUUGAAAAGCGAUGAUAAAGUAGAAAAAAUUUAGUUUAAAAAAUACAGCAAAAAAAAGUAAUAAGAAAAAAAUAAAAAAAUCAAAGAUAAAAAAAUUAACAAAGGGAAAAAGUUAAUAUAAAAUAAAAUAAAAACAAGAAAUAAAAAGAAAUUUGUGAAAAUAUGAGAAAAAGAUGAGGCAAAGAUAUGAAAUAAAAGAAAAGAAAAAGUUUAUAGAAAAUUUUAAAACAAAGAAAAAAGUGAAAAUAAAAAAAAUAUGAAAGCACAUGAAAAAAUAAGAAGAAAAAUUUAAAAGGAAAAAAAGUUAAUGAAAAAUUAUAAAAUGCAAUACAAAAUAACCAAUAAUGAUAAAAAAAAUAAAAAAAAUCCAAAACAUUAUAAAAAUUUAUGAAAAUAUAAAUAAAGAAAGAAAUAAAAAAUAAAACAAAAUAAAAAGAAAAAAAUAAAAAUACAAUAAGAAAAAAGAUAAAUAAAGUAAAAAAGGAAAAAUACAAUAAAAUAUAAUAAGAAAAUUAAAAAUAAUGAAUAAAAAUUAAAAAAAUUAAAAGGAAUGACCAAAUGAAAAAAUAUAAGUCUAAAAAAUACAAAAAAUUGAAAAACAUAAAAGAAAUAAUAAGAAAACAAUAUAAAAAAUCAAAGACAAAAAAUUAAAAAAGAGAAAAGUUAGGGCAAAAUAAAAACAAAAACUAAAAAAAAUGCAAAAAAAAAAAGAAUUUAAAAGCACAAAUAAGAAAUAAAAAAAAGCAGAAAAAAUAAAAAACGCAAAAGAUUUGAAACAAAACAAGAAAAAAAGAAUAUAAAAAAUGUUAAAACAAUGAAAAAAAUAAGGAAAAAGAGAAAAAAAUUUGGAGGAAAAAAGUUAUUGAAAAAUAAUCAAAUAGAACAAAAAUAGCUAAAAAAAGGACAAAAAAUAAGAAAAUGAAAAAAAGCAAGAAAAGAAUAAAAAUGAAAAUACCAAAUAUUUUAAAUAAAAAAAGAAAAAAGAAGAAAAAAAUUUUAAAACAAUGAAAGUUUUAAAAAAAUAAAAAAAGAAAGCAUAUGAAGAAAAUUAGCAAAGAGAAAGAAAAUUUUAAAGGAAAAAAGUUAUUGAAAAAUUAUAAAAUAGAAUAAAAAAUAGGAAAAAAUAAAAACAAAUAAGAAAAUGAAAAUAAAAAAGAUUCAAAAAAUAAAAAUAUUUUCAACUUUAUAAAUUUUUUAAAAUAUAAAUAAAAAUAAAUGACAAAAUAAAUUAAGAGGAAAUAUUAACAUAAAAGAUAAAAUAAAAUAAAAACUAAAAAAACAAAAUAAUAAAAAUUAAACAAAAACUAAAAAAAUAAAAAAAAUGAAAAUAAAAAUUAGCUAAUCAAAAAAAUAUAAAAAGACAACAUGAAUAAAAAUUUAGACAUAAAAUAGAAAAAACUUUUAGUUUAGAAAACACAAAGAAAACAAAAAAAAACAUAACAAAUAUAGUAAAAAAAGAUAUAAAAAUCAAAGAUAAAAAAUAAAAUAAAAGUCAAUACAAAAUAUAAAUGUAAACAAGCAAAAAAAAGAAGUCUGAGAUUUUAAAAUUGUGAAGAAGAAAUAAAAAAAAUGUGAACAAAAAGAUAAAACCAAAAGCAAGAAAAAAAUACGAAAUAUAUAAAAAACUUAAAACAAAAAAAAUGAAAGCAAAUGAACAAAUAAGUUAAAAGAAAAAAAAUAUAAAUUAGAAUAAAAAUAGCAAAAAAUAAAAAAUGAGACAAACCGAAAGUAUAAAAGAUUAAAAAAUAAAGUAAAUAUGCAUAACAUUAUAAAAUUUUUUUAAAAAAUAACAAAAAUAACAAAAGUAAACAAUAAAAAUAAAAAAUAAAAUAAGAGAAAAUAUUAAAGCAAAAGGAAAAUGAUUAAAUAAGUACUAAAAAGAGAAAAAAAAUUAAAAAUAAACAAAAACACAAAAUAAAAAAAUAAAAAGUAAGGAAAUGAAAAAAUAACAAGUUGAAAGAAAAAAUUAAAAAAUACAAAAACUAAUAAAAAUGAAAAAUGAAAAAAAGACAAAAUGGAAAAAAUAAUUAGUUUAUAAAAUACAAAAAAUAAAAAAAUAUAACAAAUAAUAAGAAAUAAAGAAAUAAAAAAUCAAAGAUAAAAAAUUAAAAGAAGAAAAAAGUUAAUACAAAAUAAAAAUAAAAACAAAAGAAGGAAGUGCGAAAAAGAAAACACAAAUUAGAAAGAAAUGCCAAAAAAAAACCCAAAUAAAAAGAAGAAAAAACUUAAAAAAAAAAAAGAGAAAUAUAAAAUAUACAAAGUAAAGAGAGUACAAAAGGAAAAAAAUAAUAAAAAAUAAUGUAAAUGACCAAUUAGAUUGAAGUAACAAAAAAAGUAAAAAGGAAAAUAUGUCAUGAAAGAGUAAUAGAAUAAAAAUAAGAAAAAAAGUAUUCUGUAAAAAAAAGGAAUGAAAAUAAAAAAAAUUUACUAAACAACAGAAAAAUAAUAAAUGAAAAAUUAAGAGAAUGCAUAAAAAGAAAAAAAACAAAAAGCUAAAAAAAGGAAAAGAAAAAAGAAAUAAAUAAAGAAAUAAAAAAAUUCUACAAAGUCCAUUCUUUAACUUAUGUUUUAAAACUUAAUUUGAAUUUGAAAUUUUAGAUGCCAAAUAUUUUGAUUUAAAUUUAGAAUUUUUAAUUUUUAAAUCAUUAAAAAUGUAAAAAUAUAGAUACAUGAAGUAAAUAGUGAUAGAUAUAACAAUUUCAAACUAAUGUUAUUAUAUAUAAGCCAAUAAAAUUUCGAAAAAAAAUAGCAAAGAUAAUUAUUAUCUCUUAACAAAUUGUAUUAAAUAAAAGAUAAAUAUUACACAAUCAAAAAUAAUAAGUAAUAAAUAAAAUAAAAGAUAAAUAUUAUACAAGAUAAUUUUGUUAAUUAGAUAAAUUACAUGAUAAAUAAAAACAAUUUUCAAGAUAAAAUACAAAAAGAUCUUAAUUAGAUAUCUAAUUAGUAUACAUGCACAUAACACCUUCCAUUUCUAAUGAAGUCAAAGUCUCAUUCAACAAUGUUUUAAUAUCCAUAACAUUAUAAAAUUUUUAUAAAAAUAACAAAAAUAACAAAAAUAAAAGGAAAAAUAAAAUAAGACAAAAUAUUAAAGCAAAAGGAAAAAGACAAAAUAAGUACUAAAAAGAGAAAAAAAUUAAAAAAAACAAAAGCACAAAAUAGAAAAAAAAAAGUAAAGAAAUGAAAAAAUAACAAGUCAAAAGAAAAAAUUUUUAAAAUACAAAAACUAAUAAAAUUUUCAAAAAUAAGGAAAAAAUGACAAAAUAAAAAAAAUUAGUUUAUAAAAUACAAAAAAAUAUAACAAAUAAUAAGAAAUGAAGAUAUAAAAUAUCAAAGAUCAAAAAUAAAAGAAAAUAAAAAAUGAAAAGGAUGACAAAGUAGAAGAAAAUUUAGUUUAGAAAAUACAAGCCAAAAAAAGUAAAAAGACAAAAAAAUAAAAAAAUCAAAGAUAAAAAAUUAAUAAAGGGAAAAAGUUCAUACAAAAUAAAAAAAAAAAAAACAAGGAAGUGCAAAAAAAAAAUGGAAACAAGAAAUAAAAAGAAAUUUGUGAAAAAAUUAGAAAAAUAAGAGAAAAAAUGAAAAGGUAAAAAUAUGAAAUAAAACAAAAAGAAAAAAAGUUUAUAGAAAAUUUUUUUAAAAAAGAAAAAAGUGCAAAAAAAAAAAUGAAAGCAUAUGAAAAAAUAAGUAAAAACAAAGAAAAAAAUUUUAAAAGGAAAAAAAGUUAAUGAAAAUUUAUAAAAAUGCAAUGGAAAAUAACCAACAAUGAUAAAUAAAAAAAAGAAAAAAGAUAGAAAAAUAAAAAAACCCAAAACAUUAUAAAAAUUUAUGAAAAUAUAAAUAGAGAAAGAAAUUAAAAAUAAAAAUAAAAUAAUAAAAAAAAAUUAAAGCAAAAGAAAAAAGAUAAAUAAAGUACAAAAAAAUACAAAAAUACAAAAAAUAUAAAAAUAAGAAAAUCAAAAAGAAAAAAAAAAAAAAAAAAUUGAAUAAAAAUUUCAAAAAUGAAAAGGAAUGAAAAAUGAAAAAAAAUUAGUUUAAACAAUAAAAAAUUGAAAAACAAAUAAGAAAUAAUAAGAAAACAAUAUAAAAAAUCAAAGACAAAAAAUUAAAAAAGAUAAAAGUUAAUGCAAAAUAAAAAUGAAAACCAAAGAAGAAAAUGCAAAAAAAAAAAGUGAGAAUUUAAAAACAAAAAUAAGAAAUAAAAAGAAAUUUGUGAAAAAAAUAAGAAAAGCAAGAAAAGAAUAAAAAGGAAAAGACAAAAGAUUUGAAAUAUAGAUACAUGAAAAAAAGAAUAUAAAAAAUUUUAAAACAAUGAAAAAAUUAAAACAAAUAAAAAAUUUUGAAGGAAAAAAGUUAUUGAAAAAUUAUAAAAUAGAACAACAAAAAAGCAAAAUAAGAUAAUAAGAGAAAAAAAAUAAAAAAGUUUCAAAAAUUAUUUUUGAACCUUAUAAAAAUUUUAAAAUAUAAAUAAAAAAUAAAUGAAAAAUAAAUUAAGAGAAAAUAUUAAUAUAAGAAAAAUAAAAUAAAUACUAAAAAAAUAAAAAAGUAAGAAAAUAAAAAAUUAGCAAAUCAAAAAACUAUAAAAAGACAAAUUGAAUAAAAAUUUCAAAUAGAAAAUAGAAAAAACUUUUAGUUUAGAAUAUAAAAAGAAAAAUAAAAAAUAUAUAACAAAUAUAGAAAAAAAAUAAAAAAUCAAAGAUAAAAAAUAAAAUAAAAGUCAAUACAAAAUAUAAAUAAAAACAAAAGAAAGUGCACAAAAAAAGAGGUUAAAAGAAGAAAUAAAAAAAAUGUGAACAAAAAGAUAUAAUAAAAAGCAAGAAAAAAAUAAAAAAUGAAUAUACAAAAUGUAUAAAAAAAUUAAAACAAAAAAAUGAAAGCAAAUGAACAAAUAAGUUAAAAAAAGAAUUAAUGAAAAAUUUUAAAAAAUAGAAUAAAAAAUAGCAAAAAAAUUAAAAAAUAAAAAAUGACAACAAAAAAGAGACAAAGUAAGAGAAUAAAAGAUUAAAAAAUACAAUAAAUAUCAUAACAUUAUAAAUUUUUAUUAAAAAAACAAUAAUUAACAAUAAAAAAAGAAAAAAAAAUAAGAGAAAAUAUUAAAGCAAAAGGAAAAACAUAAAAUAAGUACUAAAAAAAGAAAAAAAUUAGAAAAAAAACAAAAACAUAAUAAAAAAUAAAAAAGUAAGGAAAUGAAAAAAUGAGUCAAGAAAAAAUUUAAAAAUACAAAAACUAAUAAGAAUGAAAAAAAAUGACAAAAUAGAAAAAAUUAAAAAAAAGUUAAUUUAUAAAAUACAAAGAAAAAAUAAAAAAUAUAAGAAAUAAUAAGAUAUAAAGAUAAAAAAUUAAAAGAAGAAAAAAGUUAAUACAAAAUAAAAAAAAUGAAGGAAAGAAAUGUGGAAAAGAUUUUAAAAAUAUAAAAAAUAAAAAAAAUAUAAAAAAAUGUGAAAAAAAUAAAAAAGCAAGAAAAAAUACAAAAAUAAAAUACAAAAGAUAUGAGAUAAAAUAAAAUAACAGAGAAUUUUAAAAGCAAAUAAUAAAAAUUAAAACAAAAAAAAAGCUUAUGAAUGCAUAGGAACAAAUAAGAAAAAAAUUAACAAAAAAAAAGAGUUAACCAAAAAUUAUGAAAAUAGCAAAAAAGUGAGAAAAUGAGAAAAUAAAGAAAACCAAAAGAAAAGAAAGAUUAAAAAAUAAAGUAUCCAAAACAACAUAAAAAUUUAUAAAAUAUCAAUAAAUAAUUAAAAUAAAAAAUAAUAGGAAAAAUAAAAUAAAAUAAAAUAUUAAAGCAAAAGAUAAAAGAAAAUAAAGUAUUAAAAAAAAUAAAUAAAUAAAAAUUAAAAACAAAAAAAUACUAAAUAAAAAAUUAAAAUGAACAUGAAAAAAUAACGAAUUAAAAGAAAAAAGUAAAAAAGACAAAAACAUGAUUAAAAUUUUCAAAGAUGAAAAGGAAUGACAAAAUAAAAAAAAAUGAGUUUAUAAAAAAACAAAAAAAACUAAAAAAUAUAACAGUAGUAAGAAAACAUAUAUAAAAACCAAAGAUAAAAAUUAAAAAAAGGUAAUACAAAAUAAAAAAAAAAAGAAAUAAGUGCAAAAUAAAACACAAAAAUUAGAUAGAAAUGCUAAAAAAAACCUAAAAAAAUAAAGAUAAAAAGUAAAGAGUACGAAAAGAAAGAAAAAAUUAAUAGAAAAUAAAAUAAAUGACAAAUUAAAUGGAAGUAACAAAAAAAAUCAAAGUAUAAAGGAAAAUAUUUAGUAAAAGAGGAAUAGAAUGAAAACAAAAGGAUAGUAUUCAACAAAAAAAAAAGAAUGAAAAUAAGAAAAAAUAUAUAAACCAAAUAAAAGAAAAAUAAAAAGUGAAAAAUUAAGAAAAUCCAUAAAAAGUUAAAAAAAAAAAGCUAAAAAAACCAAAAACAAAAGGAAAUAAAGAAAUAAAAAAAUUCUAGAAUGCUUAAAUUUUAAUUUAUGUUUUAAAACUUAAUUUGAAUUUUAAAGUUUAAAUGCAAAAUAUUUUGAUUUGACUUUAUUGCUUUAAAUUUAGAAUUUUUAAUUUUUAAAAUUAAAAGUUAUAAUUGAAUUUAAUUUAACAAAUAUUUAAUUGAAUGAGUAAUUUAAAUUUGAAUCUUUUAAUUUUUUUUUGUUUUAAAACUAAAUUUGAAUUUUUAAGCUUUUAGAUGUAAAAUAUUUUUAUUUGUAAUUAUUAAUUUGAAGUUGUAUAUUUAAACCAAAUUAGUAUUUUGAAUUUGUUAAAAGUUAUAAUUGAGUUUAACUUAGCACAAUACCUAUUGAAGAAGUAAUUUAAAUUUGAGCCUUCUAAAUUUUUUCGUAAGUUUCAUUCAAAUUCAAAAUAAACUUCAAAAGUACUCCUAAAAUACUAAAUAAAAAAAUUUCUUGAGAGGUUUUUUUUUUCUUUGUAAACAAAAUUAGUAUUUUAAGAAACAAAGAUAGCAUAAACAAUAUUACAAUCUAAAACAUGCUUGAAAAUUUAAAUAUUCAAAAGCUUUAUUUAAAAAUGAAUCAUCUAACAAGCUCUAGCCCAUGCCAUAUGAUUAACAAAACUAAUAAUUAUAAUAAGAGCCAAUAAAAUUUGAACAAUGUAAAAAUACAAAUACAUGAAGUAAAUAAUGAUGGAGAUAACAAUUCCAAACUAGUGUUAUUAUAUAUAAGCCAAUAAAAUUCCAAAAGAAAAUAACAAAGAUAAUUAUUAUCUCUUAACAAAUUAUAUUAAAUAAAUGAUAAAUUAUAUAAAUCCAAAAUAAUAAUAAAAUAAUAAGUAAAAACAAGAUAAUUUGUUAAUUAGAUAAAAUACAUGAUUAAUAAAAACAAAUUCCAAGAAAAGUUACAAGAUAAUCUUAAUUAGAUAUCUAAUUAGUAUAUAUACACAUAACAUCUUCCAUUUCUAAUGAAGUCAAAGUCUCAUUCAACAAUGUUUAAUAAUAAGGUGAUCUACUUUUAAGUUAAACACAAACAACAUGCCACAUAUAUAGAGAACAAUGCUAUUUUAGAAAUAAAGACAAUCAAACUUGAACUUCAUCAUUUAAGACCAUAAUGAACUACAAAUCCCAAAGCAAAAUGAUUCAGGGCAAAGACUGCCCACAAGAUAAACUUAAUCACAUCCAUUGCCAUCCCAUAUAUCAAUUGAACCUCAAGCUCACAAAUCAAACAUUAGAAAUGUUUAACUCAAAACCCUAAAGAUAUGAAAGUAGAAGGUUUUUAAGAACCUAAAGAGAAAUUAAAACUAAAGCAAUAAAAACUUAACAAUAAAAGAUUAGAAUGAAAGGCCAAAGAUAAAAAGUAGUUUUGCAUCUCAACAUAAAUAUACAUAAAAUAAAAUAAAAGAUGACCCAAUUAAAAAUAAAAAUAAAUGGUAAAAUAAAAUAAGAAAAAUAUUAAAAUGAAAGAAAAAAGAUAAAAUAAAGUUCUAAAACAAUAAAUAAAUAAAUAAAUAAAAGGAAAAAGAAAUUAAGCAUGAACAAAAAGGUAAGAAAAUGAAAAAAUAAUGAAUCAAAAUUAAAAAACAAAUAAAAAUUUAAAAAAUGAAAAGGGAUGACAAAAUAGAAAAAAUAUAGUUUAGAAAAUACAAGAAAAAAAUAUAUAAGAAGUAAUAAGAAAAAUUAACAAAGGAAAAAAGUUAAUAUACAAUAAAAAUAAAAACAAAAGAAGGAAGUGCAAAAAAAAAAAAAACAAGAAAUAAAAAAAAUUUAUGAAAAAAAGAGAAAAUCAAGAAAAAAGAAAAAAAUAUAUAAAAAAUUUUAAAACAAAGAAAAAGGUGAAAACCAAAAAAAUAUGAAAGCACAUGAAAAAUAAGUAAAAAAAAAAUUUUUUUUAAAGGAAAAAAGUUAAUGAAAAAUUAUAAAAAUACAAUAGAAAAUAGCCAUCAAAUGAUAAAAUUAAAACAAAAAAAGCCAAAAGAAAAGAUAAAGAGAUGAAAAAAAUCCAAAACAUUAUAAAAAAUUUAUGAAAAUAUAAAUAAAAAAUAAAAUAAAAAAAAUAAUACCAAUAAGAAAAAAUUUUAAAAUAUACAAAAAUACAAUAAAAAUAAAAAAAGUGAGAAAUGAAAAAAUAACGACUUAAAAAUAAAAAUAAAAAAAAAGGAAAAGGAAUGACAAAAUGAAAAAAAUUAGUAUGAAAAAUACAAAAAAAUGAAAAAAAUAAUAAGAAAAUAGUAUAAAAAAUCAAAGACAAAAAAAUCAAAAAAGAGAAAAGUUAAUAUAAAAUAAAAGUGAAAACCAAAGAAGGAAGUGCAAAAAAAUAACAAUAAAAAGAAAUUUGUGAAAAAAAAUAAGAAAAGAAAGAGAAGAAUAAAAAUAAAAACAAAAAAAUGAAAGCAUAUGAAAAAAUAAGUAAAAAGAAAGAAAAAUUUAUAGGAAAAAAAGUUAUUAGAAAAUAUUAAAAUAGAACAAGAAGUGAGAAAAUAAAAAAAUAAAAACCAAAAAAAAGAAAAAAAGGUUCAAAAAUAAAAAAUAAAAAAUUCAAAACUUUAUAAUUUUUUUAAAAUAUAAAUAAAAAAGGAUAAAAUAAAAUAAAAUACUAACGAAAAAGCAAUAAAAAUAAGAAAAGUAAUUAGAAAUAAGCAAAAAAAAAAAAAAAUAAAAAAUUAACAAAUCAACAAAAUAAUUAAAAAAGAAAAUGAAUAAAAAUUUAAAAAAUAAACAAGAAUGUCAAAAUAGAAAAAAACUUUUAGUUUAGAAAAUACAAAGAAAAACAAAAAAAACAAAUAUAGAAAAAUAUAAAAAAUCAAAGAAAAGUUAACACGAAAUAUAAUAAAAACAAAAUGAAGUGUGAAAAAAGAUAUUAGAAAAAGUAAAAAAAUAAAAAAAUGAAAAUACUAAAUAUAUAAUAUAAAAUCAAAAUAAAAAACAAAAUAAAAAUUUCAAAAAUGAAAUGGGAUGAGAGAAUAUAAAAAAAUUUAGUUUAGAAAAUACAAGCUAAAUAUAUAUAUAUAAAGAAGUAAUAAGAAAACUUAACAAAGAAAAAAAGUUAAUACAAAAUAAAAAUAAAAACAAAACAAGGAAGUGCAAAAAAAAAAUGGAAACAAGAAAUAAAAAGAAAUUUGUGAAAAAAAGAGAAAAAAUGAAAAAAAAUAAAAAAUGAAAAGACAAAUAUGAAAUAAAACAAAAAAAAGUAUAUAGAAAAUUUUAAAAGAAAGUAAAAGGUGAAAACAAAAAAAUAUGAAAGUACAUGAAAAAAUAAGUAAAAAAAAAAGAAAAAAUUUUAAAAGGAAAAAAAGUUAACGAAAAAUUAUAAAAAUGCAAUAGAAAAUAGCCAAAAAUGAUAAAAUAAAAAAUCCAAAACCUUAUAAAAAUUUAUGAAAAUAUAAAUAAAUAAAUAAAUAAAAAUAAAAAAAAAAAAAUAAAGCAAAAGAAAAAAGAUAAAUAAAGUAUAAAAAAGAAAAAAAUCAAUACCAAUAGGAAAAGAAAAAAAUUAAAAAUAUACAAAAAUAUAAUAAAAAUAAAAAAAGUGAGAAAUGAAAAAAAUAACGACUCAAAAAUAAAAAAUAAAAAAAUGAAUAACAAUUUCAAAAAUGAAAAGGAAUGACAAAAUGAAAAAAAAUUAGUAUAAAAAAAUACAAAAAAUGAAAAAAAUAAUGAGAAAGCAGUAUAAAAAAUCAAAGACAAAAAAAUUAAAAAAAGAGAAAAGUUAAUAUAAAAUAAAAUGAAAACCAAAGAAGGAAGUGCAAAAAAAAAGUAUGAGAAUUUAAAAACGCAAAUAACAAAUGAAAAAAUUUGUGAAAAAAAAUAAGAAAAGCAACAGAAAAAUAAAAUUAAAACAAAAAAAUGAAAGCAUAUAAAAAAAUAAGUAAAAAGAAAGAAAAAUUUGUAGGAAAAAAAGUUGUUGAAAAAAAUAAAAUAGGACAAGAAAUGAGUAAAUAAAAAAACCAAAAAAUAAAAAAAAAUUCAAAACUUUAUAAAAUUUUUUUAAAAUAUAAAUAAAAAUGGAAAAAUAAAAUAAAAUACUAACGAAAAAGCAAUAAAAAUAAGAAAAAUAAUUAAAAUAAACAAAAAAAUAAAAAGAAAAUAAAAAAUUAACAAAUUAAGAAAAUGAUAAAAAAAGACAAAAUGAUUAAAAAUUUCAAAAAUAAAUAGGAAUGUCAAAGUAGAAAAAACUUUUAGUUUAAAAAAUACAAAGAAAAACAAAAAAUAAAUAAAUAUAGAAAAAAAGAUAUAAAAAGCCAAAGAAAAGUUGAUACAAAAUAUAAUAAAAACAAAAUUAAAUGAGAAAAAAGAUAUAAGAAAAAGUAAAAAAAAUGAAAAUACUAAAUAUAUAAAAUAAAAUCAAAAUAAAAAAAUUUUCAAAAAUGAAAAGGGAUGACAAAAUAGAAAAAAAUUUAGUUUAGAAAAUACAAGCAAAAAAAAAUAUAUAUAUAUAUAUAAGAAGUAAUAAGAAAACUUAACAAAGGAAAAAAGUUAAUACAAAACAAAAAUAAAAACAAAACAAUGAAGUGCAAACAAAAAAAAGAAAACAAGAAAUAAAAAGAAAUUUGUGAAAAAAAUAGAAAAACAAGAAAAAAUUAAAAUUAAAAAACCUACCCAUUUCUUCUUAACUUCUUUUUUCCUUCUGGUUAUUUUAUUGCCAAAAUCUCAUAUACUUUCAUGUACAUGUUACACCCAUUCUUUCUACUUGUGAAGUAUGGCUUUUCAUGAUUCUAUGUGUAUGGCUAUUAAGAGAUUGUUUCUUCAGACUACCUCUUGUUCUUUUUUUCCUCCGCUGUUUAUAUUUUGCUCUUUCUUUGCCACAAAAUUGUUUUGAUCGGUACUAUUAUUGAGUAUUCCAUCUGCUAUCACCAUGUUGUAAAUUGAAAUUUUCCAAACUAAAUUUAUAAUAUUUUGUGGCUCUACCAUACUUGACGAUGAAAAUUUCUUCUUUCAUCAUAUAUGAUAGUAGAAAAAAUCAUCUUUAUAAUGAACAUACUUGCCCCAUUUCUUACUUUGAUCUUAUUAUCAAAUUAUUAGGGAUAACAAUAAGUUGGAUUAAGGCAUCCUCUAAGCCGAUUUAGGGGAUUUGGAUGGUAAGAUUAGGGCAUCUUAAAAGUCGGUUUGGGUAGUAUGGUUUGAAUGGUAUUCCGAUAGGAAAAUAUUAUAAUUCAUUGUAGGUUGCAAUAAAGUUCGGAUAGUGUUUUAAGAGUACUAAUUAUCCGAACUUGAUUAUAAAUAAUAAUAUUAUAAUAUUAUAGAUUUAUUUAAAAAUUAUUUAUUAUGAAGGUAAUACUUAAAUUAAUUCAUUAAGUGUUCUAAUUUAUAAUUUUAGCUUUUAUUUAUUUUAUAUGGAUUACUUUCAUUUAUUAAUUUAAUUUCUUUUAAUAAUAUUUUUUAAAAUCAAUUUUAAAUUUGAAUUUAAAUUUUAAAUUUUAACUUAAUAAACAAAUAUUUAAUGAAUUUGAACAAUAAUGAGUUUUUUUUUUAUAUAUUAUGUUAGUUAGAUUUAGAUAAUAAAAUUAAAAAUUAUUGAGUAUUUAUUGAAUUCAAAUAUUUUAAUAAUAAAAAAAUUGAGAUACUUAAAAUUAACAUAUAUCCUAUCUGUUAUCAUUCAUAAAAUUUGUAACACAAUUUAUAAAGCAGGCUUCCCUGCUAAUUUCAAACUGAAGAAAAACAUGUUCUAUUUAUUCCUCUAGAAUCAUCACAAGAAUUAAGAUAUUUUUGUGAUCUUUGAUUUAACAUGUAAUGCAAAGAUAAUAUGAUUAUUUAAAACGGUAAAUUUUGGUAUUUACUUUAUUUUUGUUUAGCUAUUAUUUGAAGUGAAAGUUUUAUCCAAUUGUUUCCGAUUAGUUUGUACUUUGAAACAGCUUGCUUAUCAAAACAUCGAACAUAUUUUAUUAGUGAUUUAGGUUGUCUUUUAGUAUAUCAGAUUCAAAGACAAGCCAAAGUGAUUUUUUUAAUUGAUAUCUGUUAUUAACAUAGAUGAUUAAAAAAUGAUUGGGCCUACGAAAAAAGACAAGGAGAGAAUUAUAAAAUUAAGUACUUCAAAAAAAUAUUUAUUAUUUGAUUUUAUAAUAAAAUAAUUAAUAAAAAUAUUUAUAAGUAAAAUUAAUAAAAAGUUAAAAUUACAUCUCAAUAUUUAAAUGUACAUAUAUUUUGAUUAAAUGUAUAUGUAAGAUAUAAUAAUCAUUUAAAUUUUAAAUUAAUACCUAUUAAACAUUAAAGUGAUAAAAAUAAUUAAUAAAAAUUUGUGAGAUCACCCUUUUAGUAAAUUUUCGUCGGACAAAUGAACCAACGGCCCAUAUGAAAAAAUAAGAAAAGCAAGAGAAGAAUAAAAAUUAAAACAAAAAAAUGAAAGCAUAUGAAAAAAUAAGUAAAAAGAAAGAAAAAUUUGUAGGAAAAAAAGUUAUUGAAAAAUAAUAAAAUAGGACAAGAAAUGGGUAAAUAAAAAAAUAAUAAAACCAAAAAAUAAAAAAAUUCAAAACUUUAUAAAAUUUUUUUUAAAUAUAAAUAAAAAAGGAAAAAUAAAAAAUACUAACGAAAAAGUAAUAAAAAUAAGAAAAGUAAUUAGAAAUAAACAAAAAAAGAAAAAGAAAAAAAAUUAACAAAUCAAUAAAAUAAUAAAAAAACAAAAUGAUUAAAAAUUUCAAAAAUAAAUAGGAAUGUCAAAAUAGAAAAAACUUUUAGUUUAGAAAAUACAAAGAAAAACAAAAAAAAAACAAAUAUAGAAAAAAAUAUAUAAAAAACUAAAGAAAAGUUAAUACAAAAUAUAAUAAAAACAAAAUGAAAUGAGAAAAAAAUAUAUAAGAGAAAGUAAAAAAAUGAAAAUACUAAUAUAUAAAAUAAAAUCAAAAUAAAAAAAUUUCAAAAAUAAAAAGGGAUGAUAAAAUAGAAAAAAAUUUAAUUUAGAAAAUACAAGCAAAUAUAUAUAUAUAUGUAUAAGAAGUAAAAAGAAAACUUAACAAAGGAAAAAAGUUAAUACAAAAUAAAAAUAAAAACAAAACAAGGAAGUGCCAAAAAAAUGAAAAUAAGAAAUAAAAAGAAAUUUGUGAAAAAAAGAGAAAAAUAAGAAAAAAAUAAAAAUUAGAAAACCUACCCAUUUCUUCUUAACUUCUUUUUUCCUUCUGGUUAUUUUAUCGCCAAAAUCUCGUUUACUUUCAUGUACAUGUUACACUCAUUCUUUUUACUUAUGAAGUAUGGCUUUUCAUGAUUCUAUGUGUAUGGCUGUUAAGAGAUUGUUUGUUUAGGUUACCUCUCUUUUUUUUUCCCUCCACUGUUUUAUAUUUUGCUCUUUCUUUGCCAUGAAAUUGUUUUGAUCGGUAUUGUUCUUGAAUACUCCAUCUGCUCUUCACCAUGUUGUAAAUUAGAAUUUUCCAAACUAAAGUUGGAAUAUUUGGUGGCUCGCUGUACUUGACGAUGAAAUUUUUUUUUUUCAACAUAUAUGAUAGUAGAAAAAAUCAUCUUUAUAAUAAACAUAUUUGCCCCAUCUCUUACUUUGAUCUUGUUAUCAAAUUAUUAGAGAUAACAACAGGUUGGAUUAGGGCAUCCUCUAAGUCAGUUUAGGUAGUAUGGAUUUGGAUGAUAAGAUUAAGGCAUCCUAAAAGUCGGUUUGGGUAGUAUGGUUUGGAUGAUAUUCCGAUAAUAAAAUAUUAUAAUUCAUUGUAGGUUGCCAUAAAGUUCGGAUAGUGUUUUAAGAGUACUAAUUAUUUGAACUUGAUUAUAAAUAAUAAUAUUUUAAUAUUAUAGAUUUAUUUAAAAAUUAUUUAUUAUGAAGGUAAUACUUAAAUUAAUUCACUCAGUGUUUUUAUUUAUAAUUUUAGCUUUUAUUUAUUUUAUAUGGAUUACUUUCAUUUAUUAAUUUAAUUUCUUUUAAUAAUAUUUUUAAAAUCAAUUUUAAAUUUAAAUUUAAAAUUUAACUUAAUAAAUGAAUAUUUAAUGAGUUUAAACAAUAAUGAGUUUUUUUUUUUAUAUAUUAUGUGAGUUAGAUUUAGAUAAUAAAAUUAAAAAUUAUUUGAGUAUUUAUUGAAUUCAAAUAUUUUAAUAAAUAAAAAAUUGGGAUACCUAAAAUUAACAUAUAUCUUAUUUGUUGUCAUUCAUAAAAUUCGUAACACAAUUUAUAAAAGACAUGUAAUGCAAAGAUAAUAUGAUUAUUUAAAACGGUAAAUUUUGGUUUUUACUUUAUUUUUGUUUAGCUAUUAUUUGAAGUGAAAGUUUUAUCCAAUUGUUUUCGAUUAGUUUGUACUUUGAAACAGCUUGCUUAUCAAAACAUCGAACAUAUUUUAUUAGUGAUUUAGGUUGUCUUUUAGUAUAUCAGAUUCAAAGACAAGCCAAAAUGAUUUUUUUAAUUGAUAUCUGUUAUUAACAUAGAUGAUUAAAAAAUGAUUGGGCCUAUGAAAAAAGACAAGGAGAGAAUUAUAAAAUUAAGUACUUCAAAAAAAUAUUUAUUAUUUGAUUUUAUAAUAAAAUAAUUAAUAAAAAUAUUUAUAAGUAAAAUUAAUAAAAAGUUAAAAUUACAUCUCAAUAUUUAAAUGUACAUAUAUUUUGAUUAAAUGUAUAUGUAAGAUAUAAUAAUCAUUUAAAUUUUAAAUUAACACCUAUUAAACAUUAAAGUAAUAAAAAUAAUUAAUAAAAAUUUGUGAGAUCACCCUUUUAGUAAAUUUCCGUCGGACAAAUGAACCAACUGCCCAUAUAUAUUAAUCAAAAAUUAUUUAUUUAUUCCUUUUUAAUUUUACUUUUGUUCAAGCUUCUUGUUGACCGUAGGGUUGAAGCAGCAGAUAACGCCACCACUCUGUUCUCUCUCUUGCAAGCCCCUAACUCUCACUUUAUCAAGUCUCAAUCUUCUCAUUUUUUUUUCUCUUACGAUUCUAGUUUUUCUUCUAAAAUUUUCUAAUUUUCUUCAACAAUGGGAGCUUCGUUGCCUCCGAAGGAAGCUAACCUCUUCAAACUCAUUGUCGUAAGGCUUCGAUUCUCUUUUCUCCCUCAUUUUUGAGUUCGUAUCUACGUAUUUCUAGUUGGUAUUUAUACUUGUAUUUUGCUUUCUUAUUUUUUGUUUAUUGGAUCGCACUUCUUUUUUCAUUUUGUUCUUUGCUUGCAAAACCCUAGCUGGAUACUGGUCUGUUUGCUUGCUGAGAAAAUCGGUGGAUAUCAAUUAUGAAUAGAAAUUUGGACUAGAUAAGCUUGUUUGUCAAUUAGGUUUUUGCUUUUGGGCAAUUUUUCAUAUAAAUUAAGUUCAUUUUCUUUGUUUUGUUUAGCGAUUGAAGCUUAAUUAAGUUUAUUGCUUUGCUUAAUUUAGGUCAAUGAAUUCGAUUUGUUGAAAAGCAACUUUAAAAAAUUGAAUUUUGCUUUGACCUUCUUUUUUUUUUUUUAAGUAAGGAUGCUCGUUGUGCUUUCCUUUUGGUGAUAAUUCAUUUGUAUCAUCAUGGAGAAAAUUAGAGAAAUGAAAAUAAAAGGGUUUGGUGACUCUUCCUACUUUAGUAAUUUCUCUUGUUUAUGUUGUUAUCAAGGUUAUUGGUUUCAAUAAUCCUUACAAGAAUGCCUCUAAGUUUGACAUGAUUGUUUCUGUAGACUGUAUGUUCCUUUCUCAUGUCUUAUGAUUGAUGUCAAUUGCAUUUUUGAAAGCACUAGCUGUAUGGUGACUAGUCCAUGAUUUAUGAUGGUUCUAGAGAUAAGUGGAACAUUCUAGCAGUAUCAGUGUGGAGAUAUUCUCUAUCAACUGAAUAUAUUGCAUUAAUUUCGGGUAUAUAACUACAUUUUUAACCUAUACAGUUUGAAAUCUGCAAUAUUUGAAUACCUUCUUCAUCUUGGUUGGGUUUUGUGAAUAUUCAUUAGUGUGCGGUAUUGGUAGAGUGUAGUAGGGUUUUGUUUAAUAUAUCCAUCCUUUUAAAUAUGCAGUUUCCAAGUAAUAUUUUAUACUAUCUGGUAACUGUUUGUUUGUUGUGUUUGUAUGUUGUCAUAUGGGCUUUUAUUCAUUAUUGUCAGAAACAUUGUCAAUGAAGGGGUUAACCUUAAAUUGCAUGGAUCGGAAAACUGAAGCUUAUGAGCUUGUUUGGCUAGGUGUAAAGGUUAUCUUAUUUAUUUUCUUUUGGUUGCUAUAAUGUCAAAGCAGUGUCACUUUUUCCUAACAUUGUUUUCAUGUUUGUGUCUUAAUGUAGAAUGAUGUAAAAAGUCAUGUUUGCUGGCACGUUUAUGGUCUCCUCUAUCGGUCAGAUAGAGAAUACAGGGAGGCUAUCAAAUGCUAUCGCAACGCUUUGAGAAUAGAUCCAGACAACAUUGAAAUACUACGGGACUUGUCACUCUUGCAGGUAUACCUUAUUUACCUUCCUUCUCUAUGAUUUGUACAUCUAGACUUAGUGUUAAAUCUAAGAUGUUUAUCUGUUGUAUGCUUAAUGUUAAGUAAGAACAUUUGCUUAUCAUGGUAUUUUUCGAACAUUUAAAGGAGUUUCUCUGUAUAAGAUUUCUUGUAAGCUUUGUGGUUUGCCUAAAAGAUUUUUCAGAUUCCAUUGUAGAAUUUGAGAAUCUUAAGUAUUAGGGUACUUAUAGGCAAGUCAAUAUUGCAACUAAAAUAGUUUGGUGCCAACUUUUGUGCAACUGUAAGUUAUGUGGUAGUUGGUAAGGGCAGGUUCAUUGUGGUAACUUAAUAUAACUGGAUGAAAACACAAGAUCAGCUACAUAGUUAGUAGUGAAGUGAAAAUAAAUUUUAUGAAAUUUGAAGCUGUUUAGUUGCUUGACGGAAUCUACUAGUAGAUGGAUAGAAAAGGCAUAAUUAUAUUAAGAUAGUAACAAAAGAGGCGAAGAUAUAUGGCUUAAAACAGAGGAAUGGAAUUUAUGGAGAUAACUCAACUAAAAGGGAGAGGCUGUAUGAGACCAUGAAAAAAAUAUCUUCUUAAACACUUAGAACGUAGAUGAGUCAGCUGGUUUUAUAACUUUGAAAAUUUAGAUCAUAGUUUUGGUAGAAACAAUUUAUGGCUUUAGGGGAAGGAAAAGGAUAUAACAGACAUCAUCUGAUAUUCUGGCAGCAGAUUAAUAUGAGAGAUGGUUCAGAUUUAGUAUCUUAAUUGAAGGUUUUGUUUUGAGCCACACGCAAAAAUAAAACAUAAGCAAUAUAAUCAGAAGCAACCAGUCUGAUUUGAUCCUUUCGUUCUCAUUAUACUGUAACAAGCAACCACCUUGAAUUGAUAGUUUCUGGUCUAUCGCCACAGAUCCUUUUUAUCUCUCAUUCUACUAGCUCCUUAAUGGUUGAAAGUGUUUAUAGAAUGACAAGUAAUAUAAUCAGAAGCAACCAGUCUGAUUUGAUCCUUUCAUUCUCGUUAUCCUGUAAGAAUCAACCACCUUGAAUUGAUACUUUCUGGUCUACCGCCACAGAACCUUUUUCUGUCUCAUUCUACUAGUUCCUUAAUGGUUGAAGGUUUUAACAUUAAUGACCUUUGCAAUUAGAAAGUGUUUAUACUUUCUGGAUCAGAUCUGGUUCGGUUCUUCUCUUAAUUUCAUCUGCCCAUGUGCCUUACUGCUCCAGAAUAGUAAGAAAAGUCGGCGUCUUUGAUACUGAAAUUGAUGAUUUUCAUUUCUAUUAUUCUCCCUCGAUGCUUUAGCGCUUGCCAUAUUAUGGAUUCUUAACUCAUGAUUUCAGAUGAAUAAGUCAUUUGUUGGCAUUAACUUAUUUGUGCCCCCCCCUUAUUUAUGGUUUAUAUGCCUUGAAAAGUUAAAGGAAAAAGUAUGAAGAUGAUGAGCAUUUGUCUUUCUACUAAGAUAUGAAGUUUGAGAGAAAUUUUUUGGAUUUGAUCAUGGUUUUGUAUUUUCUCAUUGUCAUGUUUCAGGUUGUAUCAGAAAUUAUUACAUUUAUGUUUUAUCUUUUGCAUUGCAGGCACAAAUGCGAGAUUUGACAGGAUUUGUUGAUACAAGACAACAACUUUUGCAUUUGAAACCAAAUCAUCGCAUGAACUGGAUUGGCUUUGCUGUAGCCCACCAUUUAAACUCAAAGUACUUGUCCUUUAUUUUUUUCUUAAAAAAAUUUGUUCCAAUUCUUAUGCUAACUUUCACCAAUUUCUGUUGACUUUUAUUUUGUGAAACAUGUUUUAGAGUGUUGUCAUUGUUAUGUAUACUUGAAGGUCCAAAUUGAAGGGCCUUUUGGUAUUGAAAGUUGAAAUAUUUGUUGAUAUAAUGAAAGCCUUUCUUUAAAUUAAAUGCUUAAUCAGGACUUAAUGUUUCUAAUUAUAUGAUCAAAUGGGUGCUAACAUGGAUGAAAUUACUGUUGAUUUUUAACACGUGGUUCAUAUUGUUUGUAUGACUUCAACUAAACAUCCAAUAAGAUAUCAAACUUCUUUUAUGACAAUAUAUGGUGGGUGUGGAAUGUGUUAAAGAUGUUACUAAUAUGUAUAGAUAGGUGGGUAGAUAGAUAGGUACCCUACUAUUCUAAGCUGGUUGCACUUGCAUUUAUGAAAUUUGGUUGCAAAUUAGCCUUUUACAAACAAUGCCUAGUUAACCGCAGAGUUAUGUUGUUUUUGCUAUAGUUUUAUAUGGAGACAAUGAUGAUGCCAUAUUUUCAUUUGGCUUUAUAUAUGAAUGAAUUGAAGUUGUUGGCACAACAGUUACGAGGGUUUUUCCUUUUCUGUCCCUGUCUUAGCCGAGUAGUUCUAAGUGAAUGAAGUCUUAUUAAUCUCAUUCAUCCUUUAGGUAUUUAUGCUGUAUUCCUUUUUUUGGUUGAUAUUAGUGGUGCAAAAGCAGUUGAAAUUUUGGAAGCAUUUGAAGGGACAUUAGAAGAUGAUUAUCCACCAGAUAAUGAACGUUGUGAGCAUGGUGAAAUGCUUUUAUAUAAGGUAUUGGUCAUGUACUUCAACUCUUUUUUUUUGCAUGCAUAUGUAUGUGGGAUGUGGCUGUAAUUUCACAUGAGUUGACUUCAUUAUACAGACAUUCAAAAUUUUAGAAUUUAUACUAACAUAGAAUGGGAGUGACCGAUUUGGUGUCACUUGUUAACCAGAUGCCAACAGUGUUAGUGAAAUUAUCCAUAAACCAAAUAAAGUAAUUAAAUAUACAAAAAUUAAAGAUUUUUAAUGCCUUUACCUUCUUUAUAAAUGGGGUCCCUUUUUUGAAUUAAUUCUAAUUUUUUUCACAUGCAAUUAGAAAACCUACCCAUUUCUUCUUAACUUCUUUUUUCCUUCUGCUUAUUUUAUUGCCAAAAUCUCAUCUACUUUCAUGUACAUGUUACACCCAUUUUUUCUACUUGUGAAGUAUGGCUUUUCAUGAUUCUGUGUGUAUGGCUGAUAAGUUAAAUUAAAUCAUCUCCAAGUUUACUUUAAUCUGAGAUGGAGGACUAACUAGUGGCCUAUAGUGGUAUUUGGCAUCUAUAAGAUAUUUAAUUCUUGAUGUAUUCAUGUUAGAGAGAAAUAUGGCUUGUUCACUAAUUGUUGGGCCUUCUACCAGUAAUCAUAUCUGUGGUGUUUGUACUUAGCAGCUCUGAAUCUUAAUAAUUGCUAAUCUCCAAUUAUAUGUUCUGUGGAACCAUUUCGGAAUUUUUGUUUCUGACAUCUUAAUAAGUUAGUCUAUCUUUCUUUUUGACUACUCUUUUUUGGUUUAACACCAUUAACAUGAUUCGAAAACAGCUUAACCAAUUGGACAAGUACCUACAAGCCUUAGCCCUUGCAGUAGCAUUUGUUUCGUUAAUAAUAUUUUGGCAUAGAAAUAUGCAUAACUACAUUCAUUAUGCAUAAUGGAUGCUGUACAUCUAGACUGGUGGUGCCCCCUGCUGCUUUUCUGAUGUUUAUGAGGGUAUGGUAUUUUUCUCCAGAUCUCUUUGCUAGAGGAAUCUGGGUUUCUUGAGAGAGCACUUGAGGAAUUGUAUAAGAAAGAGCCAAAAAUAGUACGUGUCAAAUGUAUAAUGCCUGAAUACUUUUAACAUUAAAAAUUUUGUAUGAAUUUUUGGACAUUAAAAUUCUAACCAAUUCUAUUAUUCUAGGUUGAUAAAUUGACUUAUAAAGAACAAGAGGUUUCUCUCCUGGUGAAACUUGGAUGCCUAGAAGAAGGUGCCAAUAUUUACAAGGCUUUACUUACCAUGAACCCUGACAGUUACAGGUGAGUCUUAUGCAUUUGGUACUCUUUUGAAACACCUAGUUAAGCUCAUUAAUAAAUCUUUCAUAGCAAAGAAUAUUAGUCAACUCUUUCCUUUUAUAUAGCACUUCUUGAAGUUAUAAUUGACUUCUUUUUCUCAAUGCCGUGGUGUAUUAUUAUUGUAGGAAAUGAAGAAUAAUUAAUAUUCUGAAUAGUUUGUGUGUUUAAAUAUAUUUUUGUUGGGCUAAUAGGUUUUUCAAUUCUUCUUGUAGUAACACCCAAAUUCCUUUACCUAUGUUAGAACUUUAUGAAGGGUUAAAAGAAUGGUAGAAAUAGUCAUUAUUUUUUAUGCUCUAUUUUUGUUGGUGCUUUAAGCUUGAAACUAAUCAGUGUGUAUCCCUUAUGUCACAAAUUCAAUCGUUUUUUAGUUUUAAAUUUUGUUUCUUUAAGCUUUUGCUUAUACUUGUGCGUGUUACAUUUACACCAUGGUAUCUUUACACAAAAUGAGGUUAUUUUUAUUUUUUUCAUUCUUGGGAUUGUUUUAUAUCUCUCUGUCCUGUCAAGCCCUUUGCUUAGCUCUUUUAGUAAAAAGGAGCAUUAUGCACCACCUCAUAUAUAAAUAUAAUUAAAAGGUAGCAAAGCAACUAUGAGCAGAACUGUAAUUCUAUAAUACUAUAUGUGUCAACAGUCUCUUGGGUGCUUUCUCAGAUUGGGAAAUGAGGAAAAUUCUUUUACAGAACUGUUAACUUAUGUCUCUUCACUCAGUGUAUGCCUAUAUAUCAGUGCAAUUUAUUGCUAUUAGGUCUGAUAAACCAGGAGCCAACCAACUUACAAUUUUUGUAUUUGUAUAUGUAUAUUUUUCAGAUAUUAUGAAGGCUUGCAGAAAUGCUUUGGCCUGUAUUCUGAAAAUGCCAAGUAUUCCUCUGAUGAAUUUGAUCGAUUGGAUGCAUUAUACAAAUCACUUUCACAAUAGUACACUUGGUCUUGUGCAGUUAAGGUGAUGGAUUUAUGUUGUGCUUCUGUUUUCAUUAGGAAUUUAUGAUGGAUGUUAUCGAUACAUUCUGUUUAUUGCAAAAACUCCCUAGUUGUGGAAUGUGCUAGUCUAAACUGUUUUAUUAUGUCUUAACUGUUAGUCAUAUUAAUUUCAUUUUCUGUUUUGUAUCUCUUUUUUUUUUUUUUUAUGAGCUCCAAAUGGUACCUUGGGAUGUUCUGUUCAUUAUAUUUACUCUGGAUUUCUUCCUCUGUCUCUCUCUUAUUUAUGGAAUCACAUGAUGCAAAUCCAACGAAAACCUUACUUUUCUGCAGAGCUGUCAAGCUUUCUCCCCUUUUCUAGAGAGAGGAAGGGUGGCUAUUUUUACAAAUACUCUUGUAGGGAUCUUAUUUUUCUUGAUGGCUUGAUAAGAUAUUAUGUGACAAAAAUCUAGUGAUGUGCUUCUACAACAGACACAAUCCAUUCAAUAGCUUGUGAUAUUCUUAAAUAAUCUAGAAAUAGAUAGUUGUGGUAUUAUGCUGAAAUACUUAAUUGAUGUCUUGAUGUGACAACUGUAAGAACUCUAGGUGGUUAAAAUUAUGCUUUCAUAUGCUUCACCCUUAGAGAUUUGACAGGGACUUAUAUUAGAACUUUGUUUUCUCAAUUUUUAGAGGAUACCUCUUGAUUUUCUGCAAGGAGACAAAUUUUGUGAAGCAGCAUUUAAUUACAUUAAGCCUCUUCUAACAAAGGUAUAUACAUCCAAUGAGAUUUUUUUUUUUUUUGUGUUAGUUUGACUGGUGUUUUUAGUUUGUCGGGUGAAAUAAUGAUAUAUUUUCUUGGUGGUCUCAGGGGGUUCCAUCUUUAUUCUCAGACCUUUCUCCCUUGGAUGAUCACCCUGGAAAGGUAAGUUUUCUUACUUACAUAUUCUAAAAAUAGAAUUAAGUUUCUAAAUAUUGAUUAUUCUAAACUGCUUAGCUACUGGUUGGAGCUUGAUUUCAUUAGGAUUGAUUGCCUGCUUUGUUGACACUUACACAGGCAGACAUAUUGGAACAACUUGUUCUUGAGUUGGAGCAUUCAAUUAGGACCACUGGCAGAUACCCUGAUAGCUAGUAUAUGCUUUAAAACCUUGUGUAAUAUUUUAUUAAGUCUUAAAAGCAAAUAAAUGUUUAGAUUUACUACUCUUUGAGGUAAUAUAGACUUCCAGCCCUUAUGUGAUAUUCUAGUAAGUCUUAACAGUGUCUAAAUGUUUAGAUAUUGGGUGCGGUCUGAGUGCAUUUUUUUCUUUUACUGCUUAUUGUUUGGUGAAGUCCUCAGUCAUUUAUGUGUUGUUAUCUAUUAAACAAGUACAUAAUGGUUGUCCCAUAUGGUUGCAUGUGAAGUUUCUAUAUGUUUUUGUUUGUAUGCUAAUACACAAGCACGCAUUUGGUAUUAUGCUGAGUCAUUUCUUGCUUGUGUUUCAUAUUGAGUGCAGGACAGAGAAAGAGCCCCCUUCAACACUUUUAUGGAUUUUAUUCUUUUUGGCUCAGGCGGGUAACCAUCAGGUUUCCUCACCCCGUGGGCCAUGGCCUUUUCUUCUUUUCUUGCUAUAAAUGUUUGGUGCUUUCUUUGCAUUUGAGUAACUUUGAAUUUAUUGAUGCAGCAUUAUGAUAGAAAAGGCCAAUAUGAUGUUGCUCUUUCAAAAAUUAAUGAGGCCAUAGAGCACACACCAACUGUAAUUGAUUUAUACUCUGUCAAGGUUUGUUCUCGUCUUCAAUCUUCAAAUUUUUGCAUUGGCUUCAUCUGCUGGUUUUAGAUUUUUGUUAGCUGGAUUCUUUUAUUUUAUUUUUUGAUCUUAUAUUUUGAAAUCUUUUUGCCUGGUUUGUCUCGCAUCUCACAAGGCAUAGCAAUACCUGAAAAUCUUUCUAGAUAUUUCCUUGUAGUUAUCGUUCACUUGUAAGAGACUUAUCACUUUCUAUGAUACUGACCUUGAUUGAAUAUAUUGUUUUGCACUAAAUUGUGCAAAGUUGAUAUACAUUCAUUUAAAAUGCAUACUAGUUUUUCUUUGUGGACCUUAAGUCUUGAUGGGCAUUGGGCAGGCAUAUGACCUCCUUUCUUAGGUUUUAGGGUUUUUGGUACAUGGCUAUUGUUUCUUGAUGAACCUUUUUACUAUCUUUUGGAGAAGUACUUGGAAUUUUCUUGAAGCUGGUUCUAUGUGUAUAUUAUUUACUUCUCUUUGGUGACAGAGUCGGAUACUGAAACAUGCUGGUGAUUUGGUAGCUGCAGCUUCAUUGGCAGAUGAAGCUAGGUGUAUGGAUCUCGCAGACCGUUAUAUAAACAGUGAAUCUGUGAAGCGAAUGUUGCAGGCUGAUCAGGUUCUAAAGCUCCCCCCUUCAUCUUUUAUCAUAGUUAAUAUUUGUCACUGUAAAUUUCUUUCAGUAUUACUGUACUGUUCACAAACUUUUUCCACUCUUGAAGGUGGCUUUGGCAGAAAAAACUGCUAUUUUGUUCACAAAAGAUGGGGACCAGCACAACAACCUUCAUGACAUGCAGUGCAUGUGGUCUGUUUUUGUUUAUUACCUUCGACAUGUUGUUGUCUCUAAUUAUAAUUUGGGUGCACCUACUGAGUGUUAUCCAUCUUUUGAAGGUAUGAACUUGCUUCUGGUGAAAGUUACUUUCGACAAGGUGAUCUUGGACGGGCCCUGAAGAAAUUUUUAGCUGUGGAGAAGCACUAUGCUGAUAUUGCUGAAGAUCAAUUUGAUUUCCAUUCUUAUUGUUUGCGGAAAAUGACACUCUGUGCAUAUGUUGAAAUGCUAAAAUUUCAAGAUCGGUUGCAUUCACAUGCUUAUUUUCACAAAGCAGCAGCUGGUGCCAUCAGGUGAACAUUUUUGUUAGGAUCUGCAAGCUUUUCGAUGAUUUGCAAUAGACUUAUUCCGUUUGGUUGUGGCCUGUACGUGAAAAAUGCUAUGUAAUCUCUGUUGUCUACUUGUCUGGGUGCUUUUAGCUUCUGUCACCUAUUGUUGAUCAACACAUGCAUGUGAUGCUUCACUUUGGAUUAGAUUUUCUUUGCCUCCCUCUUUUUCCUUUUGUCUUUUGGGGAAUGGGGGAUUAUUGCAUACAUAUAUAUUGCAUUAAUCGUAUGUUGCAAUGAUGUGUUGUCUGAACCUUGCUUUCAAAGCAUGAAAAACUUCCUAAAGGUAACUGUUGUUCCUUACUUGCCCUUGUACAACCAUUCAUUUGUUAAUUAGACGCUCCCAUUAUGAUAGCCAGUCUAAUUCAAGAGUCUUCUAGCAGCCCCUCCAUUAAUAGGGGAGGGGCUAUCUGAUUCCCUUCCACUACUCUAGUUUUUCCUUGAAUCUUGGAUGUACGGAUUUACAACAUUUUUCAAGACAAAACCUCGCUAAGUUUAUAAUCAAGAAAGUAUCAAGAUUCCUUUUCUUACAUUUGUUUUUGCUAGAGAAAAAUUUUUCGAGUUAUAUGAGCAAAACAGAAUAUAGGGUUCCAAGUUUUUUGUUGAUCAAGCAACAACCUGAUUUGAACCGGGGAAUAAGGGAUUUGCAAUCCCUCGCCUUACUGGUUGGCCAUGUCACCAAAGGUUAGAAACAAAAAAAAUGAGAGUAUCCCCUUUUUAGUUAUAGAUUGGAACCAUACCUUCAAUUAGUUAUAGUAUCUCAAGUAAAAAAUUAGUAUUGUUCUUUUUUUCAAUAAAAAAAAAUUUCUUAAUUUGAUUUAUAUUAUAUUAUAAUAAUAUAACAACAAUUAUGAUUCUAUGUAAACCCCAGAACAAAAGUUAUUACACAGCUAUAGUUAUCUAAUAAUGUAUUUCAUCUAUCUAGAUAUGAUGUCCAUAGGGAAUUAGCAAAAAAUUAUCAUGUUUCAAUUUUUCAUUGAAUAGAUUAAAAUUAAAGAAAAAUAGAAUUUUUCAUAGAGCACGUUGUGUGUUUUCUCCACUAGAGUUCUAUAAUGGAAUAAAAAAAAGGAAAGAAUAUAAAUAGAAAUGCUAUAUCUGCGCAUGUUUAAUAAAUACAAGCCUCUUUUUGUGCACACUUCAAUCAUAUUCUAAAUAUUCUAUUAAAAAAUAAAAAACUAAAAAGUUGGUGAACUAAAAAGUUGGUGAAACGUCUCUGCAAAUCAUUUUUUGAACAAUGGAAUCUAUGGAAAAGUUAAGUUUUAGAAAAAUCAACUCUCUACCUAUAUAUAUUUUAUGAUUAUUUUUUCUUUAUCUAAAUGAAUAUAUAAAAUUAGGAAUUCAUUUUAUUUUUUUAGUAUUCAAUUGGAUUGGAAUAUGUAAUAUCAUAAUAAUGGUAGCAAUGGAAUUAUUAUUAUUAUUAUUAUUAUUAUUGAUAUUCUAUACAAAACUCCAUUCGGCUAAAUGGCUAUCAUAUUGACUAUACUAAGGCCUUUUUUUGUAACUGAUAGAUUCAUAAGUUUUUCCUUAAUUCACUCUUACAUGGAUUAUUGAAAAUUAAAAGUAUAUCAAAAUGAAAUAUCUAAUAAAUUGAUUAAUUCAAAAUUUUCAAAUUAGCGAUUUUUUUUAUUCCUGAAUAUCCAACUCACUAAUUAAUUCUUUAUAGUGUAUUUUAUUUUUCUUUGAUAAAUAAGAUAGUAGCCAUUAAUGUUUUCCUAUAAUUUUACGUAGACCUUUUUGAGGUAAGUAAUUUUUUUUGUGCAAUUCCUAAUUUGAGGUAAAUCUUUGUAUCUUAUUUGUGAAACUAAUUAGUUGAAAUUCAAUGAACUCCUUGUUUUCUUUUUUCUCCCCUUGAAAAUUAACUGAGAUCCAUGAAUGAAUUUUUUUAUCAUAAAACAAAAUUUUCUCGCUUCUUUUUGAAUGUGAAUUUUAAUAAUGAGUAAUAAUAAUACUUGUCGUAACGGUUUUGGGACCGUCAGACGUAAAAACGGAGUUUUAAAAUCGAGAAAAAUAAAAAGGGAGUCGUCACCAAUCUUUGUUAGGGUGUGAUUGAUCACCAAAAAGUUUAUCUUUUUAAUAAAAUUAUAAAAACGAGUUUAAAGUUUAUAAAAAAGAUAAAUUUCGGUCUACGAAAAAUCAAGUUGGGUCCGAGAGUCGGUUACGCGUGGGGAAAUAUUAGCACCCACACAACGCUCAUAAAUUGGUACCAUUUAAUUAUGCAUUAUUUUCAACGUUGAAUAAAAAUAGUUUUAAUUUAAAAUUUAACAUUAAUUCCCUUCAUUUAAAAAUAUUUUUGCUAAAAUUUUUAUUUAGGAAUAUUGAGAAAAUCUUUAAGUUAAACAAUUAUCUUAAAAUUCUCCAAUAUCUAGGUAGAAUUUGAAAUAACUCUUUUCGCUUAAGAUUUAACAUAAUAAUCCUUAAAAUGAAAUAACAUUAUUUAUAAAAAAUUGUUAGUAACUCUCCAACAUCUAGACAGAGUAUCAAGAAUUAUUUCUUUUGGAAUGUUAUUUUUAUUUUAUUGUAUAAUAUCACAAAAAUAUAUAUUUUUAAAAGUAUUAUUCCUUUUUUUUUACUAUAAAAUAUUUUAUCAUCGAACAACAAAUUAAAGAGAGAAUAAUGUAAUCGAUUAUCGAUGAUAACAUGCUAACGUAUGUAUGCUAAUGAAUGUCAUUUAUAAUGAAAUGCAAUUUAAGAGUUUGAUUCUUAAGUAUAAUGAGACCACCCCGACUCUCCAACAUUUAGGCAGAGCUUAGGUGCGACUAUUUAUAUUUAAGAUCCCAAUUUUAUUAUACCUUUAUUUAUUAAUCUUAUAAUUAAUGUGAAUUACGAACUCGUGUGAAAAGACUUAGCGAAGUAAAAUUUUCUAAAUACUUCAUCAUCUAGGCGAUAUUCAGAAACAAAUUGCUUUAAAUAGAAAUUUCACACGCGUCCUUAGGAUUUUUAGGACUUUGGAUUUCAGGGAUUUUGGAUUUUUGGGAGUUUGGAUUUCAGGGAUUUUGAAAAUUAAAAAUUAGUAUUUAAGGUUUAAGUAAAACACGAAUAUCUCUAAAAAUCCCCAUCAUCUAGGCAGAUUUCGGAGCAGGUUCAAUUUUUAUAAUUUUUGAAAACUAAUUAAAAUUUCUUAUAUUUUAAUUUUUUAUGAAAAUUUAUUAAUAAUAAUUCCGUGAAAUUAUUUAUUUAGAAAAAUAUUUUAUUCCUUCAAACAUCUAGGCAGAAAAAAUAAAAAAUUAUUUAUUUUUUUAAAGCAUUCUUAAUAUAUUUUUAAUUAUUAAAUUUGUUUUUAAUUUAUUAUUAUUAAAAAAUUAAACAUUUAUUUUAACAAAUUUAUAAAUUUAUGCAUAUAUUUAAAAUAACAAAAAUAAUAAUAUAAAAAAAUUAAAAAAUUUCAAAAUUUUUUACCUGAACCGGACCGGUCAACGGUCCGGUCAACGACCGGUUCGGAUGGACCAAAAAGAGAUCGGUUCGGCUCGCGGUUCAGUAGAACCGGCUGAGGAGCGGUUCGUUCCGGUUUGAUUGAACCGGCUCAGAGCUGUUGGAGGAAACGGGUCAGCGGGUCGUUGCGCGGAUUCGAGUCGGGUCAUGGGCUUGCGGAUCCUCCUGGUCCAGACGUCGUCGUUUUGGCUAUUUGUUCCCCUAUAAAGGACCCCUGUUUUUUUUUUCAGCUCAUUCUGUUUGUUUCAGAAAAAAACGGGGAGAGAGGGGGAGAGAGAAAGCUCUGAGGAAGAGCUCCGUCCGGUCGCCGGACCACCGCGCCGGCCGCUGCCUGGGUAGCCGCCGGCGGUGGUAGGAAAUUUCAAAAGUGACCAGGAGGUUCCUUUCGACGCGAUCUUUUCAGAUCUGGUCUCUUCUUCGCCGAAAACGACCCCGAUCGACGUAGAUCGGGGUUCUAAGUUUUCUGUUCUUCUUCCUUUUUUUUACUUUUUUUUUUUUUUUAUAAAAUACUCAAACUAAUAACCUUGCUUUUCUUGUUGCAGGUACCUCCUUGGCGCUGGGUUCCUCGCCGAUUCGGCGAGGACUGUGUUAUUUUUUCGUUUCUGUUUUUUUUUUUUUUUUUUUCGGUUGGUGUAGUUUCUGUNNNNNNNNNNNNNNNNNNNNNNNNNNNNNNNNNNNNNNNNNNNNNNNNNNNNNNNNNNNNNNNNNNNNNNNNNNNNNNNNNNNNNNNNNNNNNNNNNNNNNNNNNNNNNNNNNNNNNNNNNNNNNNNNNNNNNNNNNNNNNNNNNNNNNNNNNNNNNNNNNNNNNNNNNNNNNNNNNNNNNNNNNNNNNNNNNNNNNNNNNNNNNNNNNNNNNNNNNNNNNNNNNNNNNNNNNNNNNNNNNNNNNNNNNNNNNNNNNNNNNNNNNNNNNNNNNNNNNNNNNNNNNNNNNNNNNNNNNNNNNNNNNNNNNNNNNNNNNNNNNNNNNNNNNNNNNNNNNNNNNNNNNNNNNNNNNNNNNNNNNNNNNNNNNNNNNNNNNNNNNNNNNNNNNNNNNNNNNNNNNNNNNNNNNNNNNNNNNNNNNNNNNNNNNNNNNNNNNNNNNNNNNNNNNNNNNNNNNNNNNNNNNNNNNNNNNNNNNNNNNNNNNNNNNNNNNNNNNNNNNNNNNNNNNNNNNNNNNNNNNNNNNNNNNNNNNNNNNNNNNNNNNNNNNNNNNNNNNNNNNNNNNNNNNNNNNNNNNNNNNNNNNNNNNNNNNNNNNNNNNNNNNNNNNNNNNNNNNNNNNNNNNNNNNNNNNNNNNNNNNNNNNNNNNNNNNNNNNNNNNNNNNNNNNNNNNNNNNNNNNNNNNNNNNNNNNNNNNNNNNNNNNNNNNNNNNNNNNNNNNNNNNNNNNNNNNNNNNNNNNNNNNNNNNNNNNNNNNNNNNNNNNNNNNNNNNNNNNNNNNNNNNNNNNNNNNNNNNNNNNNNNNNNNNNNNNNNNNNNNNNNNNNNNNNNNNNNNNNNNNNNNNNNNNNNNNNNNNNNNNNNNNNNNNNNNNNNNNNNNNNNNNNNNNNNNNNNNNNNNNNNNNNNNNNNNNNNNNNNNNNNNNNNNNNNNNNNNNNNNNNNNNNNNNNNNNNNNNNNNNNNNNNNNNNNNNNNNNNNNNNNNNNNNNNNNNNNNNNNNUCCGCGAAAUUAAUUUAUUUAGAAAAAUUAUUUUUAUUCCUUCCAACAUUUAGGCAGGGAAAAUAAUAAAAAUUAUUUAUUUUUUUUAAAGCAUUUUAAUAUAUUUUUAAUUAUUAUUUGUUUUUAAUUUAUUAUUAUUAAAACAAUUAAACAUUUAUUUUAACAAAUUUAUAAAUUUAUCAUAUAUUUAAAAUAACAAAAAUAAUAAUAUAAAAAAAAUUCAAAAAUAUUUUUACCUGAAUCGGACCGGUCAACGACCGGUUCGGAUGGACCGAAAAGAGAUCGGUUCGGCUCGCGGUUCAGUAGAACCGGUUGAGGAGCGGUUCAUUCCGGUUUGAUUGAACCGGAUCAGAGCUGUGGGAGGUAACGGGUCAGCGGGUCGUUACGUGGAUCCGGGUCGGGUCAUGGGGCGUGCGGAUCCUCCUGGUCCAGACGUCGUCGUUUUGGCUAUUUGUUCCCCUUACCCCUAUUUUUUUUUUUUCAGCUCAUUCUGUUUGUUUCAGAAAAAAAACGGGGAGAGAGAAAGCUCUGAGGAAGAGCUCCGUCCGACCGCCGGACCACCCAGCCGGCCGCCGCCUGGGUCGCCGCCGGCGGUGGUAGGAAAUUUCAAAAGUGACCAGGAGGUUCCUUUCGAUGCGAUCUUUUCAGAUCUGGUCUCCUCUUCGCCGAAAACGACCCCGAUCGACGUAGAUCGGGGUUCUAAGUUUUCUGUUCUUUUUCUUUUUUUUUACUUUUUCUUUUUUUAUAAAAUACUCAAACUAAUAACCUUGCUUUUCUUGUUGCAGGUACCUCCUUGGCGCUGGGUUCCUCGCCGAAUCGGCGAGGACUGUGUUAUUUUUUCGUUUCUGUUUUUCUUUUUUUUUUUUCGGUUGGUGUAGUUUCUGUUUGGGUAUUUUGGGUGUUUGGGAGUGUUUUGAGGGAGGGGUAGCUCGUUUGGUGAUUUUUGGUAGGGAUGAAGUGAACGGGUUCCUAUGCGUUCGAGAGAGAUUUCGGAAAAGGAGGGAUUCGAGGGAGAGGUUUCAGAAAAGGGAAUUUUUAGAGCAAGGUUGAAUGGGGAUUCCAGCCAGCUUCCUCCUUCUUGAAGGGGAAGUGGCUGGAGAUUUUUAAAGGCUUAAAUUAGGGGGAUCUAGGUGGCUGUAGGGUAGUUGGUUGGUGGCUGUAGGGUGGCUGGUCGGGUAGUUGGUCGGAGGCUGGUGACAGCGGCGCCGUACCAACUCCCUGAUUUCUGUCUUAUUCUGUUUCUUUUGUUUGUUUUUUUUUUUUUUUGUUUUGUUUAUUAAUAAUUUUUUUAUUAAAAAUAUUAUUAUUAUUAUUAAAACAGUAGACCCGGACAAAAUCGGUGUCUACAAUACUAGUCAUUUUGAUAUGCACAAUGAUUUUAAGUUCGUUAUGAACUUUAUGAUUUUUUCAAAUAAUGUUAAUCAAUCUGUUUUUCAAUUUCAUUUGUAUAGGAAUACAAAAGAGAGUUUUAGAGUUCAAAUAAGAGGCUGUUGUUGAUUCAUUUGUUGAUCUAAUUGAUAUGUAUGUGAUUAAAUUAGUAUUAUGUAUCAGAAUGCUAUGUAAGACAAUCCUUGUGCCCCGUCUCUUUGUUUUAUAUACCUGAUGGACCAAAUACAUAAUAUAUAGGAAAAUAUACCAUUAACGAAUUUUCAACUGUGGAUACAUGUCUAUCCUUACCAUACAGAAACAAAUGCUAUUAAUAAGCCAAUUAUGUUAUAUUAUAAAGCAGUUUUUUUUUUUUUUUUUUGUGGCUUUACACAUACCUUAGUUGCAAUAACUCCUCUUGCCCUGGUAGGUCUGAAGUUCAAAUGCUCUCCCACAAAUUAUUAACUAUUAAAAGAAGAUGCAAAUAUUUGGAUCUGCUUAAAAAAUUUGUGUUCAAAUGAUGCUCAAGUCAAAUUUAAUUUAACAAGUAUUCUAGAUUAUAGUUUCUGAUUUUUAUAAGGUUAUAUACUUGUUUCAUACUUAGGAUGGUGUUUUACGUUGUACUUAGGGGAUUCUUAUUAUAUUAUGUCGAGACCUUGUGGUAUAUGCCAAACAGGAUAAAAAUUUUGCUUGGUAGUCUCAAUUUGCUUUCGUUAUAUCUUUUGUAAGUUCAUAUUCUCGUGAUGUUAUUACUGAAAGGAUUAAAUGUUCCUUGCAGGCAUAUUGAAAUUUGAGAUUGUGGCUUUUUAAAUGAUAGGAAGGCGGCGCCUGGGAUUUCUGUUGGGUUAAGGAUGGAGAAUUGCAUGUUACCGUACCAGAAUUUAUUUGUUGAUUAUAUAGCUUUUUAUAUUGAUCUUAUUGAUUUGAUGGUGAAAUGGAAUGGGAUGAUAUAGUGACAGGCCAUGCAACAAUUAAGUAAUAGUUUUUGUGAUUGAUCCAUUGUCCCAUUUCUAUGUUGGUGUUUCUUUCUCUGAAACUCUUGGCUUGAAACUGGUGAUUACUUCAAUUUUGAACCUUUUCUUUCUGCAUUGUGAUAAUUAUUGGAUUUUGAAGUGCAAAUGCUAUCUAAAGUUGUUUGAUUCUCCUUUGAACUCACUGGCUGAAGAAGAGGAUGACACAUCAAAGACUCCUUCUCAGAAAAAGAAAAUGAAGAAGCAGAGGAAGGUGGAACGAGCUAAGAAAGUAUAUCAGCUUGUUUUGGUGAUUCUUGGCUAACACUCUCUUUGAUGAUUUCAUUCUGAUGCCGUGUAUUAUUUUAAGAGGCAGAGGAGAAAAAUGAAGAAUCAAGUUCUAGUGGCAUCUCUAAGUCUGGGAAACGACAUGUUAAACCUGUAGAUCCUUAUCCUUUUGGAGAAAAAUUAUUGAAGGUUACCUAUUAUUAUCUUUUCCCUGUGCUUUAGAUUCCUGAUUAAAGUCCUCGUGCUGUAAAAAUGUGUUACGCUAAUGCCUAUUAAGCUAAGACUGUUUAAUCUGUAUUUUUUUUUUCAGACAGAGUAUCCCUUGUCAGAAGCAACGAAGUACUUGAAUUUGCUUCAGAAGAACUCACCUGAUUCUUUGGAGACGCACUUACUUUCUGUUGAAGUAAAUAUGAGAAAGCAGAAGAUUUUGCUUGCCUUUCAGGUAUUAUAUUUUCCAAGAAUUGAACAUGAGAUGUGUUUCUUGUUCUUUUUGUGUUUGGUCAACUAGAACUGAUAUUUAAUUGUCAGCUAGUGAUUUGUGAGGAAGCCCCUUCUCUUGUUUUCUCCUCUCUUUUUUCACUUUCUGCCUGUGGAUAUGUUCUUGAAAUAAAGAAACUGUACCGUUUAACCAAACAUCCUUUUCUUAUUGCUCUACUCACUCAAUGAAUUUAUGUGUGAAUUAGAUAGUUUGCACGACAUAUCUUUGAGUUGUAGAACAAUGGUUUUGUGCAGUAGUACUUUUACUAUUUCAUGAGCUCAUAUUAGUACGUUUGUCUUGGUUUUAUUUUGUUUUCCUGAAGGCUGUAAAGCAACUGCUAAGGCUGGAUGCUGAGAAUCCAGAUUCACAUCGCUGCUUGGUAUGUAACAUCUGCCCUACCAUAUUUGUGCACUGCCAUGCACAACUGCAUUCUUUUCUGUUCUUAGAUACAAAGAUCAUGUAAUCUUUACAAUGCUUAUUUGAAUUUAAUCUAAUGCAGAUUAAAUUUUUCCAUAAAUUGGGCUCAAUGCCUGCUCCAUUAACUGAUGCUGAAAAACUUGUUUGGAGUGUCUUAGAAGCUGAGCGUCCAUCCAUCAGGUUCUCUUUGAAAUGGUUUUAUGAUAGCUAUUCCCCCUACUAGAAUUUUGUUGUGUUACUGUUACUAUUAUUAUUUUGAUCCCUGAUGCAUUAAAUCCCUUUAUUUUCUCUUUCCGCAGUCAAUUGCAGGAGAAAACUCUUAGUGAGGCGAACAAAGUUUUCCUUGGUAAACAUGAAGGAAGGUAUUACGACCUUUACAUAACAUGAUGCAUUUUAGGUUCCUUGAGGUAGGUUGUAUAAUCAUGCAAAUUUCACUUUUUGGUUCUGCAGAAUCUUUGAUGCAUAUAGUGGCAGUUGCAGAAAUGUUAUAUACCUUGGAGCAGACCAAGAAACUUGAGGCUGUUAAGUAGAGAAUUAGUUGGUGGAGGACAAAUUGGAAUGUGUGAGGAAUUUGGAGACCUUCUGAAGGUUUGAUUUCUACCAUCUUAAUUUUAUUUAAAUUUUUUUACUUCAAAUAAUGCCCGAUUUGAUUUUUUUCUAUUUUUUUCUGAUGAUAAAAUGUGUUCUCGUUAUAGACUGUAGAUAAUGAUAUUGCUAGUGUAAACUGUUUUAUUAUGUCUUAGCUGUUAGUCAUAUUAAUUUGAUUUUCUGUUUGGUAUUUUUUUUUAAUGAGCUCCAAAUGGUACCUUGGGAUGUUCUGUUCAUUAUAUUUACUCUGGAUUUCCUCUCUCUCUUAUUUAUAGAAUCACAUGAUGCAAAUCCAACGAAAACCUUACUUUUUUGUAGAGCUAUCAAGCUUUCUCCCCUUUUCUAGAGAGAGGAGGGGCGGCUAUUUUUACAAAUACUCUUGUAGGGAUCUUGUUUUUCUUGAUGGCUUGAUAAGAAAUUAUGUGACAAAAAUCUAGUGAUGUGGUUCUACAAUAGACACAGUCCAUUCGAUGGCUUGUGAUAUUCUUAAAUAAUCUAGAAAUAGAUAGUUGUGGUAUUAUGCUGAAAUACUUCAUUGAUGUCUUGAUGUGACAAUAGUAAGAACUCUAGGUGGUUAAAAUUAUGCUUUCAUAUGCUUCACCCCUAGAGAGUUGACAUGGUGGCUAAUUCUUUUAUUAGUGGCUAUCUUUAGCUCAUUCUUUUAGUUAAACUGACUUUCCUAUUUAAAAACCUUUUGACGAUGGGCCAGGUUAUGGCAUGAUUGAAAUAAAGUGUCAAACUCUAGAGCUUUUGGAAUUUGACUCAUGCAGUGAGGAUGUAUUUAAAUUGUUUUCUUCCUGUAACUCACAUUUGUAAUGUAUUCAUUCAUGAGAAUUGUAAUUAUUGCUGUUACAAUGUGCAUCAUUAUUGCCAAUAAAUGCUACUUCCUUUAUGAUGUGUGAUGAAUGUUCUAGGACUUAUAUUAAAACUUUGUUUUCUCAAUUUUUAGAGGAUACCACUUGAUUUACUGCAAGGAAACAAAUUUCGUAAAGCGGCAAUUGAUUGCAUUAAGCCUUUUCUAGCCUUUAUAUACAGGUGAGUGUUUUUUUUUUUUUUUUAUUAGUUUGAUUGGUGUUUUUUAGUUUGACUGGCUAUUGUUUCUUGAUCUUUUGGAGAAGUUCUUGGAAUUUUCUUGAAGCUGGGUCUAUGUGUAUAUUAUUUACUUCUCUUUGGUGACAGAGUCGGAUACUGAAACAUGUUGGUGAUUUGGUAGCUGUGGCUUCAUUGACAGAUGAAGCUAGGUGUAUGGAUCUUGCAGAUCGCUAUGUAAACAGUUAAUCUGUGAAGCGAAUGUUGCAGUCUGAUCAGGUUCUAAGGUUUCCCCACUUCAUCUUUUGUCAUAGUUAAUAUUUGUCACUAAAUUUCUUUCGGUAUUAUUGUACUGUUCACAAGCUUUUUCUACUUUUGAAGGUGGCUUUGGCAGGAAAAACUGCUGUUUUGUUCACGAAAGAUGGGGGCCAGCACAACAACCUUCAUGACAUGCAGUGCAUGUGGUAUGUUUUUGUUUAUUACCUUCCACAUGUUGUUGUCUCUAAUUAUAAUUUGGGUACACCUACUGAGUGUUAUCCAUCUUUUGAAGGUAUGAACUUGCUUCUGAUGAAAGUUACUUUCGACAUGGUGAUUUUGGACGGGCCCUAGAGAAAUUUAUAGCUGUGGAGAAGCACUAUGCUGAUAUUACUGAAGAUCAAUUUGAUUUCCAUUCUUAUUGUUUGCGGAAAAUGGCACCACGUGCAUAUGUUGGAAAGCUAAAAUUGAAAGAUUGGUUGCAUUCACAUGCUUAUUUUCACAAAGUAGCAGCUGGAGCCAUUAGGUGAACAUUUUUGUUAGGAUCUGCAGCCUUUUCAAUGAUUUGCAAUAGACUUAUUCUGUUUGGUUGUGGCCUGUACGUGUAAAAUGCUAUGCAAGCUCUGUUGUCUACUUGUCUGGGUGCUUUUAGCGUCUGUCACCUAUUGUUGAUCAACACAUGCAUGUGAUGCUUCCUUUUGGGUUAGAUUCCUCUUUGCCUCCCUCUUUUUCCCUUUGUCUUUUGGGGAAUGGGGGAUUAUUGCAUACAUAUAUGUUGCAUUAAUCAUAUGUUGCAAUGAUGUGUUGUCUGAACCUUGCUUUCAAAGCAUGAAAAACUUCCUAAAGGUAACUGUUGUUCAUUACUUACCCUUGUACAACUAUUCAUUUGUUAAUAAUUAGACACUCCCAUUAUGAUAUCCAAUCUAAUUGAAGACUCUUCUAGCAGCCCCUCCAUUAAUAGGAGAGGGGAUAUCAUAUCAAGAUUUCUGAUUCCCCUCUCCUACUCUAACUUUUCCUUGAAUCCUAGAUGAAAGGAUUUACAACAUUUUUGAAGACAAAACUUUGCUAAGUUUAUAGUCAAGAAAGUAUCAAGAGUCCUUUUCUUGCACUUGUUUUUGCUAGAGAAAAUUUUUUGAGUCAUAUGAGCAAAGCAGAAUAUAGGGUUCCAAGUUUUUUGUUGAUCAAGCAAGAACCUGAUUUGAAACGGGGAAUAAGGGAUUUGCAAUCCCCCGCCUUACUGGUUAGCCAUGUCACCAAAGGUUAGAAACCAAAAAGAAUGAGUGUAUCCCCUUUAUAACUUUAGUUAUAGAUUGGAUCCAUACCUUCAAUUAGUUAUAGUAUCUCAAAUAAAAAAAUUAGUAUUGUUCUUUUUUUCUUUCAAUAAAAAAAAUUCUUAAUUUGAUUUAUAUUAUAAUGUAAUAAUAUAACAACAAUUAUGAGUCUAGGUAAACCCCAUGAACGAAAGUUAUUGCACGGCAAAAAAUUCAAACCCACAAUGAAAAACACUUAGGUUUUUUGUUCUUUCAUCCUAUCUUAUGAAAAAUGAAUUUUUACGAGUAUCACAUUUGCAUUUUCAUUGAUUUAUGAAUGGUGAGUGUUUUUGAUUUCAUUUUGUGUCUUUGUCAUCUAUUGUCUUGCUUAUAAGUACUGAAAGUUAAGGUACCCAUUGCUGUACUAGUAGUCACAUCAUUUGAAGAUUUUAUAUUGGUUAAUGAGGUAAAUAAAAUAGAAUUAAUUUGCUAUUGGAAAAAUUACAAAUUCAUGCACAUGUUUAGCUCAAGAAUCAGAGAUUUAGUUAAAUAUAUGAACGGUUGAUUAGGAGACCUGUUGUGUAAUAUAAAAGAUUCUUGUACUGAGUGCUCAAAUGACAGUUAAGUCCUGAAAGUAGCCUCAUUUGUGUAAAAAAUGCUGAAUCCUAAAGGCUAGGAACAUUUUUCAAAUGACUCUUCUUGGUUUCUCAUCCUUCAUUGGCAGGAUUGAGGCUGAGUAAUGAUCCUUUUUAUGAGGGAAGAUUAUACAAAAGGCUGUUUAGAAAGCUUUCUCCAAAUUGCUAUAAAAACCAACCAUCAUAGCAAAACGGCAGUGUCUGUGUUUCUUCAUUUUUGGGUUCUUCCACACACUGAAAUAACCUUUGCAUAUUAACAGGAGCUGACCUCAACCUCUGGACCUUGUGAUCCUUUAUGUUGAGUUGAUGAAGCUAGCUCGUUAGAUUUCGAAGUUACUUAACAGCCAAAGACUAAUUUGUUGAAAACUAUUGGUGUUUUCACAGCAGCUUUAACAGGGACUGUGGCAAUUAACCUAUCAUGGGUUACCAACAUCCAGGUUUAUCUUUAAUUUCUUGUGCAAUCCUUUCUUUGUAGGUUGUAAUCAUUUUUUCAUCUUUGGCCAAUAUUUUGUAUAUUCUUGUAUUAUCCACAGAAGCCUUUCUUAAUUUGAUCUAAUUUCAUAAUGCAUAUUUCUAUGGCAUUGCUUUUUGUAAUAGGAUAUGCAGGCAUUAUCUUUGAAGAAUUUCUAGCCUUCAAUAAAAGUGGAAUAGAUUGUUGAUGGCUGUGAGUUUAUGGGUGGUAAGGAGCAUAGGGGUAAGAAUGAUUCUCAGGUGUUUAGGAUUGGACUGUGUUUUUCUGCUGUCCCUCUUCUUUUAAGCAUUAUCUUUGACAUGCAUUGUGGUUGAAUGCUUAAAAGGAAGAUUAUUUCUUUUUGCUGGAUUCUUUGAAAUUCUAAAUAUAUGUUGUCAUAGGCUCUCAGUUAGUGUCUUUCUCAUUGAGAUUGUGUCUUGAUUCUUCUUGUUUCAUUUUUAAACUUUUACAUAAAUUAGGGCUUUGUAACUUUACUUUGAAAAAUUCCCUUGGGUUGUGAUGUGAUGGUCUGUUUGAAACUUGAUGCGUUGUGUCGUCCAAGAAUGAAUUGCAGGGGAAUUAUGGAUUCUAAAUUUGUAUGGCUGUGUGUAGGAUUUAAGGAUUAAAAAUGUGUGGCUCUGUGUGUAUGGGAGUUUUCUUGUUUUUCUCUCUGUGGCAUGACAGAGAGAAAAACUUUUUAUUGUGGUUUCACUGGCUUGGCUUUUUUAGUUAUUGAUGAUGUCAAACUUUUUAUUGUGGUUGCAUCUAAUUUGAUUAAGUUGUUUGAGAAUGCAUUAGGAGAAUGUUACUGCAAAAGAAAUUCCUGGGUUGUGGUUUCUUCAUUCAUGAGUGUGCCUAGUUGUCAUUUGUUUGUCUCUUUGAAGCUUAAUUGGCUAUGUGCUCUAAGCAUACCUUGCAGGAUAGAAGGAAUUAAAGUUUCAAAAUUUCUAUGUCUGUGUGUUUGUUGGUUUUAUUCUGUGUGUUUGUUGGUUUUAUUUUGCAAGUUGGCUUUUAGAUUUCAUUCCCAUAGCUUCUGGUUAAUGUCUAAUUUUUUGUUGUAGUGCUUUUGAUUUGCUGGAGUUUGAUUUGAACUUCAAUUAAUAUUUGAUCUCUUAUGCUUUAACAUUCCAUUUAAAUUUUAGUUUUAUCUUUUGUGUACAGAUUGUAGUUUUGUAAACUUUUCUUAAUUGUGGUUGCAUUUAGUAGUCUAUACGGAAAUUAGUUGAUCGUGUACUUCGAACACGAUUUGCUAGAGAGAGGAAUUAGAGAUUGUACAGCAGUGUACUCCAAAUUUGUAUGGUUGAGUUUUUUAUUUUUUAUUUUUUUAUUUUGCUAGUUCAACUCUGUUGCAUGACAAAUUGUAAUCUUAGGUUUAAUUUCAAAAACUUAAUCCAGCCUCGCAUUGAGGAUGAGUGCUUACAAUGAAGAGUACCUCUUUUUUCUUGUGUUGUGUUUGAUUUUUCUUGUUUUGCUGAUUUCACUUUACUUUGUUGCAUGAUUGAUUACUUUCUUAAGAUUAAUUUCAUAAACUUAAAUCUAGUUAAGCAUUGAGAUGGAAGAUUGCCUCUUUCUUAUUGGAUUCUUUGAAAGUCUAUGAUCUUGCAUAGAAUUUUUGUUGUAUUGUAUGGUAACUUUCGAUGAUAAUUGUACUUGUUUUAGUACAUUUCAGAUCAUGAAGAGUUUGAUUAAAGUUGCUAAAAUUCUGUGUUUCUGAUUAUAAUAUAGACUUUGUUUUCUUAAGUAACACUGUUAUUAUUGGAAGCAUCCUGACUUAUGAUGUGGUUGGUGGCUGUUGUUUUUUAACUUUGGUAUAUAAUUGUUGUAUAUUUAUGUUGAGAUGCAAAACUACCUCUUAUCUUUGGCCUUUCAUUAUAAUCUUUUUUUGUUAAGGUUUUGUUGCUUUAGUUUUAAUUUCUCUUUAGGUUUUUAAAGGCCUUUUACUUUCGUAUCUUUGGGUUUUCGAGUUAAAACAUUUAUAAUAUCUGAUUUGUGAGCAAUGGAUGUUAUUAGGUUUAUUUUGCAGGCAAUCUUUGCCUUGAAUCUUUCUGCUUGAGCAAUGAAGUUCAAGUUUGAUUGUCUUUAUUUCUAAAAUAGCAUUGUUCUUUAUACAUGUGGCAUGUUGCUUGUGUUUAACUUAAAUGCAGCAUUGUUCUUUAUAUAUGUGGCAUGUUGUUUAUGUUUAACUUAAAUGCAUAUCACCUUAUUAUUAAGCAUUGUUGAAUGAGACUUUGACUUCAUUAAAAAUGGAAGGUGUUAUGUGUAUGUAUACUAAUUAGAUAUCUAAUUAAGAUUCUCUUGUAUUUUAUCUUGAAAUUUAUUUUUAUUUAUCGUGUAAUUUAUGUAAUUAACAAAAUUAUAUUAUAUAAUAUUUAUUUUUUAUUUAAUACAAUUUCGAUUAUUUUUUUUAUUGCUUAUUAUUUUAUUUAUUAUUUUGGAUUGUAUAAUAUUUAUCUUUUAUUAAGAGAUAAUAAUUAUUUUAUUUAAUAUAUAUUUUUUUUAUUUUUGAUUUUCUUAUUUUUUAUAUUUUUAUUGUAUUUUUGUUAAUCUUUUUUGUUUUUCAUUAACUUUUUUCUUUUAAAAUUUUUUUUUACUUAUUUUUUUAUGUGUUUUCAUUUUUUUUUGUUUUCACUUUUUUCUUUGUUUUAAAAUUUUUUACAAAACUUUUCUUUUUAUUUUAUUUCAUAUUUUCGCCUCUUCAUUUUUUAUUUUUUCUUGUUUUUCUAAUUUUUUUGACAGUUUUUUUUAUUUCUUGUUUCCAUUUUUUUUUACACUUCCUUGAAUUUUUUAUUUUUCAUAAAUCUUUUCUUUUUAUUUUUAUUCUUUUCUUAAUUUUUUUACAAAUUUUUUUUUUAUUUCUUAUUUUCAUUUUUAAAUUCUUAUAAUUUUUUUUGUUGCAUUUUCUUCUUUUGUUUUCAUUUUUAUUUGGCAUUAACUUUUCUCUUAUUUAUUUUUUUGUCUUUGAUUUUUUAUAUUAUUUUUAUAUUAUUUUUUUAUAUGUUUUUUAAUUUUUUUAAUUUUUUUAAUUUUUCCAUUUCAUUUCAUUUUUGUAUUUUUGUAUUUUUGAUUUUCUUAUAUUUUUAUCGCAUUUUUCUUUAUUUUAUAUUUUAUAUUUUAUAUAUUUUUUUUAUUUAUCUUUUUUGUUUUGCUUUAAUAUUUUUUUUCUUAUUUUAUUUUUAUUUUUAUUUGUUAUUUCUUUCUUUAUUUAUAUUUUCAUAAAUUUUUAUCAUGUUUUUUAUUUUUUUUAUCUUUCUAUUUUUUUUUAUUUAUCAUUAUUGGUUAUUUUUCGUUUUAUUUUUAUAAUUUUUCAUUAACUCUUUUUCCUUUUUCCUUUUAAAUUUUUCAUUUUUUUACUUAUCUUUUCAUGUGUUUUAUAUAUUUUUUUGUUUUCACAUUUUUCUUUGUUUUAAAAAUUUCUACAAAACUGUUUUAUCUUUUUAUUUUAUUUCAUAUUUUUGCCUUUUCAUUUUUUAUUUUUUCUUGUUUUUCUAAUUUUUUUCACAAAAUUCUUUUUAUUUCUUGUUUUCAUUUUUUUUAUACUUCUUUGGAUUUUUUUUCUCAUAAAUCUUGUCUUUUCAUUUUUAUUCUUUUCUUUUUUAUCUAACAAAUUUCUUUUUAUUUCUUAUAUUCAUUUUUAAAUUCUUAUAGUUUUUUUAUUUCAUUUUCUUCUUUUGUUUUAAUUUUUAUUUUGCAUUAACUUUUCUCAUUUUUAAUUUUUUGUCUUUGAUUUUUUAUAUUGUUUUCUUAUUAUUUCUUAUGUUUUUCAUUUUUUUUGUAUUUUUUUCUAUUUUCUCAUUUCAUUUCAUUUUAUUUUUUAUUUUUGAUUUUCUUACUUCUUAUAUUUUUUAUUGCAUUUUUGUUUAUUUUAUAUUUUAUAUUUUAUUGUAUUUUAUCUAUCUUUUUUGCUUUGCUUUAAUAUUUUUUUUCUUAUUUUAUUUUUAUUUUUUAUUUUGGUUUAUUUUUAUUUUCUUUCUUUAUUUAUAUUUUCAUAAAUUUUUAACAUGUUUUUUAUUUAUUUAUUUUUCUAUCUUUUUUUUUUUUUUUUUAUCGUUGGUUAUUUUCAAUUUUAUUUUUAUAAUUUUUCAUUAACUCUUUUUCUUUUUUUCUUUUAAAUUUUUUAUUUUUUUACUUAUCUUUUAAUGUGCUUUCAUAUAUUUUUUUUGUUUUCACAUUUUUCUUUGUUUUAAAAAUUUCUACAAAACUUUUUUAUCUUUUUAUUUUGUUUCAUAUUUUUGUCUAUUCAUUUUUUAUUUUUUCUUGUUUCAUAUAUUUUUGCUUUUUUAUUUUUUAUUUUUUCUUGGUUUUUUAAUAAUUUUCACAAAAUUCUUUUUAUUUCUUGUUUCUAUUUUUUUUUAUACUUCCUAGGAUUUUUUUUUUCAUAAAUCUUGUCUUUUCAUUUUUAUUCUUUUCUUAAUUCUUUUACAAAUUUCUUUUUAUUUCAUAUUUUCAUUUUUAAAUAAAUAAUAGUUUUUUUUUGUUGCAUUUUCUUCUUUUGUUUUCAUUUUUAGUUUUUUGGCUUAGAUUUUUUAUAUUGUUUUCUUAUUAUUUUUUAUAUGUUUUUCCAUUUUUUUUAUUUUUUUUCUAUUUUUUCAUUUCAUUUCAUUUGUCUUUUUUAAUUUUUAAUUUUUGAUUUUCUUACUUAUAUUUUUUAUCGCAUUUUUGUUUGUUUUAUAUUUUAUAUUUUUUGUAUUUUAUUUAUAUUUUUUGUUUUGCUUUAAUAUUUCUUUCUUAUUUUAUUUUUAAUUUUAAUCUCUUUCUUUAUUUAUAUUUUCAUAAAUUUUUAUCAUGUUUUUAAUUUUUUUAUUUUUCUAUCUUUUUUUUUUAUUUAUCGUUGUUGGUUAUUUUUUGUUUUAUUUUUGUAAUUUUUCAUUAACUCUUUUUCCUUUUUCUUUUAAAUUUUUCACUUUUUUACUUAUCUUUUCAUGUGCUUUCAUAUUUUUUUUUUUGUUUUCACAUUUUUCUUUGUUUUAAAAAUUUCUAUAAAACUAUUUUAUCUUUUUAUUUUGUUUCAUAUUUUUGCCUUUUCAUUUUUUCUUUUUUCUUGUGUUUCUAAUUUUUUUCACAAAAUUCUUUUUAUUUCUUGUUUCCAUUAUUUUUAUACUUCUUAGGAUUUUUUUUUCAUAAAUUUUGUCUUUUCAUUUUUAUUCUUUUCUUAAUUCUUUUACAAAUUUCUUUUUAUUUCUUGUUUUCAUUUUUAAAUUCUUAUAGUUUUUUUUUGUUGCAUUUUCUUCUUUUGUUUUCAUUUUUAAUUUUUUGGCUUUGAUUUUUUAUAUUGUUUUCUUAUUAUUUUUUAUAUGUUUUUCAAUUUUUUGUAUUUUUUUAUAUUUUCUCAUUUCAUUUCAUUCUUUCUUUUUUUAUUUUUUAUUUUUGAUUUUCUUACUUCUUAUAUUUUUUAUCGUAUUUUUGUUUAUUUUAUAUUUUAUAUUUUUUUGUAUUUUAUUUAUCUUUUUUGUUUUACUUUAAUAUUUUUUUCUUAUUUUAUUUUUGUUUUUUUUCUUUUUUUAUUUAUAUUUUAAUAAAUUUUUAUCAUGUUUUUUUUAAUUUUUCUAUCUUUUUUUUUUAUUUAUCGUUGUUGGUUAUUUUUUCUUUUAUUUUUAUAAUUUUUCAUUAACUCUUUCUUCUUUUUCCUUUUAAAUUUUUCAUUUUUUUACUUAUCUUUUCAUGUGCUUUCAUAUUUUUUUUUGUUUCCACAUUUUUCUUUGUUUUAAAAAUAUCUACAAAACUUUUUUUUCUUUUUAUUUUGUUUCAUAUUUUUGCCUCUUCAUUUUUUAUUUUUCUUGUUUUUUUAAUUUUUUUCACAAAAUUCUUUUUAUUUCUUGUUUCCAUAUUUUUUAUACUUCUUUGGAUUUUUUUUUCAUAAAUCUUUUCAUUUUUAUUCUUCUCUUAAUUCUUUACAAAUUUUUUUUUAUUUCUUAUUUUCAUUUUUAAAUUCUUAUAGUUUUUUGUUGUUGCAUUUUCUUCUUUUGUUUUCAUUUUUAAUUUGUAUUAACUUUUCUCAUUUUUAAUUUUUUGUCUUUGAUUUUUUAUAUUGUUUUUUUAUUAUUUUUUGUAUGUUUUUCAAUUUUUUGUUUUUUUUUUGUAUGUUUUUCAUUUCAUUUCAUUUUUCUCUUUUUUUUUUAUUUUUGAUUUUCUUACUUCUUAUAUUUUUUAUCGCAUUUUUAUUUAUUUUAUAUUAUAUAUAUUUUUUGUAUUUUAUUUAUCUUUUUUGUUUUGCUUUAAUAUUUUUUUCUUAUUUUAUUUUUAUUUUCAUAAAUUUUUAUCAUGUUUUUUAUUUUUUAUUUUUAUUUAUCGUUGUUGGUUAUUUUUUGUUUUAUUUUUAUAAUUUUUCAUUAACUCUUUUUCCCUUUUCAUUUUUUUACUUAUCUUUUCAUGUGCUUUCAUAUUUUUUUUUGCUUUCACAUUUUUCUUUGUUUUAAAAAUUUCUAGAAAACUUUUUCAUCUUUUUAUUUAAUUUCAUAUUUUUGUCUCUUCAUUUUUUAUUUUUUCUUGUUUUUCUAAUUUUUUUCACAAAAUUCUUUUUAUUUCUUGUUUCCAUUUUUUUUUAUACUUGGCUUUUUUUUUCAUAAAUCUUUUCAUUUUUAUUCUUUUCCUAAUUCUUUUACAAAUUUCUUUUUAUUUCUUAUUUUCAUUUUUAAAUUCUUAUAGUUUUUUGUUGUUGCAUUUUCUUCUUUUGUUUUCAUUUUUAAUUUGCAUUAACUUUUCUCAUUUUUAAUUUUUUGUCUUUGAUUUUUUAUAUUGUUUUUUUAUUAUUUUUUGUAUGUUUUUCAAUUUUUUGUUUUUUUUUUGUAUUUUUUCAUUUCAUUUCAUUUUUCUCUUUUUUUUUUUAUUUUUGAUUUUCUUACUUCUUAUAUUUUUUAUCGCAUUUUUGUUUAUUUUAUAUUUUAUAUUUUUUUGUAUUUUAUUUAUCUUUUUUGUUUUGCUUUAAUAUUUUUUUCUUAUUUUAUUUUUAUUUUCACAAAAUUCUUUUUAUUUCUUGUUUCCAUUUUUUUUUAUACUUCGAUUUUUUUUUCAUAAAUCUUUUCAUUUUUAUUCUUUUCCUAAUUCUUUUACAAAUUUCUUGUUAUUUCUUAUUUUCAUUUUUAAAUUCUUAUAGUUGGUUGGUGGCUGUAGGGUGGCUGGUCGGGAGGCUGGUCGGGAGCUGGCGACAGCGGUGCCAUACCAACUCCCUGAUUUCUGUCUUAUUCUGUUUCUUUUGUUUGUUUUUUUUUUGUUUUGUUUAUUAAUAAAUUUUUUAUUAAAAAUAUUAUUAUUAUUAUUAAAACAAUAGACCCGGACAAAAUCGAUGUCUACAAUACUAGUCAUUUUGAUAUGCACAAUGAUUUUAAGUUCGUUAUGAACUUUAUGAUUUUUUCAAAUAAUGUUAAUCAAUCUGUUUUUCAAUUUCAUUUGUAUAGGAAUACAAAAGAGAGUUUUAGAGUUCAAAUAAGAGGCUGUUGUUGAUUCAUUUGUUGUUGAUUCAUUUGUUGAUCUAAUUGAUAUGUAUGUGAUUAAAUUAGUAUUAUGUAUCAGAAUGCUAUGUAAGACAAUCCUUGUGCCCUGUCUCUUUGUUUUAUAUACCUGAUGGACCAAAUACAUAAUAUAUAGGAAAAUGUACCAUUAACGAAUUUUCAACUGUGGAUACAUGUCUAUCCUUACCAUACAGAAACAAAUGCUAUUAAUAAGCCAAUUAUGUUAUAUUAUAAAGCAGUUUUUUUUUUUUUUUUGUGGCUUUACACAUACCUUAGUUGCAAUAACUCCUCUUGCCCUGGUAGGAGGUCUGAAGUUCAAAUGCUCUCCCACAAAUUAUUAACUAUUAAAAGAAGAUGCAAAUAUUUGGAUCUGCUUAAAAAAUUUGUGUUCAAAUGAUGCUCAAGUCAAAUUUAAUUUAACAAGUAUUCUAGAUUAUAGUUUCUGAUUUUUAUAAGGUUAUAUACUUGUUUCAUACUUAGGAUGGUGUUUUACGUUGUACUUAUGGGAUUCUUAUUAUAUUAUGUCGAGACCUUGUGGUAUAUGCCAAACAGGAUAAAAAUUUUGCUUGGUAGUCUCAAUUUGCCUUCGUUAUAUCUUUUGUAAGUUCAUAUUCUCGUGAUGUUAUUACUGAAAGGAUUAAAUGUUCCUUGCAGGCAUAUUGAAAUUUGAGAUUGUGGCUUUUUAAAUGAUAGGAAGGCGGCGCCUGGGAUUUCUGUUGGGUUAAGGAUGGAGAAUUGCAUGUUACCGUACCAGAAUUUAUUUGUUGAUUAUAUAGUUUUUAUAUUGAUUUUAUUGAUUUGAUGGUGAAAUGGAAUGGGAUGAUAUAGUGACAGGCCAUGCAACAAUUAAGUAAUAGUUUUUGUGAUUGAUCCAUUGUCCCAUUUCUAUGUUGGUGUUUCUUUCUCUGAAACUCUUGGCUUGAAACUGGUGAUUACUUCAAUUUUGAACCUUUUCUUUCUGCAUUGUGAUAAUUAUUGGAUUUUGAAGUGCAAAUGCUAUCUAAAGUUGUUUGAUUCUCCUUUGAACUCACUGGCUGAAGAAGAGGAUGACACAUCAAAAACUCCUUCUCAGAAAAAGAAAAUGAAGAAGUAGAGGAAGGUGGAACGAGCUAAGAAAGUAUAUCAGCUUGUUUUGGUGAUUCUUGGCUAACACUCUCUUUGAUGAUUUCAUUCUGAUGCCGUGUAUUAUUUUAAGAGGCAGAGGAGAAAAAUGAAGAAUCAAGUUCUAGUGGCAUCUCUAAGUCUGGGAAACGACAUGUUAAACCUGUAGAUCCUUAUCCUUUUGGAGAAAAAUUAUUGAAGGUUACCUAUUAUUAUCUUUUCCCUGUGCUUUAGAUUCCUGAUUAAAGUCCUCGUGCUGUAAAAAUGUGUUACGCUAAUGCCUAUUAAGCUAAGACUGUUUAAUCUGUAUUUUUUUUUUUCAGACAGAGUAUCCCUUGUCAGAAGCAACGAAGUACUUGAAGUUGCUUCAGAAGAACUCACCUGAUUCUUUUAUAGACGCACUUACUUUCUUUUGAAGUAAAUAUGAGAAAGCAGAAGAUUUUGCUUGCCUUUCAGGUAUUAUAUUUUCCAAGAAUUGAACAUGAGAUGUGUUUCUUGUUCUUUUUGUGUUUGGUCAACUAGAACUGAUAUUUAAUUGUCAGCUAGUGGUUUGUGAGGAAGCCCCUUUUCUUGUUUUCUCCUCUCUUUUUUCACUUUCUGCCUGUGGAUAUGUUCUUGAAAUAAAGAAACUGUACCGUUUAACCAAACAUCCUUUUCUUAUUGCUCUACUCACUCAAUGAAUUUAUGUGUGAAUUAGAUAGUUUGCACGACAUAUCUUUGAGUUGUAGAACAAUGGUUUUGUGCAGUAGUACUUUUACUAUUUCAUGAGCUCAUAUUAGUACGUUUGUCUUGGUUUUAUUUUGUUUUCCUGAAGGCUGUAAAGCAACUGCUAAGGCUGGAUGCUGAGAAUCCAGAUUCACAUCGCUGCUUGGUAUGUAACAUCUGCCCUACCAUAUUUGUGCACUGCCAUGCACAACUGCAUUCUUUUCUAUUCUUAGAUACAAAGAUCAUGUAAUCUUUACAAUGCUUAUUUGAAUUUAAUCUAAUGCAGAUUAAAUUUUUCCAUAAAUUGGGCUCAAUGCCUGCUCCAUUAACUGAUGCUGAAAAACUUGUUUGGAGUGUCUUAGAAGCUGAGCGUCCAUCCAUCAGGUUCUCUUUGAAAUGGUUUUAUGAUAGCUAUUCCCCCUACUAGAAUUUUGUUGUGUUACUGUUACUAUUAUUAUUUUGAUCCCUGAUGCAUUAAAUCCCUUUAUUUUCUCUUUCCGCAGUCAAUUGCAGGAGAAAACUCUUAGUGAGGCGAACAAAGUUUUCCUUGGUAAACAUGAAGGAAGGUAUUACGACCUUUACAUAACAUGAUGCAUUUUAGGUUCCUUGAGGUAGGUUGUAUAAUCAUGCAAAUUUCACUUUUUGGUUCUGCAGAAUCUUUGAUGCAUAUAGUGGCAGUUGCAGAAAUGUUAUAUACCUUGGAGCAGACCAAGAAACUUGAGGCUGUUAAGUAGAGAAUUAGUUGGUGGAGGACAAAUUGGAAUGUGUGAGGAAUUUGGAGACCUUCUGAAGGUUUGAUUUCUACCAUCUUAAUUUUAUUUAAAUUUUUUUACUUCAAAUAAUGCCCGAUUUGAUUUUUUUCUAUUUUUUUCUGAUGAUAAAAUGUGUUCUCGUUAUAGACUGUAGAUAAUGAUAUUGCUAGUGUAAACUGUUUUAUUAUGUCUUAGCUGUUAGUCAUAUUAAUUUGAUUUUCUGUUUGGUAUUUUUUUUUAAUGAGCUCCAAAUGGUACCUUGGGAUGUUCUGUUCAUUAUAUUUACUCUGGAUUUCCUCUCUCUCUUAUUUAUAGAAUCACAUGAUGCAAAUCCAACGAAAACCUUACUUUUUUGUAGAGCUAUCAAGCUUUCUCCCCUUUUCUAGAGAGAGGAGGGGCGGCUAUUUUUACAAAUACUCUUGUAGGGAUCUUGUUUUUCUUGAUGGCUUGAUAAGAAAUUAUGUGACAAAAAUCUAGUGAUGUGGUUCUACAAUAGACACAGUCCAUUCGAUGGCUUGUGAUAUUCUUAAAUAAUCUAGAAAUAGAUAGUUGUGGUAUUAUGCUGAAAUACUUCAUUGAUGUCUUGAUGUGACAAUAGUAAGAACUCUAGGUGGUUAAAAUUAUGCUUUCAUAUGCUUCACCCCUAGAGAGUUGACAUGGUGGCUAAUUCUUUUAUUAGUGGCUAUCUUUAGCUCAUUCUUUUAGUUAAACUGACUUUCCUAUUUAAAAACCUUUUGACGAUGGGCCAGGUUAUGGCAUGAUUGAAAUAAAGUGUCAAACUCUAGAGCUUUUGGAAUUUGACUCAUGCAGUGAGGAUGUAUUUAAAUUGUUUUCUUCCUGUAACUCACAUUUGUAAUGUAUUCAUUCAUGAGAAUUGUAAUUAUUGCUGUUACAAUGUGCAUCAUUAUUGCCAAUAAAUGCUACUUCCUUUAUGAUGUGUGAUGAAUGUUCUAGGACUUAUAUUAAAACUUUGUUUUCUCAAUUUUUAGAGGAUACCACUUGAUUUACUGCAAGGAAACAAAUUUCGUAAAGCGGCAAUUGAUUGCAUUAAGCCUUUUCUAGCCUUUAUAUACAGGUGAGUGUUUUUUUUUUUUUUGUAUUAGUUUGAUUGGUGUUUUUUAGUUUGACUGGCUAUUGUUUCUUGAUCUUUUGGAGAAGUUCUUGGAAUUUUCUUGAAGCUGGGUCUAUGUGUAUAUUAUUUACUUCUCUUUGGUGACAGAGUCGGAUACUGAAACAUGUUGGUGAUUUGGUAGCUGUGGCUUCAUUGACAGAUGAAGCUAGGUGUAUGGAUCUUGCAGAUCGCUAUGUAAACAGUUAAUCUGUGAAGCGAAUGUUGCAGUCUGAUCAGGUUCUAAGGUUUCCCCGCUUCAUCUUUUGUCAUAGUUAAUAUUUGUCACUAAAUUUCUUUCGGUAUUAUUGUACUGUUCACAAGCUUUUUCUACUUUUGAAGGUGGCUUUGGCAGGAAAAACUGCUGUUUUGUUCACGAAAGAUGGGGGCCAGCACAACAACCUUCAUGACAUGCAGUGCAUGUGGUAUGUUUUUGUUUAUUACCUUCCACAUGUUGUUGUCUCUAAUUAUAAUUUGGGUACACCUACUGAGUGUUAUCCAUCUUUUGAAGGUAUGAACUUGCUUCUGAUGAAAGUUACUUUCGACAUGGUGAUUUUGGACGGGCCCUAGAGAAAUUUAUAGCUGUGGAGAAGCACUAUGCUGAUAUUACUGAAGAUCAAUUUGAUUUCCAUUCUUAUUGUUUGCGGAAAAUGGCACCACGUGCAUAUGUUGGAAAGCUAAAAUUUAAAGAUUGGUUGCAUUCACAUGCUUAUUUUCACAAAGUAGCAGCUGGAGCCAUUAGGUGAACAUUUUUGUUAGGAUCUGCAGCCUUUUCAAUGAUUUGCAAUAGACUUAUUCUGUUUGGUUGUGGCCUGUACGUGUAAAAUGCUAUGCAAGCUCUGUUGUCUACUUGUCUGGGUGCUUUUAGCGUCUGUCACCUAUUGUUGAUCAACACAUGCAUGUGAUGCUUCCUUUUGGGUUAGAUUCCUCUUUGCCUCCCUCCUUUUCUCUUUGUCUUUUGGGGAAUGUGGGAUUAUUGCAUACAUAUAUGUUGCAUUAAUCAUAUGUUGCAAUGAUGUGUUGUCUGAACCUUGCUUUCAAAGCAUGAAAAACUUCUUAAAGGUAACUGUUGUUCAUUACUUACCCUUGUACAACUAUUCAUUUGUUAAUAAUUAGACACUCCCAUUAUGAUAUCCAAUCUAAUUGAAGACUCUUCUAGCAGCCCCUCCAUUAAUAGGAGAGGGGAUAUCAUAUCAAGAUUUUUGAUUCCCCUCUCCUACUCUAACUUUUCCUUGAAUCCUAGACGUAAGGAUUUACAACAUUUUUGAAGACAAAACCUUGCUAAGUUUAUAAUCAAGAAAGUAUCAAGAGUCCUUUUCUUGCACUUGUUUUUGGUAGAGAAUUUUUUGAGUCAUAUGAGCAAAGCAGAAUAUAGGGUUCCAAGUUUUUUGUUGAUCAAGCAACAACCUGAUUUGAACCGGGGAAUAAGGGAUUUGCAAUCCCCCGCCUUACUGGUUAGCCAUGUCACCAAAGGUUAGAAACCAAAAAGAAUGAGUGUAUCCCCUUUAUAACUUUAGUUAUAGAUUGGAUCCAUACCUUCAAUUAGUUAUAGUAUCUCAAGUAAAAAAAUUAGUUUGUUCUUUUUUCUUUCAAUAAAAAAAAUUUCUUAAUUGAUUUAUAUUAUAAUGCAAUAAUAUAACAACAGUUAUGAGUCUAGGUAAACCCCAUAACGAAAGUUAUUGCAUGGCAACAAAAAGUUUCAACCCAACAAUGAAAAGCAGCUUGAGGUUUUUAUUCUUCAUCCCUAUGCCAUUAUUGAAAAAUUUUAUCUUUACGAGUACCCAUUUGCAUUUUCAUUGAUUUAUGAUUGGGUGAGUGUGUUUUUAUUUCAUUUUGUGUUCGUCAUCUAUUGUCUUGCUUAAAGUACUCCAGUUUAAGGGUACCCAUUUGCCUGUACUGUAGUUCAUGACAUUUGAAGAUUUUAUCUUGGUUAAUGAGGAUGUCAAAUAAUUUGAUAGAAUUUCAAGCUGUUGCUAUUGGAAAUUACCUUCUGCAGAUGUUUAGCUCAAGAAUCAGAUUGAUUUAGUUAGAUAUAUGAGGUUGAUUAGGAGAUACUGUCUGGUGUAAUAUAAAAGAUUUUGGUUGAGGGGCUCAAAUGAGCAAGUUCAAGUCCUGAAAGUAGCCUCAUUGUGUAAAAAAUGCUGAAUCCUAAAGGCUAGGAACAUUUUUCAAAUGACUCUUCUUGGUUUCUCAUCCUUCAUUGGUAGGAUUGAGGCUGAGUAAUGAUCCUCUUUAUGAGGGAAGAUUAUACAAAAGGCUGUUUAGAAAGCUUUCUCCAAAUUGCUAUAAAAACCAACCAUCAUAGCAAAACGGCAGUGUCUGUGUUUCUUCAUUUUUGGGUUCUUCCACACACUGAAAUAACCUUUGCAUAUCAACAGGAGCUGACCUCAACCUCUGGACCUUGUGAUCCUUUAUGUUGAGUUGAUGAAGCUAGCUCGUUAGAUUUCGAAGUUACUUACCAGCCAAAGACUAAUUUGUUGAAAACUAUUGGUGUUUUCACAGCAGCUUUAACAGGGACUGUGGCAAUUAACCUAUCAUGGGUUACCAACAUCCAGGUUUAUCUUUAAUUUCUUGUGCAAUCCUUUCUUUGUAGGUUGUAAUCAUUUUUUCAUCUUGGCCAAUAUUUUGUAUAUUCUUGUAUUAUCCACAGAAGCCUUUCUUAACUUGAUCUAAUUUCAUAAUGCAUAUUUCUAUGGCAUUGCUUUUUGUAAUAGGAUAUGCAGGCAUUAUCUUUGAAGAAUUUCUAGCCUUCAAUAAAAGUGGAAUAGAUUGUUGAUGGCUGUGAGUUUAUGGGUGGUAAAGAGCAUAGGGGUAAGAAUGAUUCUCAGAUGUUUAGGAUUGGACUGUGUUUUUCUGUUGUCCCUCUUCUUGUAGUUUGCAUCAUAUUUAUCAUUCUCAUAAAUUGGGAUGAAAACACAAAAUUCUGUUGCGUAUUGGAUGCUUUAUUCAGUACUAUGUCAGGUUUCAACCUGUUUCUCUCAUGUUCAUUGGUGGUGGCCUCAUGACCCGAUAUUCAUUCAAGAGUUAAUGAAAUACAAGAUGCUUGGGCUCUAAACUUAUUUCCUGAUCUACUAGUUUUAUUGGUCUAUGUUUUUCGGUGAGCAAUGGCUUGUCUUUUUAUGAAGUGAUCAUUGCAAUUUAAUAUCUUUUAUUUUUAAUUUAUGUUGGAGCCCACUUCCCAUUUAAAGGAAGGAGCAUCUCCAAUUUAAACCAAUUCCAAGGAACUACCCUAGCAAUGAAUUAAGAUAGCAAAACUAGGUACCUACCCCCAUGGUCAAUUGGGAGAGCCAAAGUUUGUGUUUGUGUGUGGCUUGUUACCAUCACUAGGAAUUCUGCAAAUGGUUACUAUGACUAUCUCCCUUUAUUAAUGAAAUUCUAUGGUCUACUUAUGCUGAUGCAUCUGACUUCUGUAUGGAAAACUUUUUUUUUUAUCAUUUUCUUAUUUAUUUUCGCUUUUAUCUGUUAAUACUUGUGUAAUAAUGCUUGGGCCAUUCACAUUUAUAGGCUCCUUCAACUGAUUUAGCUGUUUCAGAGCUGAAACAUGCAUCUGCUGAAUCGUUUUUUCUUGCUUGGUGCAAUGGUCAUUUUAGAGAUAGUUGAUGCCCCUCAAGGAUUUGAGCUGGUUACUGACAAUAUAAUCACUCUAAAGCCACAGACUCUGUUUUGGGUGGUGAGUUGAUUUCUUUCGGCUAUAGUCAUACUGACAAUUUUAUCAUUAAUGGUUAAUAUAUGAAUCUAAUUGAGAGUUCAGUUGCACGGUGAAGCAUACCCUGUGGCCUAAUUUACCCGUCGACCGUGAAAUUUGUCUAGUGGGUAUAAACCAAUGAUGUAGAUGAUUACAACUGAUAAGAUUGAUUCAGAAGAAUCUUAAAUGUGCAUACUUAUGUGUCAUGGCUAAAGUUAUUAACCUGCCGAAGAAAAUUGGAGAAAGGAUAAAAAAAAAUGCAAAAGUUAUGUUAAAGUAUUCAUUAGUUGCUUUUCAUGAUUCAAGUCCAAUCUCACCUCCUGGAAAUUAAAAUAUUAAGCUCUUAAAAUUUUUAAAUCUUGGCCCAUUCAUGUCCCAAACCAGUGCAUUAGAAGAGCCUUUGUAGUUAAUUUUCAAUUAUAAGAUAAAGAUUUGAUGUUGCAAUUUAAUCAAAAAGAUCUUAAUUAUGUCUUACCUUGAAGAAUAAAGCAGACGAUAGCCUUUAGUAUUUGCCCUAAGCCUUAUUUGUAAAUAUUCUUGUUUGAUUAAAAUCUCUUUUAGCAUUUUCCAAUCAAUAGAUGUUAGUAUUUUGGGAUUUUUUUGAUGGUAUAGGAUUUUUGUAAUUAUCAUUGAGAAACUACUUUUUUAGGAAGAUCAAUUAUCAUUUAAUGUUUUGCUCAUAGAAAUCUAUUAAUUUUUGCAUUAAUGAUACUUAAAUGGAGAGAGGUUAUCUAGGUGAGUACAAAUACCAAUAUUUUCAUCAUGUUUAUUUUAUGGCAUUGGUUGUAAAGUAGUGGGAUAUUCACAGAACAAAUGUAAUUUUUUUAAUGGAUUUUUCUUUUUGGUUCCAAAGGAACUUAUAGAGGCUACUGCUUUGCGAUACUAUAUGUUGAAUGAUAUGUCAUUUCAAAAAAAAGCUUACCUCUUUUCAUAUUGUAUUCUCUAAAACUCUAAAUACGUGUCUUUUUUCGUCUUUCAUUAGAUGUGUGUUCUCAUUGAGUUUUUCUUAUGUUAUGUUAUGAUUAUUCAUUGAGAAAGUAAGUUAAUGUUAUCUUAAGGUUAGGGUUAGUCUUUAACAGUAUUAGGUCUUCUAUCUAGAAAGUAAUGGAUAAUUAUCUUAGGAUUGUAUUGGGAUUUAAUUUAUUUAGGAUAUAUUGGAGGUUUUGAGUUUAGGUUAAGGUUAUAAUACUUUAUUUGUGAGCUUGGGGUUGUUCAAUCAGUAAAAUGAAUUGGUAAUGAAUGUGGUUAGCUGUUGCUUUAUUCAUUUCUUAUUGCCUUACUUUUACUUUAUUUGCUAGCUGUCCUUGUCUUCAUUUUAUUUACUUGCUGCAUUGGUUUUGAUCAGUUUUGGCUUGCUUUUUUUGUAGUUGUUGCAUGGCCCUCAAGUUCUUCUAUUUUUAUUUUUCAAAUAGCAUUGUUAUAGUUAUACUUGGGGGAAACACUAAAAUUAUCCUAUGACAUGACAAUUGUGUUUAACUCAAUUAAUAUGUAAUUGUUAUAUGACACGUUGAAUGGAAACAAUAAUAUCCCUAAGCAUCUUUAUAGAUGUCUUUUCUUGUUGAGAUUUUUUCAUGUUCGGUUUUGGUCCACUAAGAUUAUUUGGAAGUUUUUUGUUUUGUUGAUUUCACUCUAUUUGUUACAGAACAAGUUGGUUUGUUGGGUUCAAUUUCUGAAACUUAAUUUUGACAUGCAUCGUGGUCAAAUGUUUAAAAGGAAGAUUAUUUUCUUUUGCUGGAUUCUUUGAAACUCUCAAUAUGUGUAUGAGAGUUUCUUUGUUGUUUUGUAGUGUAGGGGGAAUUAAGGAUUCUAAAUUUCUAUGGUUGUGUAGCAUUUAAAGAUUAAAAAUUUAUGUGACUGUGUAUGAGAGUUUCCCUGUUGUUUUUCUCCUUGUGUGCUUCAAGCAUUGAAUUCAAUUUCUGUGUCUCGUGUGUGUAGGUAUGUGUUUAGGAAAGUUUUUAUUUUGUUGGUUUCACUCUAUUUGUUACAGGGUAGAUUGGUUUGUUAGGUUCAAUUUCUGUAAUUUAAUUUUGACAUGCAUUGUGGUUGAAUGCUUAAAAGGAAGAUUAUUUUCUUUUGCUGGAUUCUUUGAAACUCUAAAUAUAUGUUGUCAUAGGCUCUCAGUUGGUGGCUUUCUCAUUGAGAUUGUCUCUGGAUUCUUUUUGUGUCAUUUUUAAAUUUUUACAUAAAUUAGGGCUUUGUAACUUUAUUUUGGAAAAUUCUUUGGGUUGUACUUUCUUUAGUAUGGUUUGUGAUUCGUUGGUCUCUAUGAAACUUAUGCGUUAUGUGCUCCAAGAACGACUUGCAAUGUAGGGGGAAUUAAGGAUUCUAAAGUUGUAUGUGUGUAAGAUUUAAGGAUUAAAAAUUUGUGUGGCUGUGUAUGAGAGUUUCCUUCUUGUUUUUCUCUUUGUGUGCUCUAAGCUAAUGGCUUGCAUGAUUAGUUGAAUUCAAUUUCUGUGCUUGAUGUGUGUGUAGGUGUAUUUUGAGAGUUUUUUGUUUUGUUGAUUUCAUUUUGUUGCAGAACAGGUUGGUUUGUUGGGUUCAAUUUUUGAAACUUAAUUUUGACAUGCAUUGUGGUAAAAUGUUUAAAAGAAAGAUUAUUUCCUUUUGCUGGAUUUUUCGAAACUCUAAAUAUGUGUAUGGGAGUUUCCUUAUUGUUUUGUAGUGUAGGGAGAAUUAAGGAUUCUAAAUUUUUAUGGUUGUGUAGCAUUUAAAGAUUAAAAAUUUGUGACUGUGUAUGGGAGUUUCCCUGUUGUUUUUCUCCUUGUGUGCUUCAAGCAGUGAAUUCAAUUUUUAUGCUUCUUGUGUGUGUAGGUAUGUGUUUAGGGAGGAUUUUAUUUUGUUGGUUUCACUCUAUUUGUUACAGGGCAGAUUGGUUUGCUAGGUUCAAUUUUUGUAAUUUAAUUUUGACAUGCAUUGUGGUUGAAUGCUUAAAAGGAAAAUUAUUUUCUUUUGCUGGAUUCUUUGAAACUCUAAUUAUAUGUUGUCAUAGGCUCUCAGUUGGUGUCUUUCUUAUUGAGAUUGUUUCUGGAUUCUUCUUGUGUCAUUUUUAAAUUUUUACAUAAAUUAGAGCUUUGUAACUUUACUUUGAAAAAUUCCCUUGGGUUGUUCUUCUUUUAGUGUGGUUGUGAUCUGAUGGUCUGUUUGAAACUUAAUGCGUUGUGUGGUCUAAGAUUGACUUGCAGGAGAAUUAUGGAUUCUAAAUUUGUAUGGCUGUGUGUAGGAUUUAAGGAUUAAAAAUUUGUGUGACUCUGUGGGUAUGGGAGUUUUCUUCUUGUUUUUCUCUCUGUGGCAUGACAGAUGAGGUUCUUAGGUUUCACUGACUUGGCUUUUUUAGUUAUUGAUGAUGUUGUCAAACUUUUUAUUGUGGUUGCAUCUAAUUUGAUGAAGUUGUUUGAGAAUGCAUUAGGAGAAUGUUACUGUAAAAGAAAUUCCUGGGUUGUGGUUUCUUCAUUCAUGAGUGUGUCUAGUUGUCAUCUGUUUGUCUCUUUGAAGCUUAAUGGGCUAUGUGCUCCAAGCAUACCUUGUAGGAUAGAAGGAAUUAAAGUUUCAAAAUUUCUCUGUCUGUGUGUUUGUCGAUUUUAUUUUGUGUGUUUGUUGGUUUUAUUCUGCAAGUUGGCUUCUAAAUUUCAUUCCCAUAGCUUCUAGAUUUCAUUCCCAUAGCUUCUAGUUAAUGUCUAAUUUUUUGUUGUAGUGCUUUUGACUUGUUGGAGUUUGAUCUGAACUUCAAUUAAUAUUUGAUCUUUUAUGCUUUAACAUUCCAUUUAAAUUUUAGUUGUCUUUUGUGUACAGAUUGUAGUUUUGUAAACUUUUCUUAAUUGUGGUUGCAUUUAGUAGUCUAUACGAAAAUUAGUUGAUCGUGUACUCCGAACACGAAUUGCUAGAGAGAGGAAUUAAAGAUUGUAUAGCAGUGUACUCCAAAUUUGUAUGGUUGAGUUUUCUAUUUUUUAUUUUUUUAUUUUGCUAGUUCAACCCUGUUGCAUGACAAAUUGUAAUCUUAGGUUUAAUUUCAAAAACUUAGACUGAGGAUGAGUGCUUACAAUGAAGAGUACCUCUUUCUUCUUGUGUUGUGUUUGAUUCUUGUUUUGCUUAUUUCACUUUUACUUUGUUGCAUGAUUGAUUACUUUCUUAAGAUUAAUUUCAUAAACUUAAAUCUAGUUAAGCACUAAGAUGGAAGAUUGCCUCUUUCUUAUUGGAUUCUUUGAAAGUCUAUGAUCUUGCAUAGAAUUUUUGUUGUAUUGUAUGGUAACUUUCGAUGAUAACUGUAGUUGUUCUAGUACAUUUCAGAUCAUGAAGAGUUUAAUUAAAGUUGCUAAAAUUUUGUGUUUCUGAUUAUAAUAUAGACUUUGUUUUCUUAAGUAACACUGUUAUUAUUGGAAGCAUCCUGACUUAUGAUGUGGUUGGUGGCUGUUAUUUUUUAACUUUGGUAUAUAAUUGUUGUAUAUUUAUGUUGAGAUGCAAAACUACCUCUUAUCUUUGGCCUUUCAUUAUAAUCUUUUUUUGUUAAGGUUUUGUUGCUUUAGUUUUAAUUUCUCUUUAGGUUUUUAAAGGACUUCUACUUUCGUAUCUUUGGGUUUUCGAAUUAAAACAUUUAUAAUGUCUGAUUUGUGAGCAAUGGAUGUGAUUAGGUUUAUUUUGCAGGCAAUCUUUGCCUUGAAUCUUUCUGCUUAAGCAAUGAAGUUCAAGUUUGAUUGUCUUUAUUUCUAAAAUAGCAUUGUUCUUUAUACAUGUGACAUGUUGCUUGUGUUUAACUUAAAUGCAGCAUUGUUCUUUAUAUAUGUGGUAUGUUGUUUAUGUUUAACUUAAAUGCAGAUCACCUUAUUAUUAAGCAUUGUUGAAUGAGACUUUGACUUCAUUAAAAAUGGAAGGUGUUAUGUGUAUGUAUACUAAUUAGAUAUCUAAUUAAGAUUCUUUUGUAUUUUAUCUUAAAAUUUAUUUUUAUUUAUCGUGUAAUUUAUGUAAUUAACAAAAUUAUAUUAUAUAAUAUUUAUUUUUUAUUUAAUACAAUUUCGAUUAUUUUUUUUAUUGCUUAUUAUUUUAUUCAAACACAACACAAGAAAAAAGAGGUACUCUUCAUUGUAAGCACUCAUCCUCAGUGCGAGGUUGGAUUAAGUUUUUGAAAUUAAACUUAAGAUUACAAUUUGUCAUGCAACAGAGUUGAACUAACAAAAUAAAAAAAUAGAAAACUCAACCAUACAAAUUUGGAGUACACUGCUAUACAAUUUUUAAUUCCUCUCUCUAGCAAAUCGUGUUCGAAGUACACGAUUAACUAAUUUUCGUAUAGACUACUAAAUGCAACCACAAUUAAGAAAAGUUUACAAAACUACAAUCUGUACACAAAAAAUAAAACUAAAAUUUAAAUGGAAUGUUAAAGCAUAAGAGAUCAAAUAUUAAUUGAAGUUCAAAUCAAACUCCGGCAAGUCAAAAGCACUACAACAAAAAAUUAGACAUUAUCCAGAAGCUAUAGGAAUGAAAUCUAGAAGCCAACUUGCAGAAUAAAACCAACAAACACAGACAUAAAAAUUUUGAAACUUUAAUUCCUUCUAUCCUACAAGGUAUGCUUGGAGCACAUAGCCCAUUAAGCUUCAAAGAGACAAACAGAUGAUAACUAGGCACACUCAUGAAUGAAAAAACCACAACCCAGGAAUUUUUUUUGCAGUAACAUUCUCCUAAUGCAUUAUCAAACAACUUCAUCAAAUUAGAUGCAACCACAAUAAAAAGUUUAACAUCAUCAAUAACUAAAAAAGCCAAGCCAGUGAAACCUAAGAACCUCAUCUGUCAUGCCAUAGAGAGAAAAACAAGAAGAAAACUCUCAUACACAGAGCCACACAUUUUUAAUCCUUAAAUCUUACACACAGUCAUACAAAUUUAGAAUUCAUAAUUCCCCUGCAAGUCAUUCUUGGACCACACAGCGCAUCAAGUUUCAAACAGACCAUCACAUCACAACCCAAGGAAAUUUUUCAAAGUAAAAUUACAAAACCCUAAUUUAUGUAAAAGUUUAAAAAUGACACAAGAAGAAUCCAAAGACAAUCUCAAUAAGAAAGACACCAACUGAGAGCCUAUAACAACAUAUAAUUAGAGUUUCAAAAAAUUCAGCAAAAGAAAAUAAUCUUCCUUUUAAGCAUUCAAUCACAAUGCAUGUCAAAAUUAAAUUACAUAAAUUGAACCUAACAAAUCAAUCUGCCCUGUAACAAAUAGAGUGAAACCAACAAAAUAAAACCCUCCCUAAACACAUACCUACACACACAAGAGGCACAAAAAUUAAAUUCACUGCUUGAAACACACAAAGAGAAAAACAACAGGGAAACUCCCAUACACAUAGCCACAUAAAUUUUUAAUCCUUAAAUGCUACACAACCAUAGAAAUUUAGAAUCCUUAAUUCUCCCUACACUACAAAACAAGGAAACUCCUAUACACAUAUUUAGAGUUCCAAAGAAUUCAGCAAAAGGAAAUAAUCUUCCUUUUAAGCAUUCAAUCACAAUGCAUAUCAAAAUUAAAUUACAUAAAUUGAACCUAACAAACCAAUCUGCUCUGUAACAAAUAGAGUGAAACCAACAAAAUAAAAUCUUCCCUAAACACAUACCUACACACACAAGAGGCACAGAAAUUAAAUUUACUGCUUGAAACACACAAGGAGAAAAACAGGAAAACUCCCAUACACAUAGUCACAUAAAUUUUUAAUCCUUAAAUGCUACACAACCAUAGAAAUUUAGAAUCAUUAAUUCCCCCUACACUACAAAACAAGGAAACUCCCAUACACAUAUUGAGAGUUCCAAAGAAUCCAACAAAAGAAAAUAAUCUUCCUUUUAAACAUUUUACCACAAUGCAUGUCAAAAUUAAAUUUCAAAAAUUGAACCCAACAAACAACCUGUUCUGUAACAGAGUGAAAUCAACAAAACAAAAAACUCUCAAAAUACACCUACACACACAUCAGGCACAGAAAUUGAAUUCAACUAAUCAUGCAACCCAUUAACUUAGAGCACACAACGAGAAAAACAAGAAAACUCCUAUACACAGUCACACAAAUUUUUAAUCCUUAAAUCCUAUACACAUACAACUUUAGAAUCCUUAAUUCUCCAUAUACUACAAGUCAUUCUUGGAGCACAUAGAGCACAUAGCGCAUAAGUUUCAUAGAGACUAAAGAAUCACAAACCACACUAAAAUACAACCCAAGGAAUUUUUCAAAGUAAAGUUACAAAGCCCUAAUUUAUGUAAGUUUAAAAAUGAAACAAGAAGAAUCAAGACACAAUCUCAAUGAGAAAGACACCAACUGAGAGCCUAUGACAACAUAUAUUUAGAGUUUCAAAGAAUCCAGCAAAAGAAAAUAAUCUUCCUUUUAAGCAUUCAACCACAAUGCAUGUCAAUUAAAUUACAGAAAUUGAACCUAGCAAACCAAUCUGCCUUGUAACAAAUAAAGUGAAACCAACAAAAUAAAAACCUCUCUAAACACAUACCUACACACACAAGAGGCACAGAAAUUGAAUUCGCUGCUUGAAGCACACAUGGAAAAAAACAACAAGAAAAAUCUUAUACACAGCCACAUAAAUUUUUAAUCUUUAAAUGCAACACAACCAUAAAAAUUUAGAAUCCCUAAUUCUCCUUACACUACAAAACAACAAGGAAACUCCCAUACACAUAUUUAGAGUUUCAAAGAAUCCAGCAAAAGAAAAUAAUCCUCCUUUUAAACAUUUUACCACAAUGCAUGUCAAAAUUAAGUUUCAAAAAUUGAACCCAACAAACCAACCUGUUCUGUAACAAACAGAGUGAAAUCAACAAAACAAAAAACUCUCAAAAUACACCUACACACAUCAGGCACAGAAAUUGAAUUCAGCUAAUCAUGCAAGCCAUUAGCUUAGAGCACACAAAGAGAAAAACAAGGAAACUCACAUACACAGCCACACAAAUUUUUAAUCCUUAAAUCCUACACACAUACAACUUUAGAAUCCUUAAUUUCCCUUACAAUGCAAGUCGUUCUUGGAGCACAUAGCGCAUACGUUUCAUAGAGACCAACGAAUCACAAACCACACUAAAGGAAGAACAACCCAAGAAAUUUUUCAAAGUAAAGUUACAAAGCCUUAAUUUAUGUAAAAAUUUAAAAAUGACACAAGAAGAAUCCAGAGACAAUCUCAAUGAGAAAGACACCGAGAGCCUAUGACAACAUAUAUUUAGAGUUUCAUAGAAUCCAACAAAAAGAAAUAUUCUUCCUUUCAAGCAUUCAACCACAAUGCAUGUCAAAAUUAAAUUACAGAAAUUGAACCUAGCAAACCAAUCUGCCCUGUAACAAAUAGAGUGAAACCAACAAAAUAAAAACCUCCCUAAACACAUACCUACACACACAAGAGGCACAGAAAUUGAAUUCAAUGCUUGAAGCACACAAGGAGAAAAACAACAGAAAAACUCUCAUACUCAGUCACAUAAAUUUUUAAUCUUUAAAUGCUACACAACCAUAAAAAUUUAGAAUCAUUAAUUUCCCCUACACUACAAAACAAGGAAACUCCCAUACACAUAUUGAGAGUUUCAAAGAAUCCAGCAAAAGGAAAUAAUCUUCCUUUUAAACAUUUGACCACGAUGCAUGUCAAAAUUAAGUUUCAGAAAUUUAACCCAACAAAUCAACCUGUUUUGUAACAAAUAGAGUGAAAUCAACAAAACAAAAAACUCUCAAAAUACACCUACACACAUCAGGCACAGAAAUUGAAUUCAGCUAAUCAUGCGAGCCAUUAGCUUAGAGCACACAAAGAGAAAAACAAGGAAACUCCCAUACACAACCACACAAAUUUUUAAUCCUUAAAUCCUACACACAUACAACUUUAGAAUCCUUAAUUCUCCCUACACUGCAAGUGGUUCUUGGAGCACAUAGCGCAUAAGUUUCACAGAGACCAACGAAUCAGGAACCACACUAAAGGAAGAAGAACCCAAGAAAUUUUUCAAAGUAAAGUUACAAAGCCCUAAUUUAUGUAAAAGUUUAAAAAUGAAACAAGAAGAAUCAAGACACAAUCUCAACGAGAAAGAUACCAACUGAGAGCCUAUGACAACAUAUAUUUAAAGUUUAAAAGAAUCCAACAAAAAAAAAUAAUCUUCCUUUUAAGCAUUCAAGCCCAAUGCAUGUCAAAAUUAAGUUUUAAAAAUUUAACCUAACAAACAGAGUGAAACCAACACAACAAAAAAUUCUCAAAAGACGCCUACACACACAAGAUGCCCAAAAAUUGAAUUGACCUUAUACUGCAAGCCAUUUGCUUAGAGCACACAGCCCAUACAGAUAAUAUUCUUUUUAAGAAGCAUUUUCUAUCCUCGUCAAAAUUAAGUUUCAGAAAUUAAAAGAAAGAAACUAUUCUAUCCUACAACAAAGAGAUUGUAACAAACAAAACAAGAAACUUACAAAAUAUACAUACACAAGAGGCACAGAAAUUGAAUUCCUCCUUAUCAUGCAAGCCAUUCGCUUAGAGCAGACAACUACUAAAUAAUAUCCACACUUAAAAAGCCACAACUAAGGGUUUUUCAAAAAGUUAAAUUUCAAAAACUAAACUAAUAUAGAUAAACGUGUCACAAGAAAAAUCAAAACAUGACAUAACAAAGCCUCAAUGAGAAAAAAACGAAAACUAUGAAUGGCCAAAGAUGAUAACUAACUCCAAUAACAAAAGAGGCAAGGAAUCUUCCUUUUAACACUCAACCUUUGGGUUUGGUGGAACUUAGUUUCAGAAAUUAAAUCUAAGAAAUUAGUCCAUCAAGCAAUAAAGUUGAACCAACAAAAAAUAACUAACUCCUAACAUGCAACAGUUAUACAAACUUGAAUCUCUAAUUCUUCCCAUCUUUGCAAGCUUGCAAGCACACAAUCCAUUGAGCUCCAUAGAGACUACCAAAUAACAAUCAUACUUACGAAACCACAAUCAAAAGAUUUUUUCAAAAGCAAAAUUACAAAACUCAACUCAUGUACACAAAAAAUGAAAAAAUGAAACAAGAAGAAUCUGAUAUAACAAAAUCUUAAUGAGAAAAGAUAUCGACAGAAAUGCUUAGGAAUAUUAUGUUUCCAUUUCAAAGAGCCAAAUGCAAUUGUCAUGGAACCAAAUAAUCUUAGUGGACCAAAACCGAACAAGAAAACAAAAUCUCAACAAGAAAAGACAUCUAUAGAGAUGCUUAGGGAUAUUAUUGUUUCCAUUCAACGUGUCAUAUAACAAUUACAUACUAGUUAAGUUAAACACAAUUGUCAUGCCAUAGGAUAAUUUUAGUGUUUCCCCCAAGUAUAACUAUAACAAUGCUAUUUGAGAAAUAAAAAUAGAAGAACUUGGGGGCCAUGCAACAACUACAAAAAAAGCAAGCCAAAACUGAUCAAAACCAAUGCAGCAAGUAAACAAAAUGAAGACAAGGACAGCUAGCAAAUAAAGUAAAAGUAAGGCAAUAAGAAAUGAAUAAAGCAACAGCUAACCACAUUCAUUACCAACUCAUUCCUUAUACUGUUAAAGACUAACCCUAACCUUAAGACAACAUUAACUUACUUUCUCAAUGAAUAAUCAUAACAUAACAUAAGAAAAACUCAAUGAGAACACACAUCUAAUGAAAGACGAAAAAAGACACAUAUUUAGAGUUUUAGAUAAUACAAUAUGAAAAGAGGUAAGCUUUCUUUUGAAGUGGCAUAUCAUUCAACAUAUGGUAUCGCAAAGCAGUCGCCUCUAUAAGUUCCUUUGGAACCAAAAAAAAAAAUCCAUUAAAAAAAUUACAUUUGUUCUGUGAAUAUCCCACUACUUUACAACCAAUGCCAUAAAUAAACAUGAUGAAAAUAUUGGUAUUUGUACUCACCUAGAUAACCUCUCUCCAUUUUAGUAUCAUUAAUGCAAAAAUUAAUAGAUUUCUAUGAGCAAAACAUUAAAUGAUAAUUGAUCUUCCUAAAAAAGUAGUUUCUCAAUGAUAAUUACAAAAAUCCUAUACCAUCAAAAAAAUCCAAAAUACUAACACCUAUUGAUUGGCAAAUGCUAAAAGAGAUUUUAAUCAAACAAGAAUAUUUACAAAUAAGGCUUAGGGCAAAUACUAAAGGCCAUCGUCUGCUUUAUUCUUCAAGGUAAGACAUAAUUAAGGUCUUUUUGAUUAAGUUGCAACAUCAAAUCUUUAUCUUAUAAUUGAAAAUUAACUACAAAGGCUCUUCUAGUGCACUGGUUUGGGACAUGAAUGGGUCAAGAUUUAAAAAUUUUAAGAGCUUAAUUUUUUAAUUUCCAAGAGGUGAGAUUGGACUUGAAUCAUGAAAAGCAACUAAUGAAUACUUUAACAUAACUUUUGCAUUUUUUUUUUAUCCUUUCUCCAAUUUUCUUCGGCAGGUUAAUAACUUUAGCUAUGACACAUAAGUAUGCACAUUUAAGAUUCUUCUGAAUCCAUCUUAUCAGUUGUAAUCAUCUACAUCAUUGGUUUAUACCCACUAGACAAAUUUCACGAUCGGCGGGUAAAUUAGGCCACAGGGUAUGCUUCACCGCGCAACUGAACUCUCAAUUAGAUUCAUAUAUUAACCAUUAAUGAUAAAAUUGUCAGUAUGACUAUAGUCGAAAGAAAUCAACUCACCACCCAAAGUAGAGUCCAUGACUUUAGAGUGGUUAUAUUGUCAGUAACCAGCUCAUAUCCUUGAGGGGCAUCAACUAUCUCUACAAUGGUCAUUGCACCAAGCAAGAAAAAACGAUUCAGCAGAUGCAUGUUUCAGCUCUGAAACGCUAAAUCAAUUGAAGGAGCCUACAAAUGUGAAUGGCCCAAGCAUUAUUACACAAGUAUUAACAGAUAAAGGCGGAAAUAAAUAAGAAAAUGAUAAAAAAAAAAGUUUUCCAUACAGAAGUCAGAUGCAUCAGCAUAAGUAGACCAUAGAAUUUCAUUAAUAAAGGGAGAUAGUCAUAGUGACCAUUUUCAGAAUUCCUAGUGAUGGUAACAAGCCACACACAAACACAAACUUUGGCUCUCCCACUUGACCAUGGGGGUAGGUACCUAGUUUUGCUAUCUUAAUUCAUUGCUAGGGUAGUUCCUUGGAAUUGAUUUAAAUUGGAGAUGCUCCUUCCUUUAAAUGGGAAGUGGUCUCCAACAUAAAUUAAAAAUAAAGGAUAUUAAAUUGCAAUGAUCACUUCAUAAAAAGACAAGCCAUUGCUCACCGAAAAACAUAGACCAAUAAAACUAGUAGAUCAGGAAAUAAGUUUAGAGCCCAAGCAUCCUGUAUUUCAUUAACUCUUGAAUGAAUACCGGGUCAUGAGGCCACCACCAAUGAACAUGAGAGAAACAGGUUGAAACCUGACAUAGUACUGAAUAAAGCAUCCAAUACGCAACAGAAUUUUGUGUUUUCAUCCCAAUUUAUGAGAAUGAUAAAUAUGAUGCAAACUACAAGAAGAGGAACAGCAGAAAAACACAGUCCAAUCCUAAACAUCUGAGAAUCAUUCUUACCCCUAUGCUCCUUACCACCCAUAAACUCACAGCCAUCAACAGUCUAUUCCACUUUUAUUGAAGGCUAGAAAUUCUUCAAAGAUAAUGCCUGCAUAUCCUAUUACAAAAAGCAAUGCCAUAGAAAUAUGCAUUAUGAAAUUAGAUCAAAUUAAGAAAGGCUUCUGUGGAUAAUACGAGAAUAUACAAAAUAUUGGCCAAAGAUGAAAAAAUGAUUACAACCUACAAAGAAAGGAUUGCACAAGAAAUUAAAGAUAAACCUGGAUGUUGGUAACCCAUGAUAGGUUAAUUGCCACAGUCCCUGUUAAAGCUGCUGUGAAAACACCAAUAGUUUUCAACAAAUUAGUCUUUGGCUGGUAAGUAACUUCGAAAUCUAACGAGCUAGCUUCAUCAACUCAACAUAAAGGAUCACAAGGUCCAGAGGUUGAGGUCAGCUCCUGUUGAUAUGCAAAGGUUAUUUCAGUGUGUGGAAGAACCCAAAAAUGAAGAAACACAGACACUGCCGUUUUGCUAUGAUGGUUGGUUUUUAUAGCAAUUUGGAGAAAGCUUUCUAAACAGCCUUUUGUAUAAUCUUCCCUCAUAAAGAGGAUCAUUACUCAGCCUCAAUCCUACCAAUGAAGGAUGAGAAACCAAGAAGAGUCAUUUGAAAAAUGUUCCUAGCCUUUAGGAUUCAGCAUUUUUUACACAAUGAGGCUACUUUCAGGACUUGAACUUGCUCAUUUGAGCCCCUCAACCAAAAUCUUUUAUAUUACACCAGACAGUAUCUCCUAAUCAACCCUCAUAUAUCUAACUAAAUCAAUCUGAUUUCUGAGCUAAACAUCUGCAGAAGGUAAUUUCCAAUAGCAACAGCUUGAAAUUCUAUCAAAUUAUUUGACAUCCUCAUUAACCAAGAUAAAAUCUUCAAAUGUAUGAACUAGCAGUACAGGCAAAUGGGUACCCUUAAACUGGAGUACUUAUAAGCAAGACAAUAGAUGACAAGAGACACAAAAUGAAAUCAAAAAACACUCACCCAAAUCAUAAAUCAAUGAAAAUGCAAAUGGGUACUCGUAAAGAUAAAAUUUUUCAUAAUGGCAUAAGCAUGAAAAGAACAAAAACCUCAAGCUGCUUUUCAUUGUUGGGUUGAACUUUUUGUUGCCGUGCAAUAACUUUCGUUAUAGGAUUUACCUAAACUCAUAAUUGUUGUUAUAUUAUUACAUUAUAAUAUAAAUCAAAUUAAGAAUUUUUUUUAUUGAAAGAAAAAAAGAACAAUACUAAUUUUUUUACUUGAGAUACUAUAACUAAUUGAAGGUAUGGAUCCAAUCUAUAACUAAAGUUAUAAAGGGGAUACACUCAUUCUUUUUGGUUUCUAACCUUUGGUGACAUGGCUAACCAGUAAGGCGGGGGAUUGCAAAUCCCUUAUUCCCCGUUUCAAAUCAGGUUGUUGCUUGAUCAACAAAAAACUUGGAACCCUAUAUUCUGCUUUGCUCAUAUGACUCAAAAAAUUUUCUCUAGCAAAAACAAGUGCAAGAAAAGGACUCUUGAUACUUUCUUGAUUAUAAACUUAGCAAGGUUUUGUCUUCAAAAAUGUUGUAAAUCCUUUCAUCUAGGAUUCAAGGAAAAGUUAGAGUAGGAGAGGGGAAUCAGAAAUCUUGAUAUGAUAUCCCCUCUCCUAUUAAUGGACGGGCUGCUAGAAGAGUCUUCAAUUAGAUUGGAUAUCAUAAUGGGAGUGUCUAAUUAUUAACAAAUGAAUAGUUGUACAAGGGUAAGUAAUGAACAACAGUUACCUUUAGGAAGUUUUUCAUGCUUUGAAAGCAAGGUUCAGACAACACAUCAUUGCAACAUAUGAUUAAUGCAACAUAUAUGUAUGCAAUAAUCCCCAUUCCCCAAAAGACAAAGGGAAAAAGAGGGAGGCAAAGAGGAAUCUAACCCAAAAGGAAGCAUCACAUGCAUGUGUUGAUCAACAAUAGGUGACAGAGGCUAAAAGCACCCAGACAAGUAGACAACAGAGCUUGCAUAGCAUUUUACAAGUACAGGCCACAACCAAACAGAAUAAGUCUAUUGCAAAUCAUUGAAAAGGCUGCAGAUCCUAACAAAAAUGUUCACCUAAUGGCUCCAGCUGCUACUUUGUGAAAAUAAGCAUGUGAAUGCAACCAAUCUUUAAAUUUUAGCUUUCCAACAUAUGCACGUGGUGCCAUUUUCCGCAAACAAUAAGAAUGGAAAUCAAAUUGAUCUUCAGUAAUAUCAGCAUAGUGCUUCUCCACAGCUAUAAAUUUCUCUAGGGCCCGUCCAAAAUCACCAUGUCGAAAGUAACUUUCAUCAGAAGCAAGUUCAUACCUUCAAAAGAUGGAUAACACUCAGUAGGUGUACCCAAAUUAUAAUUAGAGACAACAACAUGUGGAAGGUAAUAAACAAAAACAUACCACAUGCACUGCAUGUCAUGAAGGUUGUUGUGCUGGCCCCCAUCUUUCGUGAACAAAACAGCAGUUUUUCCUGCCAAAGCCACCUUCAAAAGUAGAAAAAGCUUGUGAACAGUACAAUAAUACCGAAAGAAAUUUAGUGACAAAUAUUAACUAUGACAAAAGAUGAAGUGGGGAAGCCUUAGAACCUGAUCAGACUGCAACAUUCGCUUCACAGAUUAACUGUUUACAUAGCGAUCUGCAAGAUCCAUACACCUAGCUUCAUCUGUCAAUGAAGCCACAGCUACCAAAUCACCAACAUGUUUCAGUAUCCGACUCUGUCACCAAAGAGAAGUAAAUAAUAUACACAUAGACCCAGCUUCAAGAAAAUUCCAAGAACUUCAACAAAAAGAUCAAGAAACAAUAGCCAGUCAAACUAAAAAACACCAGUCAAACUAAUACAAAAAAAAAAAAAAUCUCACCUGGAUAUAAAGGCUAGAAGAGGCUUAAUGCAAUCAAUUGCCGCUUUACGAAAUUUGUUUCCUUGCAGUAAAUCAAGUGGUAUCCUCUAAAAAUUGAGAAAACAAAGUUUUAAUAUAAGUCCUAGAACAUUCAUCACACAUCAUAAAGGAAGUAGCAUUUAUUGGCAAUAAUGAUGCACAUUGUAACAGCAAUAAUUACAAUUCUCAUGAAUGAAUACAUAACAAAUGUGGGUUACAGGAAGAAAACAAUUUAAAUACAUCCUCACUGCAUGAGUCAAAUUCCAAAAGCUCUAGAGUUUGACACUUUAUUUCAAUCAUGCCAUAACCUGGCCCAUCGUCAAAAGGUUUUUAUAUAGGAAAGUCAGUUUAACUAAAAGAAUGAGAUAAAGAUAGCCACUAAUAAAAGAAUUAGCCACCAUGUCAACUCUCUAGGGGUGAAGCAUAUGAAAGCAUAAUUUUAACCACCUAGAGUUCUUACUAUUGUCACAUCAAGACAUCAAUGAAGUAUUUCAGCAUAAUACCACAACUAUCUAUUUCUAGAUUAUUUAAGAAUAUCACAAGCCAUCGAAUGGACUGUGUCUAUUGUAGAACCACAUCACUAGAUUUUUGUCACAUAAUUUCUUAUCAAGCCAUCAAGAAAAACAAGAUCCCUACAAGAGUAUUUGUAAAAAUAGCCGCCCCUCCUCUCUCUAGAAAAGGGGAGAAAGCUUGAUAGCUCUACAAAAAAGUAAGGUUUUCGUUGGAUUUGCAUCAUGUGAUUCUAUAAAUAAGAGAGAGAAGAAAUCCAGAGUAAAUAUAAUGAACAGAACAUCCCAAGGUACCAUUUGGAGCUUAUUAAAAAAAAAUACCAAACAGAAAAUCAAAUUAAUAUGACUAACAGCUAAGACAUAAUAAAACAGCUUACACUAGCAAUAUCAUUAUCUACAGUCUAUAACGAGAACACAUUUUAUCAUCAGAAAAAAAUAGAAAAAAAUCAAAUCGGGCAUUAUUUGAAGUAAAAAAAUUUAAAUAAAAUUAAGAUGGUAGAAAUCAAACCUUCAUAAGGUCUCCAAAUUCCUCACACAUUCCAAUUUGUCCUCCACCAACUAAUUCUCUACUUAACAGCCUCAAGUUUCUUGGUCUGCUCCAAGGUAUAUAACAUUUCUGCAACUGCCACUAUAUGCAUCAAAGAUUCUGCAGAACCAAAAAGUGAAAUUUGCAUGAUUAUACAACCUACCUCAAGGAACCUAAAAUGCAUCAUGUUAUGUAAAGGUCGUAAUACCUUCAUGUUUACCAAGGAAAACUUUGUUCGCCUCACUAAGAGUUUUCUCCUGCAAUUGACUGCAGAAAGAGAAAAUAAAGGGAUUUAAUGCAUCAGGGAUCAAAAUAAUAAUAGUAACAGUAACACAACAAAAUUCUAGUAGGGGGAAUAGCUAUCAUAAAACCAUUUCAAAGAGAACCUGAUGGAUGGACGCUCAGCUUCUAAGACACUCCAAACAAGUUUUUCAGCAUCAGUUAAUGGAGCAGGCAUUGAGCCCAAUUUAUGGAAAAAUUUAAUCUGCAUUAGAUUAAAUUCAAAUAAGCAUUGUAAAGAUUACAUGAUCUUUGUAUCUAAGAACAGAAAAGAAUGCAGUUGUGCAUGGCAGUGCACAAAUAUGGUAGGGCAGAUGUUACAUGAAUCUGGAUUCUCAGCAUCCAGCCUUAGCAGUUGCUUUACAGCCUUCGCAGUUGCUUUACAGCCUUCAGGAAAACAAAAUAAAACCAAGACAAACGUACUAAUAUGAGCUCAUGAAAUAGUAAAAGUACUACUGCACAAAACCAUUGUUCUACAACUCAAAGAUAUGUCGUGCAAACUAUCUAAUUCACACAUAAAUUCAUUGAGUGAGUAGAGCAAUAAGAAAAGGAUGUUUGGUUAAACGGUACAGUUUCUUUAUUUCAAGAACAUAUCCACAGGCAGAAAGUGAAAAAAGAGAGGAGAAAACAAGAGAAGGGGCUUCCUCACAAAUCACUAGCUGACAAUUAAAUAUCAGUUCUAGUUGACCAAACACAAAAAGAACAAGAAACACAUCUCAUGUUCAAUUCUAGGAAAAUAUAAUACCUGAAAGGCAAGCAAAAUCUUCUGCUUUCUCAUAUUUACUUCAACAGAAAGUAAGUGCGUCUCCAAAGAAUCAGGUGAGUUCUUCUGAAGCAACUUCAAGUACUUCGUUGCUUCUGACAAGGGAUACUCUGUCUGAAAAAAAAAAUACAGAUUAAACAGUCUUAGCUUAAUAGGCAUUAGCGUAACACAUUUUUACAGCACGAGGACUUUAAUCAGGAAUCUAAAGCACAGGGAAAAGAUAAUAAUAGGUAACCUUCAAUAAUUUUUCUCCAAAAGGAUAAGGAUCUACAGGUUUAACAUGUCGUUUCCCACACUUAGAGAUGCCACUAGAACUUGAUUCUUCAUUUUUCUCCUCUGCCUCUUAAAAUAAUACACGGCAUCAGAAUGAAAUCAUCAAAGAGAGUGUUAGCCAAGAAUCACCAAAACAAGCUGAUAUACUUUCUUAGCUCGUUCCACCUUCCUCUGCUUCUUCAUUUUCUUUUUCUGAGAAGGAGUCUUUGAUGUGUCAUCCUCUUCUUCAGCCAGUGAGUUCAAAGGAGAAUCAAACAACUUUAGAUAGCAUUUGCACUUCAAAAUCCAAUAAUUAUCACAAUGCAGAAAGAAAAGGUUCAAAAUUGAAGUAAUCACCAGUUUCAAGCCAAGAGUUUCAGAGAAAGAAACACCAACAUAGAAAUGGGACAAUGGAUCAAUCACAAAAACUAUUACUUAAUUGUUGCAUGGCCUGUCACUAUAUCAUCCCAUUCCAUUUCACCAUCAAAUCAAUAAGAUCAAUAUAAAAAGCUAUAUAAUCAACAAAUAAAUUCUGGUACGGUAACAUGCAAUUCUCCAUCCUUAACCCAACAGAAAUCCCAGGUGCCGCCUUCCUAUCAUUUAAAAAGCCACAAUCUCAAAUUUCAAUAUGCCUGCAAGGAACAUUUAAUCCUUUCAGUAAUAACAUCACAAGAAUAUGAACUUACAAAAGAUAUAACGAAAGCAAAUUGAGACUACCAAGCAAAAUUUUUAUCCUGUUUGGCAUAUACCACAAGGUCUCGACAUAAUAUAAUAAGAAUCCCCUAAGUACAACGUAAAACACCAUCCUAAGUAUGAAACAAGUAUAAUAACCUUAUAAAAAUCAGAAACUAUAAUCUAGAAUACUUGUUAAAUUAAAUUUGACUUGAGCAUCAUUUUGAACACAAUUUUUUUAAGCAGAUCCCAAAUAUUUGCAUCUUCUUUUAAUAGUUAAUAAUUUGUGGAGGAGCAUUUGAACUUCAGACCUCCUACCAGGGCAAGAGGAGUUAUUGCAACUAAGGUAUGUGUAAAGCCACAAAAAAAAAAAAAAAACUGCUUUAUAAUAUAACAUAAUUGGGCUUAUUAAUAGCAUUUGUUUCUGUAUGGUAAGGAUAGACAUGUAUCCACAGUUGAAAAUUCGUUAAUGGUACAUUUUCCUAUAUAUAUGUAUUGGUCCAUCAGGUAAUAAUAAAACAAAGAGACGGGGCACAAAGGAUUGUCUUACAUAGCAUUCUGAUACAUAAUUACUAAUUUAAUCACAUACAUAUCAAUUAGAUCAACAAAUGAAUCAACAACAGCCCUCUUAUCUUGAACUCUAAAACUCUCUUUUGGUAUUCCUAUACAAAUGAAAUUGCAAAAACAGAUUGAUCUACAUUAUUUGAAAAAAUCUAUAAAGUUCAUAACGAACUUAAAAUCAUUGUGCAUAAUCAAAAUGACUAGUAUUGUAGACACCGAUUUUGCCGGGCUCUACUGUUUUAAUAAUUAAUAAUAAUAUUUUUAAUAAAAAAAUUAAUUAAUGAACAAACAAAAAAAAAAACAAACAAAAAGAAACAGAAUAAGACAAGAAAUCAGGGAGUUGGUAUGGCGGCCGCUGUCGCUAGCCUCCCGACCAAACCUACCCCGACCAGCCACCCUACAGCCACCAACCCAACUAUAAGGAAUUUAAAAAUGAAAAUAAGAAAUAACAAGAAAUUUGUAAAAAAAUUAGGAAAAGAAUAAAAAAUGAAAAGAUUUAUGAAAAAAAAAUCGAAGUAUAAAAAAAAAUGGAAACAAGAAAUAAAAAGAAUUUUGUGAAAAUAAAAAUAAAAUAAGAAAAAAAUAUUAAAGCAAAACAAAAAAGAUAAAUAAAAUACAAAAAAAUAUAAAAUAUAAAAUAAACAAAAAUGCGAUAAAAAAUAUAAGAAGUAAGAAAAUCAAAAAUAAAAAAAGAGAAAAAUGAAAUGAAAUGAAAAAAUACAAAAAAAAAACAAAAAAUUGAAAAACAUACAAAAAUAAUAAGAAAACAAUAUAAAAAAUCAAAGACAAAAAAUUAAAAAUGAGAAAAGUUAAUGCAAAAUAAAAAUGAAAACAAAAGAAGAAAAUGCAACAAAAAAAAAACUAUAAGAAUUUAAAAAUGAAAAUAAGAAAUAAAAAGAAAUUUGUAAAAGAAUUAGGAAAAGAAUAAAAAUGAAAAGAUUUAUGAAAAAAAAGCCAAGUAUAAAAAAAAUGGAAACAAGAAAUAAAAAGAAUUUUGUGAAAAAAAUUAGAAAAACAAGAAAAAAUGAAAAAUUGAAGAGGCAAAAAUAUGAAAUUAAAUAAAAAGAUGAAAAAGUUUUCUAGAAAUUUUUAAAACAAAGAAAAAUGUGAAAGCAAAAAAAAAUAUGAAGCACAUGAAAAGAUAAGUAAAAAAUGAAAAGGAAAAAGAGUUAAUGAAAAAUUAUAAAAAUAAACAAAAAAUAACCAACAACGAUAAAUAAAAAAAGAAAACAUGAAAAAGUUAUGAAAACAUGAAUAAAAAUUAUGAAAAUAAAAAUAAAAUAAGAAAAAAUAAUUAAAGCAAAACAAAAAAGAAUAAAUACAAAAAAAAUAUAUAAUAUAAAAUAAAUAAAAAUGCGAUAAAAAAUAUAAGAAGUAAGAAAAUCAAAAAUAAAAAAAAGAAGAAAAAUGAAAUGAAAUGAAAACAUACAAAAAAUAAAAAACCUAAAAAAUUGAAAAAACAAUAUAAAAUAAUAAAAACAAAUUAAAAAGAAUCAAUGCCAAAAAUAAAAAUGAAACAAAAGAAGAAAAUGCAACAACAAAAACUAUAAGAAUUUAAAAUGAAAAUAAGAUAUAAAAAGAAAUUUGUAAAAGAAUUAGGAAAGAACAAAAUGAAAAGAUUUAUGAAAAAAAAAUCCAAGUAUAAAAAAAAUGAAACAAGAAAUAAAAAGAAUUUUGUGAAAAAAAAUUAGAAAAACAAGAAAAAAUAAAAAUGAAGAGACAAAAAUAUGAAAUUAAAUAAAAGAUGAAAAGAUAAGUAAAAAAUGAAAGGGAAAAAGUUAAUGAAAAAUUAUAAAAAUAAAACAAAAAAUAACCAACAACGAUAAAUAAAAAAAAUAAAAAAAUAAAAAAAUAAAAAACAUGAUAAAAAUUUAUGAAAAUAAAAAUAAAAUAAGAAAAAAAUAUUAAAGCAAAACAAAAAAGAUAAAUAAAAUACAAAAAAUAUAUAUAAUAUAAAAUAAACAAAAAUGCGAAUAAAAAAUAUAAGAAGUAAGAAAAUCAAAAAUAAAAAAAAAAAACAGAAAUGAAAUGAAAUGAAAAAAUACAAAAAAAAACAAAAAAUUGAAAAACAUACAAAAAAUAAUAUAAAAAAUCAAAGACAAAAUUAAAAAUGAGAAAAGUUAAUGCAAAUAAAAAAUGAAAACAAAAGAAGAAAAUGCAACAACAAAAAACUAUAAGAAUUUAAAAAUUAAAAUAAGAAAUAAAAGAAAUUUGUAAAAGAAUUAGGAAAAGAAUAAAAAUGAAAAGAUUUAUGAAAAAAAAAUCCAAGUAUAAAAAAAAAUGGAAACAAGAAAUAAAAAAAAUUUUGUGAAAAAAAUUAGAAAACAAGAAAAAAUAAAAAAUGAAGAGACAAAAAUAUGAAAUUAAAUAAAAGAUGAAAAAGUUUUCUAAAAAUUUUUAAAACAAAGAAAAAUGUGAAAACAAAAAAAAAUAUGAAAGCACAUGAAAAGAUAAGUAAAAAAAUGAAAAGGGAAAAAGAGUUAAUGAAAAAUUAUAAAAAUAAAACAAAAAUAAACAACAACGAUAAAUAAAAAAAGAAAAGAAAAAAAUAAAAAAAUAAAAAAAUAAAAACAUGAUAAAAAUUUAUGAAAUAAAAAUAAAAUAAGAAAAAAAUAUUAAAGCAAAACAAAAAGAUAAAUAAAUACAAAAAAAUAUAAAAUAUUAAAAUAAACAAAAAUGCGAUAAAAAUAUAAGAAGUAAGAAAUCAAAAAUAAAAAAAAGACAAAAUGAAAUGAAAUGAAAAAAUACAAAAAAAAUACAAAAAUUGAAAAAAUACAAAAAUAAUAAAAAAACAAUAUAAAAAUCAAAGACAAAAUUAAAAAUGAGAAAAAGUUAAUACAAAUUAAAAAUUGAAACAAAAGAAGAAAAUGCAACAACAAAAACUAUAAGAAUUUAAAAAUGAAAUAAGAAAUAAAAGAAAUUUGUUAAAAGAAUUAAGAGAAGAAUAAAAUGAAAAGAAUUUAUGAAAAAAAAUCCAAAGAAGUAUAAAAAAAAUGGAAACAAGAAAUAAAAAGAAUUUUGUGAAAAAAUUAAAAAAACAAGAAAAAUAAAAAAUGAAGAGGCAAAAUAUGAAACAAAAUAUAAAAGAAAAAAGUUUAUGAGAUAUUUUUAAAACAAAGAAAAAUGUGGAACCAAAAAAAAUACUGAAAGCACAUGAAAAGAUAAGUAAAAUGAAAAAUUUUAAUAAUGGAAAAAAAGAAGAAAGAAAAGCAAGUUAAUGAAAAAUAUAAAAUAAAAGAAAAAAUAACCAACAACGAUAAAUAAAAAAAGAUAGAAAAAUAAAAAAAACAUGAUAAAAUUAUUAAAAUCAUAAAUAGAAAAAAGAAAAAAACAAAAUAAAUAAAGAAAAAAUAAUUAAAGCAAAACAAAAGAUAAAAAAUACAAAAAAAUAUAAUAUAAAUAAACAAAAUACGAUAAAAUAUAAGAAGUAAGAAAAUCAAAAUAAAAAAUAAAAAAAGAAAGAAGUGAAAUGAAAUGAGAAAAUAUAAAAAAAAUACAAAAAUUGAAAAACAUAUAAAAAUAUAAGAAAACAAUAUAAAAUCAAAGCAAAAAUUAAAAAUGAAAACAAAGAAGAAAAUGCAACAAAAAAAAACUAUAAGAAUUUAAAAAUGAAAACAAGAAAUAAAAAGAAAUUUGUAAAAGAAUUAAGAAAAGAAUAAAAAUGAAAGACAAAUUUAUGAAAAAAAAUCCUAGGAAGUAUAAAAAUAAUGGAAACAAGAAAUAAAAAGAAUUUUGUGAAAAAAAUUAGAAACACAAGAAAAAUAAAAAAUGAAAAGGCAAAAAUAUGAAACAAAAUAAAAGAUAAAAUAGUUUUUAUAGAAAUUUUUAAAACAAAGAAAAAUGUGAAAACAAAAAAAAUAUGAAAACACAUGAAGAUAAGUAAAAAAGUGAAAAAUUUAAAAGAAAAAGGAAAAAUGUUAAUGAAAAAUUACAAAAAUAACAAAUAACAACGAUAAAUAAAAAAAGAUAGAAAAAUAAAAAAAUAAAAACAUGAUAAAAAUUUAUGAAAAUAUAAAUAAAGAAAGAGAUAAAAAAUAAAAAUAAAUAAGAAAGAAAUAUUAAAGCAAAACAAAAAAGAUAAAUAAAAUACAAAAAAUAUAAAAUAUAAACAACAAAAAAUGCGAUAAAAAAUAUAAGAAGUAAGAAAAUCAAAAAUUAAAAAUUAAAAAAGACAAAUGAAAUGAAAUUGAAAAAAUAGAAAAAAAAUAAAAAAAAUUGAAAAACAUAUAAAACAUAAUAAGAAAACAAUAUAAAAAAUCUAAGCCAAAAAAACUAAAAAUGAAAACAAAAGAAGAAAAUGCAACAAAAAAAACUAUUAUUUAUUUAAAAAUGAAAAUAUGAAUAAAAAGAAAUUUGUAAAAGAAUUAAGAAAAGGAAUAAAAAUGAAAAGACAGAUUUAUGAAAAAAAAAAUCCUAGGAAGUAUAAAAAAAAAUAGAAACAAGAAAUAAAAAGAAUUUUGUGAAAAAUUAUUAAAAAAACAAGAAAAAAAUAAAAAAGCAAAAAAGCAAAAAUAUAUGAAACAAGAAAAAAUAAAAAAUGAAUAGACAAAAAUAUGAAACACAAAUAAAAGAUAAAAAAGUUUUGUAGAAAUUUUUAAAACAAAAGAAAAAAUGUGAAAACAAAAAAAAAUAUAUGAAAGCACAUUAAAGAUAAGUAAAAAAAUAAAAAAUUUUAAAAGAAAAAAAGAAAAAAGUUAAUGAAAAAUUAUAAAAAUAAAAUUGAAAAACCAACAACGAUAAAAAAAAUAAAAAAAAAGAAAAAGAUAGAAAAAUAAAUAAAUAAAAAACAUGUUAAAAAUUUAUGAAAAUAUAAAUAAAGAAAGAAAUAAAAAAUAAACCAAAUAAAAAAAAAAUAAAAAAAAAAUAUUAAAGCAAAGCCAAAAAAGAUAGAUAAAAUACAAUAAAAUAUAAAUAUAAAAUAAACAAAAAUGCAAUAAAAAUAUAAGAAGUAAGAAAAUCAAAAAUAAAAAAUAAAAUGAAAUGAAAUGAGAAAAUACAAAAAAAUACAAAAAAAAUGAAAAACAUAAAUAAUAAGAAACAAUAUAAAAAUCAAAGACAAAAAUUAAAAAUGAGAAAAGUUAAUGCAAAAUAAAAAUUAAAACAAAAGAAGAAAUGAAAUAAAAAAACUAUAAGAAUUUAAAAUGAAUAUAAGAAUAAAAAGAAAUUUGUUAGAUAAAAAGAAAAGAAUAAAAUGAAAAGACAAGAUUUAUGAGAAAAAAAAUCCAAAGAAGUAUAAAAAAAUGAAAACAAGAAAUAAAAAGAAUUUUGUGAAAAAAUUAGAAAAACAAGAAAAAUAAAAAAUGAAAAGGCAAAAUAUGAAAUAAAAUAAAAAGAUAAACAGUUUUGUAGAAAUUUUUAAAACAAAGAAAAAUGUGAAAACAAAAAAAAUAUAAACACAUGAAAAGAUAAGUAAAAAAUGAAAAAUUUAAAAGGGAAAAAGGAAAAAGAGUUAAUGAAAAAUUAUAAAAAUAAAACGAAAAAUAAACCAACAAUGAUAAAUAAAAAAAAAUAGAAAGAUAAAAAAAAUAAAAAACAUGAUAAAAAUUAUGAAAAUAUAAAUAAAGAAAGAAAUAACAAUAAAAAUAAAAUAAAAUAAGAAAAAAAUAUUAAAGCAAAACAAAAAAAUAAAUAAAGACAAAAAUAUAAAAUAUAAAUAAAGAAAAUGCGAUAAAAAUAUAAGAAAAUCAAAAAUACAAAAAUACAAAAUGAAAUGAAAUGAAAAAAUAAAAAAAUACAAAAAUUAAAAAACAUAUAAAAAAAUAAUAUAAAAAAUCAAAGACAAAAAAAUAAAUAAGAGAAAAGUUAAUGCCAAAUAAAAAUGAAACAAAAGAAGAAAAUGCAACAAAAAAAAAUUAUAAGAAUUUAAAAAUGAAAAUAAGAAAUAAAAAAAAUUUGUAAAAAGAUUAAGAAAGGAAUAAAAAUAAAAAGAAAAGAUUUAUGAAAAAUAAAAAAUUCAAGAAAGUGUAAAAAAAAAUGGAAACAAGAAAUAAAAAAACUGUCAAAAAAUUAGAAAAACAAGAAAAAAUAAAAAAUGAAGAGGCAAAAAAUAUGAAAUAAAAUAAAAAGAAAGUUUUGUAAAAAUUUUAAAACAAAGAAAAAAGUGAAAACAAAAAAAAUGAAAGCACAAAAAAAUAAGUAAAAAAAAAUUUUAAAAGAAAAAAGUUAAUGAAAAACAAAAAAGAUAAAACAAAAUACAAUAAAAAUAUAAAAAUCAAAAAAUCAAAAAUAAAAAAAUAUAUAUUAAAUAAAUAAUUAUAUUAUCUCUUAAUAAAAGAUAAAUAUUAUACAAUCCAAAAUAAUAAAUAAAAUAAUAAGCAAUAAAAAAAUAAUCGAAAUUGUAUUAAAUAAAAAAUAAUAUUAUCUAAUAUAAUUUUUGUUAAUUACAUAAAUUACACGAUAAAUAAAAAUAAAUUUCCAAGAUAAAAUACAAAAGAAUCUUAAUUAGAUAUCUAAUUAGUAUACAUACACAUAAACACCUUCAUUUUUAAUGAAGUCAAAGUCUCAUUCAACAAUGCUUAAUAAUAAGGUGAUCUGCAUUUUAAGUUAAACAUAAACAACAUGCCACAUAUAUAUAAAGAACAAUGCUGCAUUUAAGUUAAACACAAGCAACAUGGCACAUGUAUAAAGAACAAUGCUAUUUUAGAAAUAAAGACAAUUAAAACUUGAACUUCAUGCUCAAGCAAGGCAAAGAUUGCCUGCAAAAUAAACCUAAUAACAUCCAUUGCUCACAAAUCAGAUAUUAUAAAUGUUUUAACUCGGAAACCCAAAGAUACGAAAGUAAAAGGGCCUUUAAAAACCUAAAGAGAAAUUAAAACUAAAGCAACAAACCUUAACAAAAAAAGAUUAUAAUGAAAGGCCAAAGAUAAGAGUAGUUUUGCAUCUCAACAUAAAUAUACAACAAUUAUAUACCAAAGUUAAAAAACAACAGCCACCAACACAUCAUAAGUCAGGAUGCUUCCAAUAUAAACAGUAUUACUUAAGAAAACAAAGUCUAUAUUAUAAUCAGAAACACAGAAUUUUAGCAACUUUAAUCAAACUUUCAUGAUCUGAAAUGUACUAAACAAGUACAAUUAUCAUCGAAAUUACCAUACAAUACAACAAAAAUUCUAUGCAAGAUCAUAGACUUUCAAAGAAUCCAAUAAGAAAGAGGCAAUCUUCCAUCUCAGUGCUUAACUAGAUUUAAGUUUAUGAAAUUAAUCUUAAAAAAGUAAUCAAUCAUGCAACAAAGUAAAGUGAAAUCAGCAAAACAAGAAGAAUCAAACACAACACAAAAAAAAAAGAGGUACUCUUCAUUGUAAGCACUCAUCUUCAGUGCGAGGUUGGAUUAAGUUUUUGAAAUUAAACCUAAGAUUACAAUUUGUCAUGCAACAGAGUUGAACUAGCAAAAUAAAAAAAUAAAAAAUAGAAAACUCAACCAUACAAAUUUGGAGUACACUGCUGAUACAAUCUCUAAUUCCUCUCUCUAGCAAAUCGUGUUCGAAGUACACGAUCAACUAAUUCCGUAUAGACUACUAAAUGCAAUCACAAUUAAGAAAAGUUUACAAAACUACAAUCUGUACACAAAAGAUGAAAACUAAAAUUUAAUGAAUGUUAAAGAUAAGAGAUCAACAUAUAAUUGAUAGUUCAAAUCAAACUCCGGCAAAUCACAAGCCUACAACCAAAAAAUUAGAAUUAACCAGAAGCUAUGGGAAUGAAAAUCUAAAAGCCAACUUGCAAAAUAAACCCAACAAAACACACAGGAAUAAAACCAACCAAACACACCAGGACAUCAGAAAUUUGAAACUUUAAUUCCUCUAUCCUGCAAGGUAUGCUUAGAGCACAAUAGCCCAUUAAGCGUUCAAAGAACAAACAAAUGACAACUAGGGCACAUCAAUGGAUGAAGAACCAACAACCCAGGAAUUUCUUGACAGUAACAUUCUCCUAAUGCAUUCGUCAAACAACUUCAUCAACGAUUAGAGGCAACCACAAUAAAAAGUUUGACAAUCAUCACAUAACUAAAAAAAGCCAAGCCAGUGAAACCACAUAAAAAGUUUUUUCUCUCUGUCAUGCCACAGAGAGAAAAACAAGAAGGAAAACUCCCAUACACACAGAGCCACACAUUUUAAUCCUUAAAUCCUACACACAACCAUACAAAUUUAGAAUCCAUAAUUCCCCUGCAAGUCAUUCUUGGACGACACAACGCAUCAAGUUUCAAACAGACCAUCACAUCACAACCCAAGGGAAUUUUUCAAAGUAAAGUUACAAAGCCCUAAUUUAUGUAAAAGUUUAAAAAUGAAACAAGAAGAAUCAAGACACAAUCUCAAUGAGAAAGACAUCAAACUGAGAGCCUAUGACAACAUAUAUUUAGAAUUUCAAAGAAUCCAGCAAAAAGAAAUAAUCUUCCUUUUAAGCAUUCAACCACAAUGCAUGUCAAAAUUAAAUUACAGAAAUUGAACCUAGCAAACCAAUCUGCCUUGUAACAAAUAGAGUGAAACAACAAAAUAAAAACCUCCCUAAACACGUACCUACACACACAAGAGGCACAGAAAUUGAAUUCGCUGCUUGAAGCACACAUGGAGAAAACAAACUCCCAUACACAGCCACAUAAAUUUUUAAUUCUUAAAUGCAACACCAUAGAAAUUUAAUGCCUUAAUUCUCCCUACACUACAAAACACAGAAUUCAAUACACUAUUUAGACUUUCAAAGAUCCAUCAAAGGAAAGAUCCUCUUGUAAACAUUUCCAUCAAUGCAUGUCAAAAUUAAGUUUACAAAAAUGUAACUAAUUCAACACCUGUUCUUAACAACAUCAUGCUUCAUUAAUUCUUAAUAAUACCGUCAUGACUAACCACCAAUGACAUGAAGAACAUUGAACUGACACAGUAAUAAACCAUCCAAUACGCAACAGAAUUUUGUGUUUUCAUCCCAAUGCUUAUAGAAUAUAAAUAGAUGCAAACUACAAGAAGAGGGGACAGCAGAAAAACACAGUCCAAUCCCUAAACAUUGAGAAUCAUUCUUACCCCUAUGCUCCUUACCACCAUAAACUCACAGCCAUCAACAAUCUAUUCCACUUUUAUUGAGGCUAGAAUUCUUCAAAGAUAAUGCCUGCAUAUCCUAUUACAAAAAGCAAUGCCAUAGAAAUAUGCAUUAUGAAAUUAGAUCAAAUUAAGAAAGGCUUCUGUGGAUAAUACAAGAAUAUACAAAAUAUUGGCCAAAGAUGAAAAAAUGAUUACAACCUACAAAGAAAGGAUUGCACAAGAAAUUAAAGAUAAACCUGGAUGUUGGUAACCCAUGAUAGGUUAAUUGCCACAGUCCCUGUUAAAGCUGCUGUGAAAACACCAAUAGUUUUCAACAAAUUAGUCUUUGGCUGGUAAGUAACUUCGAAAUCUAACGAGCUAGCUUCAUCAACUCAACAUAAAGGAUCACAAGGUCCAGAGGUUGAGGUCAGCUCCUGUUGAUAUGCAAAGGUUAUUUCAGUGUGUGGAAGAACCCAAAAAUGAAGAAACACAGACACUGCCGUUUUGCUAUGAUGGUUGGUUUUUAUAGCAAUUUGGAGAAAGCUUUCUAAACAGCCUUUUGUAUAAUCUUCCCUCAUAAAGAGGAUCAUUACUCAGCCUCAAUCCUGCCAAUGAAGGAUGAGAAACCAAGAAGAGUCAUUUGAAAAAUGUUCCUAGCCUUUAGGAUUCAGCAUUUUUUACACAAUGAGGCUACUUUCAGGACUUGAACUUGCUCAUUUGAGCCCCUCAGCCAAAAUCUUUUAUAUUACACCAGACAGUGUCUCCUAAUCAACCCUCAUAUAUCUAACUAAAUCAAUCUGAUUUCUGAGCUAAACAUCUGCAGAAGGUAAUUUCCAAUAGCAACAGCUUGAAAUUCUAUCAAAUUAUUUGACCUCCUCAUUAACCAAGAUAAAAUCUUCAAAUGUAUGAACUAGCAGUACAGGCAAAUGGGUACCCUUAAACUGGAAGUACUUAUAAGCAAGACAAUAGAUGACAAGAGACACAAAAUGAAAUCAAAAAACACUCACCCAAAUCAUAAAUCAAUGAAAAUGCAAAUGGGUACUCGUAAAGAUAAAAUUUUUCAUAAUGGCAUAGGGAUGAAAAGAACAAAAACCUCAAGCUGCUUUUCAUUGUUGGGUUGAACUUUUUGUUGCCGUGCAAUAACUUUCGUUACGGGGUUUACCUAGACUCAUAAUUGUUGUUAUAUUAUUACAUUAUAAUAUAAAUCAAAUUAAGAAUUUUUUUUAUUGAAAGAAAAAAAGAACAAUACUAAUUUUUUUACUUGAGAUACUAUAACUAAUUCAAGGUAUGGAUCCAAUCUAUAACUAAAGUUAUAAAGGGGAUACACUCAUUCUUUUUGGUUUCUAACCUUUGGUGACAUGGCUAACCAGUAAGGCGGGGAUUGCAAAUCCCUUAUUCCCCGGUUCAAAUCAAGUUGUUGCUUGAUCAACAAAAAACUUGGAACCCUAUAUUCUGCUUUGCUCAUAUGACUCAAAAAUUUUUCUCUACCAAAAACAAGUGCAAGAAAAGGACUCUUGAUACUUUCUUGACUAUAAACUUAGCAAGGUUUUGUCUUCAAAAAUGUUGUAAAUCCUUACGUCUAGGAUUCAAGGAAAAGUUAGAGUAGGAGAGGGGAAUCAGAAAUCUUGAUAUGAUAUCCCCUCUCCUAUUAAUGGAAGGGCUGCUAAAAGAGUCUUCAAUUAGAUUGGAUAUCAUAAUGGGAGUGUCUAAUUAUUAACAAAUGAAUAGUUGUACAAGGGUAAGUAAUGAACAACAGUUACCUUUAGGAAGUCUUUCAUGCUUUGAAAGCAAGGUUCAGACAACACAUCAUUGCAACAUAUAUGUAUGCAAUAAUCCCACAUUCCCCAAAAGACAAAGGGAAAAGGAGGGAGGCAAAGAGGAAUCUAACCCAAAAGGAAGCAUCACAUGCAUGUGUUCAUCAACAAUAGGUGACAGACGCUAAAAGCACCCAGACAAGUAGACAACAGAGCUUGCAUAGCAUUUUACACGUACAGCCCACAACCAAACAGAAUAAGUCUAUUGCAAAUCAUUGAAAAGGCUGCAGAUCCUAACAAAAAUGUUCACCUAAUGGCUCCAGCUGCUACUUUGUGAAAAUAAGCAUGUGAAUGCAACCAAUCUUUAAAUUUUAGCUUUCCAACAUAUGCACGUGGUGCCAUUUUCCGCAAACAAUAAGAAUGGAAAUCAAAUUGAUCUUCAGUAAUAUCAGCAUAGUGCUUCUCCACAGCUAUAAAUUUCUCCAGGGCCCGUCCAAAAUCACCAUGUCGAAAGUAACUUUCAUCAGAAGCAAGUUCAUACCUUCAAAAGAUGGAUAACACUCAGUAGGUGUACCCAAAUUAUAAUUAGAGACAACAACAUGUGGAAGGUAAUAAACAAAAACAGACCACAUGCACUGCAUGUCAUGAAGGUUGUUGUGCUGGCCCCCAUCUUUCGUGAACAAAACAGCA
rnacentral:lncRNA from 1 species